rnacentral:lncRNA from 1 species
AUGUGCCAACCUCCUAAACUGAUGGACCAUUUUUUAUUAAGGUGAUGGGCCAAUUUUCUAAAAUAAUGGGCUACCUAUUUCUUUCCUUAUGCUUACCUACAUAUUUGGGCUCAAGAAAUGAGCUUGAGUUUUAGGGUUCCCAAGCAGCCCAAAACUUCCAUUUCUCGACUCAUUAAUGGGUCUCAUACUUGUUACCAUCCAUGCCACAACCCACUCAACAAGCCCUGAGCAUUUGAGUGGCUUGAGCCCACUUAAGCUUGUAGCGUGGCUAAGUGUAAAAAUAAGGAUCUUUCUGCUUGGCAUUGCAUGUCGAUUGGCGUGCUUGAAUUUUAUCGUAUUUGAAAAGGGAUAUGAUGAUUGACGGGAUAAUUAGCAUGAGCUCGUAGAGCCAGUGCAUUUUAUAGGCUCAUUUCAAUUCUUAGCGUGACGGAUUGCGUAUUUAUCUGGCAUGACAUGUGGUUGUGGCUCGUGCAAGCGUGCAUGACGAAUUUCAUGUGCUGGGCUAGGAAUUUAUUUGGGCCUAACUCUAGAUUUUUUGGGCCUAAACAUGGGUCAACUCAACUUUGACCCGUCAAUAAACGGGUGGAUUUCGAGUUAACCUGCCAACCCGCUAAAAUACCUAUGUAACCCAUUUAUUAAACGGGCUAACCCACCAACCGGCUAAAAUACAUAUGUGACCCGCCAACCCAUUUCUUUGUUUCUUCUUCAUUUUCUUCAUUUAUUUUAAUUCUUAUAUUUCUCUUUCUCAGCAUUCAUACGUAGAAAGAGGCAAAAUGUAAUCACUAUUUUGUAUAUAAAUAAAAAGUAUAAAAUGCAAUUACUUUAUUAAAUUAUCAGAAUUCAGGAUUGUUUUUUUUAUUUAUUUAUAAAAAGUAUAAAAUGCAAUUACUUAGCGAGUCAACUCGACACUACCCGAAAUCUGCACGGGUCAUCUCGUAUAUGACACGUUUAUUAAACGGGUUGGGUUAGGUUUAAACAUUCUUGAUACGUAUAUAAUCCUGACACGACACGAACCCGAUACGUCCUAUUACCAACCCUAAUUAGGAGUCAUUUCUCUCUCCUCGGAUUUAGGAACACCUAGAGGUCUCCCUAUUUUAGGAGGAGGAUAGGAAGGAUGGUCGGAGUUGUAUUUUUCCAAUUGCUCCACACAAAAAAUUGUCUAAUGAGGUGGUUUAGGGAGCCCAUUGAGGAUGCUCUAUCAUUAUAACUUAUAGGUUUAUUAACUAAAGUGCCCCCAUAAACUUUGGUCAAAUCCCACUUUUCCUAAUGAAAUUGAAAGUGACCCAUAUUGCCCCUUUGACCGUGGUUUUAUGGGUCACUUUGCCCCAUGCCAUUAACUUUGUUCCAAACAACAUAAAAAAAUGCUGACGUGACAGAGAUAAUUUCGUCUUUUUGUCCCAGCUGACUAUCUUCUCACUAGUAUGAGAGGGUGACAUGGCUAUUUUCCCACUAGUAUAAGAAGGGUAUCCCUCCUAGCCCCAAUCUCCCCUAGCCUCUUCUUGAAUUAAUUAGUGUAUAGUGAUUAAAAACUUUAAUAAUUAUGAUAUUAUAAAUAAAGUAUUUUAGUUUUAGGUAUGGUGAAUGGAUUUUGAGGUUUUUUUUUUUUUUUUUUUUGUGUGUGGAUGAUAUGUUUGGUGGGCCAAAUUGGAUGGGCCCAUUUAAAUUUAUAGAGGAAAAGUCUAUUUUGCCCCUUUUAGGUUAAAAGGGCAACAUCGCAAGAUGGACCACCGUUGAUGUUUGCUGGCCAGACAUGCCGCCAUUGGUUGGACCCACAUCCGACACCUUUACUUAAAUUAAUAAUUAAAAAAAUAUUAAACACCAUGCCAUUUGUAGGAUUCGAACCUCUAACCUCCACUAUGAAAAUUAUUCACUUUUCCAACCAAACUAUACCACACUUUUGAUAAUUUUGGAUUUUUAUUAACUAGCCCCUCAAAAAUUGGACAAACCGGUUUAGUCACUGUCUAACAGUGACAUAAAAGAACACUUAUGUCAGUGUUGAACAGUGACAUUGAACAACUCUCGGGUCACUGUUCGACAGUGACAUAAAAUAACUCUUAUGUCACUGUCAGACAGUGACUGGACCGGUUUGUCCAAUUCUAGAGAGGUUGGACCAUUCUAACAUUUUGUCUUGGGUGAAUGACAUUUUUAUCAUUUCUGAUGCACAACUGUGUUGUAAUUUCUAUUAUAUAAGUCUAAAAAUAUAAAUAUAAGAGUACUCUUUGGUUAUAUGUUUAUUUUUAUAUAUGUAUUAAAUGGUUUGAAAUUGGAUUGUGUUGCCUUCGGAAAUACUGAUGUCUUCGGACAUCCCGGUUGUCUUCGAAAAUAUUUAAAAAAUAUUAUACCUAAAAAUGAAUCUUAUGAAAAUGUGCUACUUCUAUCCCAAACUAAGAUUGACAUCAUGAAAAUUAAAGGAGUUUGUGCCAUUAGAAUUAAUAAAACCAAAAUAAGCUUUCAAAUCCUUUAUUGAACCAUUAAAUUUGAACUUAACAAAAAAGGGGCCCUAAAAGAUAUCGUGUAUAUAUUGCUUGUUUGUUAAAAACAUUUAGAAAGCAUUGAAAAAAUUAACUUAAUUUAUAACAUGUGUAAACAAAAUAAGAAGUUUAUUAGUUUAUCAUACAUAUUAUAUUAUUUUGAUUAAGUAUAAAAAUGAGUUUAGGAAGUGCAUUAAUUAAAUGUUUAAAAAAGAAGGGCAUAGGCGACCAGUCCUAGGCCAGGUCGUGGGCGGACUGAGGGUUUCAAAUCCUAAGCUUAAGCCUCACCCAACCUUAUAGCAGGUUGGGCCAAGUGAGCCUAACCAUCAGACAGGACUGAGCUGAGCUUUGGCCCAUCUAGCCUUGUUUGCUCUUGAGCAUUCAAAAACUAUUUUUAUUGCUCUUACUUGAGAGUGAGUAUGAUUGCAUACACAUAAAAUUCCUCCAAGUACAUUCACAUUGAUUUCGACUUAAUGUUUCGUUGUUUAAUUGUUGUAAUAUUGAUUUAAACUAUAUGCUUCAAGUUCAACACUUAUAGUUUAAUCAUCACAACAUUUGGUUUCAAUUCUCUAGCUUAAUCAUCAUUUGUGAUUAAGAAAGAUGAAUUCGUGAAACCACAACUCACUUCAUAUAUCAAAUUACAUGCAACUUGAGCUUGGUACUCUUGCAAAGACUUGGAGAAGAUUUGCUACUAAGAGGUAAAGAAAAGGUACUUGUUGAAAGGUUAGAUUGUAGCUGCCUAUAGGUGAUAGUUUGAGCUAAGUCUUCUUUCAUUUUUCUAGUACUUCUUAACAGAGUAGGUUAGAACUCUCCUGGCUUGGUGUCCCAAGUUUUUCCCCUUGUUGAGUUUCUGGGUCAAUAUUUGUUGCGUGUUAUUUACUUAAUGCUUUUUCUUGUUCUUUAUUCUCCACAUCAUUGUUUGUGUUUAUUCAUGUGUGCGCCUUUAAAGGACUUACAAUUUAAAAAGGUAGGUUAUUACCAUAUAGCCUACUUCACACAAACCCACACCCCCCCUGUAGGCUUUUGGAGCUUAAGGCCUGAUUUUACAAGUUGUUCUACACCAUGACAUGAAAACUAGGGCAACAACUACAUCGUGAAGGCAUUCCUAUGAAUAUGCCCGCGUACGUUCUUCUCAUAUCAAAGGUGAUGGCUUUAAAGCCCAUUUGAGCUGAAAACGUUAGCUAUUUCAUUUUGGUAUUCUUUGGGUUGGUUUAAAGAUGAAAGGGAAUUUUAAUUGAAAAGGGCCUUGACUUGCAGACAAGAGGGCUCAAGUUCGAACCCACAUGGCAUCUUGGUUGUGUGUGUGAGAAACCUCAUUCCCUUGUAGUUUAGAUUAUCGCUUAUACUAUUAUUUUUUUAAUAAAUAAAAGGAUGAACAGGAAUUCCUAGUUAUCAUGAAAAGAGUGUUGGUACCUGGCUAAUAAUGGUUGAGAGAGGGAGAGAGGCUAGUUGGUGAUGACUUUGUUUUGAAGAAAUGCUAUCCACUACCAUUUUUGAAGGAUUUUGUGUUGAUUUUGCAUUUGAAUGGCAUUUUUACAAGGAUGCCUAGAAUAAGGGUUCCCCAUUAGACUGGCUGCUUUUUUCUUUUUUCUUUUUUCUUUUUUCUUUCCAUGUAAGGAAGUAAAUAAAAACUUAGAGAUUUGUUGACGGGUAGGUCCCUAAUCCUUGUUGAACUCUCAUUAGAACCCUACAAUGCAAUUAAGUAUCGUUAUGUAUACUCCCAUCAUAAAAAGAAAAAAUAAAUAAACUCUUACCACAAAAUAACCAUAUCUAUUACUAUAGCACAGGCAGAUUACCAAAACAACCACUCCCUUCCUACCCUGUUCAGACAACCAUUCAUCUCCUUUGAUUUUCUUAGAAUGUCAUCCGUCUCUUGCUUCGGUUUCAUUAGCCUCUCUGUCUAGUUCGCUUUGCCGGACCAGCUGUUGCUGGUGCGGCUGCCCUUUUUGAGGGCCGUCCCACACUCCUUUUCGUGGGACUUCCUUGCUCUUUUGCAGCUUGUCUCCCACCAGAACCUCUGCGCGAACCUUGAUCUUUUUGUGCAUUUCCCUUGCCAUUUCCAUUUUUCCUCUGCUCUGCUCUUCCUCCUCUGCUGUUAUUGUCUGGGGUCUUUGAUGUCUCUGCCGAUAAUCCAGUUUUGGAUGUGGAGCUCCUCUUCAUUCUACUCAAAAAAUCUGCGGCGCUUCGCUUUUUCCCACUUGAAUUAGUGUUGCUCUUCUUUUCCGUCUCAGCUUUGGACUCUGAGUUCUCAUUGCUUGUCACUACUCUGCUUGAAAACCCGUCAUUGGCUUCUGAAUUCCUGUCGUUGUUAGUAUUACCAUGGCUCCUGCCAUUUUUGCUCGAGUUGUUUCUUGAACUGCUCCUGAGUCUUUCUUUUCUUCUUUUCUUGGUGACGUGAAGUUUCUCAACUUCAUCCGAGGAUUCUUCUUUUUGCUUCCAACUUAUAGCUGGCUUGACAUCACGGAAUGAGGUAGUGAUUUGCUCUUUUUUUCUGUCUGGUCCAGAAGAAGAUGUUGUGGAUGCUCUUGCAGUAAUUGAGCUGCGCUUGCGACAAGCAUUCAGUGGAAGUGAAAGUUUUGAUUUUGCUAGCAAUGAAUCCGACGUUUCAGGAUCCUGGUUCAGAGGUGGAGCUGGCGGUUUCGGAGUUUCUUCUUUAGGUGGUGGAUCUUGUUUAGGAGCCUGAAGAACCAUUUCCUUUGAAACAAGUAACUGAAGCUCGCACGCGGCCUUGUAUUCUGGAGACUUUUUCCCAAAGAAGACUAUGGCAUUGUUACAAAUAAGCAACAGAUCUCGAAAAAAUAAGAAUCUGCUGCAGGGUUCGUACCGACCUCCUUCAAGUCUGGUUUGCACCAAUUCAAAAUCUACAUGUUGCCGAAUCAUGUUUUUAUAAAUGGGGGUCUCCUGCAACAUUAGAGAACCAUGAAUCACACUGUCAUUUAUUCUGCACAAGUAACCAAAGUUAUUAAAGAUAAGAUGACACGUUUAUGCAAAGAAUAAGGUCAUCCCAACUCAAAGUUUUGACAUUUUAGAAAUCCAAUUACCAAUUAGCUAGAUAUGAGACUAGAAUCAAAUUUUUACAAAAGUACUUUUGGGUUAACAUUUCAUUCCAAGCUGGUGUUGUCUUUUUUGAUUUAUUGCCCUGCAGUUUCUGAGUUGAAAGCGCAAUUUUGGGCCCAUGAGCUUUGGCUUGAAUGGCAUAAGCAUGAAGGGGGGAAAUGGUAAAUCUAGGUUCACAUCUUGCCAUAAGUUGAAAAAGAAAAGGGAACAGCCAAUUAUCACCAAGCAGAUUUUAUCCCAAUAGAGCAACCAAAUCUCAUGCCACUACUAACUUUGAUGAGGGAAACAACAAAAAAUGAGAUUCCUGCAACAAGGAAAUGGUGGGGCCAACCACUUUUGUAUGGUCAAAUUGCACCAACGAGAGUUGGUAUAGCCUUAUUGGCCAAGGAUAGAAUGCAAACUCAGAAAGUAGCACGAGAAAGAAAAAGUAUCCCUUUCAAAUAAUAAAAAUCUAAAGUUAUUCACCAUCUCUAAACAUGGUAGCAUCCUCAAUUAGCAAAUCCCAAAAAACCACCACCAAGCAAAAGAUGAAUAAUUUUUUUAAUUAGAUGAAUCCGCCAAAUAGUCAUAUUCUUUCGCAUUGACUAAUUAUUAAUUUCUUCGACUUAUUGAAAGAAGUUCUAAAUUCAAAUUCCUCUUCCUUCAUGCCAACCCUUGACAUGAUGUGGUACGCACGGCUUAUCAACUAUAAUAGUAUUAGUAUAGAUUCUUUUUUCAACAGAACAAGAAAUUAAAAACUAAAAACCAAUAGUCUAUUGAGACUGACUACAAAAUAAAAGGAAAUAUCUAAUCGACAAAUCGAGUAGGCACAUAAAGACCUAUCCACCCAACUCACAUAAAUACUUCCAACAAGGUACCAACUAGUCCUUUUCAGUCGAAUUUUUAAUACACUUACUAAUAUGCACCAUCACGUACAAUAUAACCGCUCUCAAAUAGGGCAAAAGAACAACAUAACGUCACAGCCAUUAAACCCGCGGUGACAUGUCGCUACCUUAUUGGACAGCGACCUCCGACCUAAAGACGUCGCCGUUUACUUUAUGAAAACAAUACUAAUUUUCUUUUAAAUAAAUAAAUAAAUAAAUAAUAACCGAACCUGGGAAUGAAGCCGGCGCUCGAAAAAGGAGGCAAACUUAUGAGACCGAAGGAUCCCGAGGAAUUCAGCCAACGGCUGAGAUUCAACGGGGACGCCCUUCAUGGCGGGAGAUUCAUCCUCUUGGUCCGGUUCAGAUGGUUCUUCCGGUCUGUCCGGACCGCCCGGUCCACCCGGUUUCGGUUCCUGCCCUAGUUUUCUCGACAAACUCGCCGAGCUCUGCACCUCACUGUUACUCGGACUCUCCUUCGUCCCCUCCUCCUCCCUUCCUUUCGACUCGGCCACCGAUUCCUUCAACUCGCCGGAGUUCCCCUUCUCCGCCUCCACAACCGCCGUUUCCUUCACCACCGAAUCGGAGCUUCCAUUACACGAAUCCUCCACCACCGGAUUAUCCAACUUCUCCACCGGUUCAAUCUCCUCACCCGCCGGUUCAGUCUGUCCGGAGCCUUUAUCAGCAUCGGCGACUUCGGUUUCGGGAAUCUCGUGUUUCGGAUCUGUCGUGUUUGAUUCGUUACACGACCGGUCGUCAUGCUCGGAGACUUCGCCGGAGAUACCUUUCUUCUCCGGCGAAUUGUCUACCGGUUCGGCGUCUUUGUGUUCGAUCUCUUCCUCUUCAGUCUUCUCUAGAUCCGAUUUUUCGACCGGUUUUUCGGUCUCUCUCAAACUCUGUUCGCGAACCUCCUUUAAUCUCUCCACCUUCAACUGCAGAGACCUACACGAUUAUAUCACACAAAUAAUUGAAUUUAAUAUCUUGAUUAUAAUAAAAAAUUCAAAUCGCUAUCGUGAUGGAUUUAGAUUUCUACACGAUGGAAUGGUCGUAGCGUUGGAGUUCACGUCGGAGUUCAUCGAGACGGCGUUGUCGUAACUGGUCUAGCCAAGGAAUAGGAGGAGUAUCGUCGUCUUUGCCGGAAGCGGCGUCGUUUUGACUGAAACGACGUCGGAGGUCCUGGAACUUGCGUUUACAUGCGUGCGGGGUGAGAAGAUGGAGAUUGGAACUGCGUUUGCGGAGUUCGGUGGCGACGGCGUCCCAGCUCUGCGUGCCGAAGCGGUGGACGGCGCAGGCGAGGAGGAGCUCCUCCCACGUGCCCCAUGAUGGUGUUUGUUUCUCGGGAAAAUUGGGUUUAUCCAUCAAGAAAAUCAUGUAGUCACUCAGUCCAUUGUCACAACUUCCCUCUGCAACAACUGAUUUAACGUUCAUUUAACAUGUUUGAUUGAUUUUAAUUCCCUUGGGUCUAUUUGCCUCUUGGGCCUGUGUUUUUUUUCCUUCCUUUUUUCUGGUUUUGUUUUAAUUUUAAUUUUAAUUUUAAGUUUGUUGUGUUAGGAAUAGGCACUCAUCUCGAGCAUGGGGACUUUUGCCUUUGUCGGCCAAAAUUACUAUUUUGUCACGUAUUUGUUUUGUCAUUGGAAUUUAUUUAAAUUACGCUUUUGCCCUCCUAAAUUGAAAAUAUCAAUUUUGAAAUAUGCAAGUGACUGUUGGCCGACGUGUCCAUCCAAGUGACUAGAUUUAUUCGUACGGUCAGGAUUAUGAAACCCAAUAAAUCUGUCGUGGAUGUGACUGGCUCCAAAGGUCCAUAAGCCACACGCACGCGCAUAACAUAACACUUGGGUUUAGAUAUUAGAUUGGGUUUGGGCUCUUGGGCACAAUGCCCUCCCAUACUCCUACUAGUUCUUUCUAGUGGUCCAAUGUACAUUUUGGAGAAUCUUACCUAAAAUAUGGGAUGUAGAAAUAAAUGCUCCCAAUGUUUUUUUUUUUUUUUUUUGGUUAUUCGGAAAAGUUGGAUACCAAGCAAAAGAAAGAGCCACGCAUGUAGGCAAUUUAGCAUUUUACACACUCGUGAAGAGCGAGCCUAUUGUAUCGUGAACAUAAUUACCACAGAAAUCAUCAAAUUAAAUUCGUUAUUUUUCGGAGAUAGAACACAACUAUUGUAAAUGUUUUUAAAUGUUUUUACUUUUUUUUAAUUCAAUAGCCAAAAUGCAAUAAACUGGUGCAUUUUACUCUUGUUAUGCUACAGUUGAAUCAACUUCUUAAUUCAAAAUUCAUCCCUAAGUAUCACCAUUCUUACUAUUUUAUUCAGCAAUUUUUACACCAACCACAGAACAAAUCAAUAACAAAAUACCUAACAAAUACCAAAAUAAAUAAAACAAACUAUAUAACUUCGUAGCUCUGCCACCAUCAGUGAUUGAGUGCCUUCUUCAAUUCCUCACUCACAUCACCCUCCGACGGCCCUUUCUCGCUGUUUGACCGCCAGUCAACUUUCCCGCCAGAAUUCCUGCCCCCAAUAUUGCCUGAAUUUGAAAUCGACUUUGUGGCGCCGGCGAUUUCCUGCCUGAGAUCCUCCACAGCCUUUCUCAGCAACCCGUUCUCGCUCUGUAAAGCCUCCAGCUGACGCUUCACCGUGAAGCAAGCCUCCGCCACCUCGGCAUUUCCCGGAAAUGUCAAUCCCUUUUCCAUCUCUGCUGCCUUCGUGGUUUUACCCUUCGAAUCUGCAACGUCCACGUGUUCGAUCCCGAUCUUGUUCAUCACCAGGAACGGGAUCUUGUGAAACGCAAUCGGAUUAGCCCCAGUACUCUUCAUCUCCGCCGGCACCCUAACCCCCCACCGCAAGUUCACCACCCCCCGGUUCCACACCGGCAUCGACGUCCUCGCCGCCAUUUCCACGCCGGAAAACACACCGGCGAGAAUUCCGGCCACUUGAUUUUCCGAGGGCAAAACCGUGAUUUUCUUCCCCAUAAACGCAGUAUCCACUGCUGGUGUCUCCGCCGAAACGACGCCGUCAGCUGGACUUACGAUUUUUUGAAAGACAGAGGACUGCGACUUCUUGAUCGAGAAGUCUCCGAACUGAGGCUUGAAGUGGAGCAUGAAGCUAGGGUUUUUCCCGCUGCCGAGCAGAUUGAACUCGGCGCUCAUGAGCAUGGAACUGGAGAUCGGCGAGCCGAAGGGACCGGUCCCAGUCUUGACGACGAGGGAGAAUGGGUUGGACGAGUCAUUCGGCCGGUAACCGACCCGGAUGGAGGGUCCGGAUUCGAAGAAGGUGCCGAGGUUGAGAGUGAGCUCCUUAGACUCGCCGGCAACGAUUCCAGAUUGAAAAGGCAGGCCCAAUAUGCUGAGGGGCACCUUGGCCCUCAACAAUGGCUUCUGAUCCUCGCGGAAUUUGACCGAAGCUUUCAUUUCUGGUUUUGUAGAAAACCCUAAUUGUGAAAUUUGGGGGGGACGAAAUUUAUAUCAAUUUUGUCUCCUGAGAGUUACAGUGAAAUGAGUUUUGGCUGGAUUUGAGCUUGGCGUGUGAGCUGGCAUCUGCGUCUUCGCUUUUGGGUGCGUCCGUCAAAAUUUAGCCCUUGUGUUUUGAUGAAAUUACAAAUCUCGUAGUCUGAGGAUGCUGUAAUAUUUAGAACUGUUUAGGCGCAUGUGUGUGCCCGCUAAUGGGUCAGGAGCGUGGUGUGGCCACACGUGGCAAGAAGGUUUUGAAUUUUUAAAAUUCGGAAGUCUAAAAUUAAUGAAUUUUUGAAAUUUAAAAUUUGUGGAAAUAAUUCCCGAGUGGCUAGCUAGGACCGUUACGCGCGGAUUUGGUUGCCUAAUGUUCGCUGCUAGUAUAUUCAAAUUGAAUCGUGCGUUACCCAAAAACUAAAAUUUGAAACGUGAAUUCAUGAUAUUAUUGCUUUAAGAUUUUGCAUUUCCAUAAGGUGGAGUCUCCAUUCGUGAAUCCAGCCCCCAGAUAGUCUAGUGAGAAAGAGAUGGGGGAACAAUGAAUGAGAAUCAUGAUAGGUAUAUAGUUCAAUUUCCCCUAAUAUAACAAAUAAAAAUUAAUUGUGAAAUAGAUUAAACUACUCUAACUAUUAGGCCAUUUUUAAGUUCAUUGAACCAUUUAGCAUUUUCACAUUAAUACACAAACUCGUACACAAUCUACAUGCUGAGAUAAUAUUAUUCUAACUCUCCUAUAAUUAUACUAUUAUUGACUUGAGCUCGUAAUGUUUUUUUACAGGUACCCCCCUCCUUUCUCAUUGGUGACACUGACAAAAAUGAUCCAUAGCUUCUCAACAUGAAAAAAAGAUUGCUUGUUCGAGGAGCCAAAAAAUUUCGCUCCAACAUCUACUUAGUUGAAUAUUACGAUAUUGGCAUAUAUGGAUAUGCAAUCUUGUAAACGAGGCCAAACUAAGCAAAUACUUUUCUUGCAUAUUGCUUUAGGUCGUAUCCAUGCCAUAAUUUUUUUUUUUUUUUAAAUCCAUUUAAUUAGCCCCAAACUGAUGAAACUGACCAACGCAACCCAAUCAUAAUAGGGUUUGGUUGGUCUGGGUUGACCUAAUAAUGAGCCCUUUUUUGGCCCAAUAAAUCUUACACCGUUAUGUAUAGGUUAGGUAACACAUUGAGACCAAAAUCGACCUAACCCAACUCGUGCCCAUCCCUAAUAUUGACAGUGUAGAUGCCACAUUUUAUGCUUACUUGGACUGUCAAUAGCUCAUGCGUGUCUCUGACUCCAUUCAUUUGCUCGUCGUGGAUCGGUUCGAAUUGUGCUUCAAUCUAUUUAAACUUGGUUUCAAUGUCUUCGUCUCGUCCCAACUCAUGUGCGAUUUAUGUUUUCUGUGGGUGGACAUGUCUUGGCGGUGGCAUGAUUUAGGACAAACUAUGGGUAAAUUCUUAUGGAGGAAAAUAAAGAAAAUCUUUUGGUUCAAAAUUGGCAAGAACACACACAAUAAGAAAGAAUCACACUAGAUAUCAGUUAUGGCCUUAAAAGGGGAAGAAAGAUAUAUCAUUGGGUUUUUUGAUUGGUUGAGCAAGUUUGAAGCAAAUAUUAUGGCGAGGAAAAUAUUUUAUUCAAUGUUUUAUUUUUUAUUUUUUACUUUUUUAAAAGAAUGUAAUAGAUUGCAUUCAUAAUUCAUGCCUAAGGGUGAAUACAAAUACAAAUAACUAUAUAGGGUUAAUACAAAUACGGAAGUACAAUAACCACAAAAGGGUUAAUCUAAAUACGAAGGAAUCCACCGGCAACAACAAGCCAACAAGGUGUACCUCUACUCAUAAAGUCAAAGAAAUUCCAGCAUAAAAGCAAUUAAUCUGGAAAAACCAGGCAAAUACCUCAUUGCACAAAACUACAAAUGUAACUACAACCUUUAAGAUCUAAUAAGCUUUGUUAUUUUAUUGAUAUUAUGAUUUGAUUGGUUUCUUGGUAGUUAAGUUUAAGAAUAAUUUGGAAUCUUUAAGAAUUCCUACGUGUAUUAGGGUUUUGAGUUUACUAUUUAAACAUAAUUUAUGCAGUUGUAUUUGUUAGCUUUUAUUCAUAUUAUAUUAUUAAUAAAAUUCAGAGGGUUUCUCUCUAUUUUUCAGGUGGAUUUCAGUUUAUCAACUUUUAGGGUUAACAUUUGUUUUCUCUUUAUCUUAUUAUCGUGCUUUCGUACCGUGUCACGAGUCAACGGAACAAUGACGACUCCCUCAGGCAUAGGUGGUUGUAAGCUGGGGUGGGGGUGAGGGAAAAGGGUGAUUGGUCCGAGUUGGGCAUGCAAGUUUUGUUGUGAGUGGAGGGGUCGUAUGGAAAGAGAGAGAGAGAGACAUGAAGUUUCUUUUUAUUUUAUUUUCAAUUGUUUCUUAUUUUGUAAAAUUUUAUCCACAUAAGCAUUAACCGACUAUAAGUGCCCGUUUGACAUUGCUUAUUUGAGGUAAUAAGUGAUUUUUAAAAAAUUUUGAGAUGCCCAACCCGUUUGGUAAACUGUGAGAAAAUCACUUAUUGUUAAAAAUUGCUGUGAAAGAAAGCUAUAAGGGAAAGCAGCUAAUGAAGUGCUUUCAUUUUCUGAUUAUGUUGGAAUCAAUUUCAAAGAGGCGCUGGAUUUAAUGAUUAUGUGUAAAAUCAAUACCUACAACACUUUUAACAAAAAUUUUACCAAACGCCAAAUUGCUUUGUCUCACAGCUGAUUUCUCUCACAGCAAAUCUGACAGCGAUUAUUUUCACAUCACAGCAAUGCCAAACUGGCCCCAAGUGCCAGUUUGGCAUUACUUAUUUGGAGUGAUAAGUGAUUUUAAAAAAAUUUGGGAAGCUCAGCCCGUUUGGUAAACUAUGAGAAAAUCACUUAUUGUUAAAAAUUGCUUUGAGAGAAAGCUAUAAAAGAAAGAAACUAAUGGGGUGCUUUCAUUUUCUAAUUAUGUAGGAAUCAGUUUUGAAGAGGAGUUAGGUUUAAUGAUUAUGCGGCAAUCAUUUUCUGAUUAUGCGGGAAUCAGUACCAACAACACCUUUAACAAAAAGUUUACCAAAUGCCAAACUGAUUUCUCUCAUAGCAAAUCUGACAACAAUUAUUUUUACAGCACAUCAAUGCUAAACUGGCCCUAACUUACAAUAUUAGACAAUUAAGAGAUUAAAAUUUGUAGGUUUAUCCAAUUUCUUAGCCGUUUGGUUUAAGGUUUAAUAGCUUGGUAAUGUGUAUGAAAUUGUAUUCCUAUGUUGAUAAGUGUAUCCUUGGGAAUCCAAUAUCCUAACUCAUGGGUAUUGUUGGAAAACUAAGCGCCCGUUUGGUAUCCUAUUAAAAAAAAAAAAACUUAAAAACUAUGAUUCUUUUUAAAAUAUGAGUUUUCAAAUACAAAUUUUAAGAUCUGAAAACUUGUUUGGUAUGCAACUUCAAACCUAUUUUUAAGAUCUUAAAACUUAUUCCAAUGAAUUAUUAUUUUUAAUUGAAAAAAAAGGAAAAGCACAAAAGAAGCCAGGACCUCUCUUUCUACCUCUCUUUAUCUGAUGAACCAACGAAUCCCAACAGUGAAGAAUCAUGAACUCAGGUUUAACAACAACAAAAAAGGGUUGCAGACGACGCCGUCGCUGACGAGAUUUGGGCCGAAGCUGCUAUCAUCGACGACGAGAUUUGGGUCGUUGACAUCGUCGUCUUACAUCAGAAUGGUCUCGAUCUCAUCGAUCCAAUCUGGGGAUGAGUUCGAUGGAGCCUCCCCCACCGUUGAUGACUCUGUUGAUGGUUAGGGAGGAGAGAGAGAGAGAGAGAGAGAUGAUAGAUGAUAGAUGAUGAUAUGGGGGAGGACAGAGACGUGAAAGAAGAGAGAAAAAAAAAUGGAAAAUCUCACUUUUUUUGUUUUCAAUAAUUUGGAUGUUUUUGAGUUUUUUUGGGUUUAGGUUUUUAAAAAUGGGCUUACCAAACGGGUAUUUGGGGUUUUGGACUUAAAAUCUGUUUUUGAGUUUAUAAAAUUGGAUCCAAGUAGGAUACCAAACGGGCCCUAAACAACUUUUCAAUCUUAAUCUAUAUAUAUAAAGCAAAAGGCAGAGAAUGGUGAAACAUUUAAAAUACCAGAAAAUGCCCUUGGUUAAUGCAAACAUUAAGAAUUGAAAUUAUUAAUUAAAUGAAGAUAAUAUGGUAAAUUCAUAAUUUUUCGUAUUAAAAAAAUUAAAAUUAAAAGAAAAUUCAGAUAAUGGAUCCUAUUUUUAUGGAACACAAAUAUCCAUUAUCUUUUUUAAUUCUAAAAUAAAUUUAAAUUUAUUUUUAAAAAAACCUCUCGCAUGCGCAGAAGCGCGUGCAGAGAGGCUAGUACUGCAUAAACCAAACAUGAAAAUGAACAUCUUCCAUAUCCAUUACGUGUGAUUAUGCAUGGGAAUUUCAUUCCCAAGAAAUUCAUCCACGACCCAAAUGGCAAAGCCCUUCAUGUAUGAGUUUAAAAAUAUUGAAUAUUUCCACCGCACUUCAAAAUGGCCUAAUAAUAGGUGUAAUUUGAUGUAAUAACUAUAAAAUUACACAAUUUACUAUUCUAUUAUAGUAGUAAAAAAAUUUAACUUAACAAUCACUUUUCAAUUGUAAUCUUAAAUUGCCCUUUAAAUUUAUUUUUCAAAUGAUAAAUUGUAAUUAACUUUGAUAAUGUGGAGGGAAAUUGCUGAAUUUGGUUUGGUAACUAAAAAUAGUUUUCUUUUUCCUAUAUUGUUACUAUUUCCAUAUAUAGAUAUACACACACAACAAUAUCGAAUGUAUCAUUAUGUAUAGCAAAGCUCAAUUAUUCUAUCAUGUAUAGUCAACAAGUUCAAAAAUAGUUUUCUUUUUCCUAUAUUGUUACUAUUUCCAUAUAUAUACAUACAACAAUAUCGAAUGUAUCAUAUCUAUUGCAAAGUUCAAUUAUUCUAUCAUGUAUAGUCAAUAAGAUUUGAACUUGAGACUCCUUCAACAAAAUAUAUGCUAUCAUUAGGCCAAACGUUUCUAAGAGGCCGAAACGAUAUUUGACCCAAGAAAUCACCCACAUAGGAAUUUUCCUUUUAAAGAAACAAUCAUUUUUCCUUCCUAAUUUUCGAUUGUCAUUUUAAGUAAUAUAUAUAUACAACCACUCCAUACUUUAGGUUGUAAUAUACGUUUGUCAACAAGAUCUAGCUUAAUGGAAAAAGAUCUUGACUUUCAAAUUAUUGGUCUCUAGUUUGAACUCCCAUGACACCUUGAUAGUCCAGUGGUCUCACGUUCGAACUGUCAUGGUACUUGAGUAGUGUGCGUGUGAGAAACAUCAUCUCUCUUGUGGGUUAGACUAUCGCUUAUAUUAUAUAUAAAAAGUUGUAAUACAAGUUUUAUUUUUCCUACCAACAAAAGAAAUGAUAAAACUUUGACCUAUAGCUUACGCAGGAAGAUUCCCAUAUAGCUUGCACAACAAUUUAAAGAUGAAAGAAAUCUCAACCGUCCAUCGUGCUGACAAACGCGUGCAUUUGUAAUAAAUCCGCUUCGAAAUCAGAAAAUCAAACAAAGCCCAACAGCCGCGUAAAACAGAGGAAACAGAGACGAAGAGGGAAAACAACUCUUCAAAUUCCGAUGCUUUAGGGUUUUUCAACUUUUAAUAUUAAAUUUUCAGAACAAUUUUCGAACUUGCAUAUUGUGCUAUACGAUUCGUUAGGGUUUCACCACAGAAAGUAACCUUCUGAAUACAUUGAAUUUGCCAUGGCUCUAUUUAACCGGGAAAGAAACUCAGAAAAUACGUAUUUUCCCUGAUUUUUGCUUGGUUUCGAAUUUUCCCGGGAAAGUUACAGAGAAAGUUGAAGUAGUUGAUUCAAGGGAUGAUGGAACGUGAAUUGGCCGGUAGCAGUAGCCGUGGAAGAGAUAGAAUGGAGCAGCCGCAAGCCGUGGCUGACCGUAGAGCUCUCCGAUCACGCUAUUUUACUGUGAAGACCCUCAUUCACGGUAUCUACUUAUCAAUCUCUCAUUCUUCAAAUUUUUGAUGAUUUAUUUGUGUUCCCUUUUGUGUGGUUUAUGUGUUUGAUAUUGGGUUGCCGAGUUGUUUGUAAACUUUUCUUCACUAAAUUCUGGUUUGGAAUUUGUUGCUCUCUGUUUGGUUGCUGAGAAAGAUCAUCGUGCUAUGUGUUUUUUCCCUCGCAUUGUUUUGUUUCCCUUAAAAACAAGGCAGUUUAAUUUGAUUGGCGUUCAAGUAGUGAAAUUAUAGGAAACCAUAUGGUUUUAAAUGUUUGUAUCGGAGUUCAAGUAGUGAAAUUACCCUUCUUUUUUUUUUUAUCUCGAGCUUCUAGAUUUAAAAACUGUUUGUUUAUCUAUAUUUCACUAUAUCUAGACCAAAUAAUAAUCUAACGACUUAAUACAUACACGUUAAAUAUAGCUUAGAGUUUAGUUUCUAUUUUUUCAUUCUCUCUCUCGUCAUCUUCUCCGCAUCUUCCCCGUGCACUCCUCCUUUAUUUUUUUUGCUUCACAACUUAUUUUGUAUCGAUUCAGGAAUUACAACGCUAAUUCCCCAGUUGACAAGAAAGAUUUUUGAGGCGGGAAGAAAUGACAAAUAAAAAAGGAAUAGAUGAAGGAGCUGAUAGGGUGGGGGUGGUUGGUGCGGGUUGGGGAGAUAGAAGUCGGCUAACGUUAGUUAGUUUAGAAAAAUAUUUAUACACUAUAUUAAUAUACGUGUCAUGUCAUAAUUCGUGAGAUUAUUAAAAUGACUUAGAUAUAGUUAAAUGUAGAUAAAUGCAUAAUUUUUAAAUACAUCGGGAUCCCUAGCCUUUUUCUUAUGUCACUUGAACAUAUAUGAAUUAGAGGACAUUGCAAAAAUGGAUGUGUUUGUUGUUUGGUUUCAGGGUUGUUUAAUCUUCGAGCAUCAUCUCCAAUGGGGAUACAAAUGUUUUCUUUGAAAGUGUCCUUUGUUAACCUAUGUGGCAUUUUGAUACUAAAAUUUGCUACCUUAAAACUUUGUCCCUCCAACCCAUCCUUCAAAUAUGUUAGGAUGAAUAAAUAAACAAUUCUUUUGAUUAAAAUAUGUUGUGAGACCCAAAUUGCUAUGGUUAACUCACAUGUUGUAUUUAAGAUAUGAGUUGCUACUUCCACUGGAGGGGCUUUUAUCCUAUUUGGCCUAUCAAAUCAACAUUGCUACCCCAUAUACUAAUUCCAUUGGAGAUGCUCUGUCUCUAUAAUGGAGGUUUGGAUUGUUAUUCUUCCUGGGAUUAAUCUUCAUGUUAUGUGCUUUCUCUUUUUCUCUCCCACAGAAGUAAGUAGUUUAGGGAGGUGGAUUAGUCUGUAAAGACGCAAAUAAAGCCAGUUUAAUUUUCUUGGAGUGUAAGGAAACUGUGGGAAACCUAUGGUUAAAUUUUUGUAUUCUUUUUUUCUAAUUAUCUCUUUUUCUCGUGUCACUGAAACGGAUACGAAGAUGAAAGAGAUGACAUUACAAAAGUGGAUUCCGACAAGUUUAAUUCGAUCAUUAAUGAAGUGGAUAGCUUGCAUGAGAUGGGUAAUUUCCCUUUUCUUAUCAUAGAUUUCUCUUAAACUAAGAAAUUUACAUUUGGGAUGAAGGCUUAAUUGAUUGGUUUGCAAUGAAUUUCAGUACAAAAUCCAAGAGAGCAAGUUGCUGAUGCAGAGGCGCUUUUGGACAUUGCAAACACCUUGAUGACCUCUGUGAAGGCGCAGAACAAGGAAGGAAUCACAGCUACAGAUUUUGUCUCCUGUAUUCUUAGAGACUUUGGGCAACAAAGUGGGCUGAGAAGUAACAGAGAAGGGGUUAGCUGCUCAAUAUCUUGGAAGGAUAUUGGGACUGAAGUCUCAAAUGUUUUCCAGAGAAGCCCCCAAUGCUGCACUAUGUAAUGACAGCUCUGAAGAUCAAUUUUUUAAUAUGUUCCUUCGGUUUCGAUUUCUUUAAAUAAUUAUAUGGUUUGCUCUUCCUUCAGGAUUGGGCCUAUGAAUGCUGAAGUAAAGCAACGGAAGGCUCAUGUUCAUACGAAACGUGUGAAGCCUACAGAAAAUGAUACCCCAGAAGAGGUAUGGGUGGUUUUUGGCUUAGGGUAUCUUCUGUUUUCUCAUGAAACACUGAGCAGUUACCUAAAACUCACUUUAACUUUAUGCAGCUUGAUAAUGUUGCUGUAGAAGAGGAACCUGAGACGGUUAAGAAUGUGGCAGCAAUGUUUAAUAUCUUGAGGAAAAACAGAAGAGCCAGGCUUGAAAAUCUAGUCCUGAAUGGGAAUUCUUUUGCGCAGACGGUGGAAAAUUUAUUUGCCCUCUCAUUUCUGGUUAAAGAUGGGCGGGCUGAAAUAAAAAUUAAUGAAGAAGGCCAUCAUCUAGUUUGUAAGAUCCCUUGCAAUUGCUCACUUUCUUAUUUGACUGAGGACCUCUUCUCUUUUAUUCUCUAUUUGGUGUUAUUGUAUAGUUUUGUGUUUGGUGUUUCAGCUCCAAGGAAUGCUCCUGCUGCCAAAGCAAUUGCCUCAGGGGAGGUUGCUUACUGCCAUUUCGUGUUCAGAUUUGAUUUCAAGGACUGGAAGGUACGCUAAGAUUUUAUUGAUUGAAUGUUUAUUGUAGCUUAUCCAUUGAAUGAUUUUCCAAAUGGUGCAUUUGUGGAAUUUGCAGUUGAUGAAAGAGUCUGUUGGGGAUGGAGAGCAGCUGAUGCCACACCGGCGUCAAGAAAACAUAUCAAGCAAUUCUCAAUUUGAUCCGCAAUGUGUAGAAUCUGAAGCAACCACAGCUAAAACACCAAUUAGGAAGUUAUCCAGAAACAGAGGCUUGGUUUUACAGCUGCGGCCAGUUGGGGGAUGCGGCACGGCUCAUAGUAAUCAAUCAGUUGUAGAAGACUCGCCGGUAUGUGAUUACUCUGAAGAUAGAACUGCUGCCAUCCGAAAAGGGAAGCGUAAACUGAUGUGAAGUAUUUACUAAGGGAGGGAUGAAGUAUGCAAAUUUUGGGGACAUUUAGGACUUCUGCUUUUUAAGUAUACCAACUAGCAGUCAUUUAGCUCUCUGUAUGUCAGAUGCAUUGCUUGGGUUUCACACAUAGGACCAUGCCUUCACCUUCCACCUCUUGGCCCUUUUGGCUAUUUGAUACUGGAAGUGGAAGGUUCUUGUAUCGUAUACUUUCUUUUGAGAGAACCUUUUAGUUUUAUACACAUAUUUUAAUUUUUUAGGUGAAAAUUUCAUCAUUCAUAGAUGGCCCGGUUAGAAAAUGAUUUCUAGCAGCAAUAUUAUAUAUGUUGGUCCUAACCUCAUUUGAAUAAUUUUACAAUUUGAUAAACAAAAUGUUAAUAAAAAGUCUUGGUGGAAAUUUCAUUGCACCCUUCAUUUUGGUCUUGAAUAACAAUUACACCAAUUACAAUGUUAUGUUGGACACAGCAUACAUGAUAAUGUCAAUAGCAAAAAUGGAUUCCAACUAAAAAGACCUACCCUCAUUUCUUCAAUAGAAAGCAUGAAUAAGACCCGUGUUGUUUUUUGACUGCUAUAGCAUUAGCACAGCGCUACUUUGCUGCUUUUGGAAUAUCAAGGUUUUCAAAAACUGGGCUGUCAACUCCCACUCCCAUUGCAUUUAGACCAUUGUCGACGUAUAGAACAGUACCGGUGAUAGCUGAUGCCAAUGGUGAUGACAGGAAGGCAGCAGCAUUCCCCACUUCCUCUGUUUCCAUGAAUGGUUAAAGUUUAUGUAAGUUUGCGAGGUAAAAAUCUUGUCUAAUGAAGAAUGGAAAAUUUGGAAAUUCAUGCUUGCAUUUGGUUGUGUACUUAAUUACUCACCAGCAGAUAAUUCUUUCUGCAAGGGUGCAUUUUCCGAUGAGUAAUCAAUCAUCAUAUCAAUGAACCCAAUUGCUUUUGCCGCACGACUUCUUAAUGGUCCUGCAUAGGGGGGAAAAAACAUAUGAACAAGAAAAUGCGAGAACAUGGAACUAUGCAGCAUUUAGGGUUCAACAAAAAUGUGAGGUCUAGAUAAGUUUGAAGCCCCGAUAAGCUAUUUGGUGACACAUCUGCCAUCUGAAGACCAUUAUUGCAUAUCAGCAUCUUAUAUCGAAUGUUGAGGGUUGACUUUAACCAAGAUCCACGUACACUCAUAUGAUAGGAAGAGGUGCACCACAUCUCUUCAAAGAGAUGUUAAUCAGAAUCAUCAAAUAAGACAUUUAAUUUGAUGUGCAGAAGGGCAUCAACUCCUAAAUUACUAAAUAGCUUUUAUCAUCAAAGGCAAUAACAUCAAUAUUUUGUUAUCAGAAUGUAAACACUUUUUCGACCACAAGGCGGUCAUUUUAUGUUUCCAUUAAGUAGAAGACAGAUUCUGUCAACAGAAAAUAACUGUAGUACCAGGCAGAAGGGCAUCAACUCCUAAAUUACUAAAUAGCUUUUAUCAUCAAAGGCAAUAUUUUGUUAUUAGAAUGUAAACACUUUUUCGACCACAAGGUGGUCAUUUUAUGUUUCCAUUAAGAGUGGAAGACAGAUUCUGUCAACAGAAAAUAACUGUAGUACCAGCAGAUAUUGUGUUGACUCUAACGUUGUGUUUUCUUCCAGCUUCGAAGGCCAGCACCUGAAUCAAGGGUAGAAAUGUGAUAUAUGUGUGUAUAUAUGUUUCAUCACCAAAAAAAAAAAAAAAAAAAAAAGAGAAAAAAAAAGGGAGAAUCUAGAUAUGGUCAGUCUAAGAACUGUUAUAAAAGCAAAACAAUUAAAGACUCACGCGUGUGUCACUCUCUAGAGCAGCCUUCGCUGAACUCAUGCCUCCACCAUACCCCGGAAUGAUCCUUUCUGACGCAAUGUACGUUAGAGAGAUUGAAGCACCACCUGUCAUGUUAAAAUUUACCUUUAGAUUCUAUGCUGUCUACAAAAAGCCACUGCAACAUCAUGGGAUUCUUGAAAAAUGAAGAGGGGAGGAGGGGUAGGAGGAGAAAUAAAGCAUUAAAGUUAGAACUGUGCCUGGGUUAAUUAUUGGAGCAAAGUGCUUGAGUAAAGAAACAUAUGAGUAACUCGAUGCAGAGAUUGCUGCAAGAUACCCAUAUCUUGAUGUCUCCAAAAGAGGUUUAGUAACCUGUGCAUGAUACAUUUACUGCCUAAGUACCGUGAAGAUCUUAAAUGAUGUUGCUAAACAAAAAAUGUGAAGACAUAUUCACCUCUGGUCCAUUAGCAAGUGAGUGGACAAGGAUAUCAAUGCUGCCAAAAUCCUGUUUUACAGAUUCAACAACCUCCUGCAAAACAUUACAGAAUUAGCCAACAUACCCAAGCUGGGCCAGUUUUAGUAACCCAACAUCUGGAAACAUAACCUAUAACAGAAAGGCAUAUAAGCUCGACCAAAUUCAAGCAUGCAAUGCACCGUGGACAUCAGUGACCAGAGACACCUGGAAACAUAUGUUUCCACAUAAGCUUGAGGCAUUUCAAGCAUGUAAUUCACCAUGAAUUCUAGUGACCAGAAACAUCUGGAAUUAUAAAUUUUAACCAUUAUACGCAUUACACAUUCUAUUUUUCAUCUUAAAGAUCGCACACAAGAGCGUCAAAUUUCAUGUCUAUCUGACUAGGGGUGGAGGUUUCUGUCUAUGUGUCAGGUCUGAGCUAUGGGAAAUAAUUUCAUUAUACUAGAUAGGCCAAUCUUAUGUCAAAACUUCAUUUUCUUUGGGAGGGGGAGGGGGGAAGGGAGGAGCCAAGGUCCUCACUAGUGUGCCCUUCCUUUUUCCUCUGUGUGUCACUUAAAGGCUAAAAAUUUAGUCAAUAUCUGAGAGUCAAUAAAAUCUUACGAACUUCAAUUGAACAGUAAUUUAGUCAACACAAAAAUGAUACCUUCACAGUCCAAUUAGAGGACCCCAAGUAGCGCUUGUUGGAUUUUACCUGUACAAAACCACAAUAUGAGCACCACUACAAAUAUAAUUUGACUUUAUUGUAUAUUCCAAAAACUUAAUAUCAGGAGAUUCAUACAUCUUCAGGGACAUCCUCAGGAUUGUCAUAAACCGCGUCCAAUGGGUAAACCUUGGUAAUUUCCAUUAAAGAGCCAUCUGGCAAUCUGAAAGAAAAAAAUAGAAAUCAAAAGAAAAACCUAAAUCAGCAAUAAACUUCAAUAACAAUAACAGAGAAUUUGAGACAGCUAAAAAAACAUCAACAGAUUUGCAUAAAAUGCAGGAAAUGAAAAUCUGCUCUUACUUGCGCGACUCAUCAAACUUCCCACGCCUUAAACUGGAUUCGAAAAUGUUAAGUGCCUAUAACGAAUAAAACUUCAUUAAAAGACUACGGUUUUUCAGAAGUUAAGGUUCCACAAAUUCAGUUAGAUCAAUUUACAUACCGGCACCCAAGUACCAACUAGAAUUUCAGCCCCAGCAGCAGCAAGAGAUUUUGCUAUUGCCCAUCCAUAUCCAUGAUCAUCAGCCACUCCAGCAAUGAAUGCUCUCUUUCCUGCAAAUAGCUGUCCCAGUGUUAGAUAGAUGUGUGGAGAAUAUGAACUAAGGGAAGCAGCCUUGGAAAGCCAAAAUAUCAAUAGUUACUUCCUUUUUCCAAAACUUUGUCACCCUACCUUUGGGAUCAAAUAAUUUAAACAUCGAAAGCAAACCCACGAUCUUGCUUUGCCUUUCAAGAGUGUCUUUCUAGAUGAAAUCACAUUUCUUUUCCUAUUCUCUUGCUUUAGAACUAUAACUCUCUUGAUUUUCUGGAAUUAAAAAUCGUAAACUAGUGGCAUUCAUUAUUGACACCAACAAUAAACUAACAUCAAUUAUCAAUGAUGACGAUGACAAGGACCUUCUUGGGAAACUUCAUGACAAAUCUCUGACUCUUGUUGGCAGUAUUCUAAUUCCUGUCAUCCUUUUUAUCUGUCACUCAGUAACUUAUGCAGACACUAUGAGUUCACAAGGAUGCUGGUAUGCUAUACAAUAUGUCUAACUGUGAACCCUAAUAACUUAGUGCUUGCGCUAAGGGGAAAAGACAUAGAAUUGAUAGGGAACUGUAGCCAAGUGACUAAGUGCAAAACUUCUAUUCGUUAGUUCGAAUCCAACCAAUUCCUAGAGCGCCGCGCACUAUUGUUGGUCUAUUCUAAUUGUGUCAUUCAGCAUGUAAGUUCACGACAACUAUGAAAAACACUCAUACACAAGUUACAAAUUUGAGUACUUAAGAAAUAUACAAGAAGAAAGAUGUUUGACCUCUCAAAUCAAUAGGCAAUCCUGGCAACGGACUGUUCUCAGCUGCUCCUGACAUUGCUCUGGUGACAGCCUUUACAGAUUUCGUAGGCCCUGAUUUGAAGCUCUGGAAGAAUGGCUGCGUUGCUGAGAUGUGAGAAGAACUUUUAAGCCUUCUCCAAACUCCCACUUCACUGUUUGUACCAAAAUUUGCUGUGCCUGAAGUAUAAGUUCUUCGAGAGGAGGAUAUGGAAGGAUUAACUGCUGCCAUGUGGGAUCCAGGAGUUGUAGUCGUGGCCAUCUUAGAUACAAAUCACCAGAAACUGAAACAAACUCUGCAAGACGGAGAAGCAUAUACAUCAGUAACAGAGGUAGCAACACUAACACUCUGCUAGUAAGCUCAAACUUGUGACAUGUUAUCAGCAAUUAUUAGAGAUAUCUCUAAUUAUAAUUCUUAACAACCAACACAAGCAGUAAAUCAAACUAAUACAACCAAAAACUAGCAAUUAAUCUGUCUCAACCUGAUACAUGUAAGAUUAAACAACUUCAUCAGAGUGGUAGUAUUCAACAAAUGAAAUGCAAAAAUCUGGAGCAAAAAUAAAAACAACUAUUGGGUACCCAUUUUUGGAUUAGAUGGUAACCAAAUUAUAAUAACAAGAUUAGUUUCUUUCCAUUUCCUAAAGGUGUCUAAACAAUUGCAGCCAAUUUUACCCAAGAUCACUUAAACUAUUAGGCCAGGCUUUCAUUUUUCAUUUCCAACGUGGGAUCAUAAUACACUCAACAAAUGUCUCUACAAAACCUUAAUGAAUCAGAAAAUUUUGGAAACACAAACAACACGAGACAUUGAAUCAACCCAGUGAACAACGUUAGCGACAUGAUCAAAAGCUGUGUUUUUUAACUGAUCAGAAACCAGUGAGAUGCAUGCACACAUUCAUAGAGAGAUCCAAAGACUCACCUUUGACCUCUGCUGCAGUGUUCUGGAAGAGAAGAGCAAGGUUUUGGUUGUGUGUUUAUAUGAAAUGUGAGUGUCUGUUUUUGUGUGUGGGUUUCGAUGAAAUCGAAGUCUUGGUUUGUUGGAGAGUUGGUGUUGGGGAGCUUUGUAAAUGCCGAAUGAGGGGGUGGACACUGGACUGAGCGUUGAGCUGUGUUGUUUUUGGCGCCCUUAUGAAUGACAGUUUUGUCCUUGUUCUUAAAUGGAGCCUUUGGACUGUCAUUGCAGUGCCCCAUUUGUGCAUAUGGAUGCGAUGGGCUUAAGAUUCUGGAAGUGAAAAAUCCAAAAACAAAACUCAGUUGUGCUCAGGCCCAAACUGAAAAUCCGACGAAUCGAAUUAGGCAUGUAUAGGUCCGGAUUGGUUAGCUUCCCUUGGCCGGUUUUAGUUUUGGUUUCGGUUAUGGAGAAAAAUGGGGCUAAACUGAACUACGCUCGCCUUUAAUAUUGGAAGGUUAAUUCGAACACAUGACUUUCGAGUAUAAAGAUAACAAUUCUUAUUGGUUUAAUUAUUCGAUCAAUGGUAUAGGGAAAUUUCUAUAUACACCUACUUAGCUACCUGCUUAGUGCAUUUGAUCCUCACAUAAAAAAUUGCAAAAUUCUAAACUUUACUCCUCAUUGUAUUGAGAAUAUAUUUUUCUUAAAGUUCAACAGGUCUAGUCCAGUGAAAAAGGGGCAUUAACUUACAGAUCAAAAAUCUCAAAUUCAAAUCCCCACAAUAUCAUGGUUGUGUACGUGAAUUUCUCAAAAAAUAAAUAAAAAGAGAGGCAAAAUCAACCAUGGGGCUGCAACAGCCCAUUAUGAGAUUACCCAUUAUGGGUUGGCCCUUUACCUUUUUUUUAUUCACAGCCCACUGUGACUUGUUCUAAUUUAUAGACAAAAAACAUUACAUCACAUGAAUUUGUUGAGACAAAAAACAAUCAGUUUGGUGAAUAGUUUUAAGAACUUCUUGUAUCAGUAACAUCACUGAGUGAAUAAUAUUUUGCAAUAAAUACCUUUAUAAUAUACAUGUAGAAAUAUUUUUUCUUCAACUUUAAGAAGUUAGUCAACCAAAACAUUAUCUGGUAAAUAAUUUAAUAAAAACUGCGCUUUCAUGCAUAGUUUUCUAUUUAUCUCAUAUGUCACUAGAUUAAAAAAAAAAUUCAAGCAUAAUUUAAUAAAGUAUAAGAUCAUUAAAUAAGGUUCUUGAAUGAUAAUUUGUUUAAUAAAGCCUUAUAUGAAAUAUAUUAUUAUUAUUAUCAAGAUAUAUAAGCAGUUCCAAUAACAGUUUUUGAAAAGAAAAAAACAAUCAUAAAAAAACAUUUGUUCCAACCAAAAUUGAAUGUAGAUAUGGGAUUAGUAAAGUUGGAUAGAGUAGAUGUGCUCUCUACUAUGCACCUGAGUUUGAAUCCUCAUUUUCAUUAUUUAAAUUAGAUUAAAAUAGAAUACCGUUUGUAUAAAAAAUAAAUAAUAAAAACCAAAAUUGAAUGAAUUUUCUUUUGACAAAAUUAAAUUAUGUUAGACAUACCUUAACUGUGCCAUGCAAAAGAGGAAAACCAGAGAAAAAAGAAAAAAUGGUAAAAGAAAUAAAUUUGAGCUUACAUCAGCAACCCAGCAUAUUGGCGGCAACCCAACCCAAAUGUUUAACCCUAAUUUUAAAAUCCUCAAUUAUUUGCAUCACACAAAAAACAAUUAUUACAUCAUAUUAUUUAUUACUUAUUAUCCAGUACAACUAUUGCUGUUUUGUUAUUUAUGAUUUAUAUAUAAAAAAUAGAUAGUUAAUAUAAUAAUAUCCCAGCCAAGCUCUGGACUCUCCCACUCUCGUUUUCGAAGCCGCUUUAGUUUUUAGCCCCAGCAGCUGCUCUUCCUCUUCCAAAACCCUUCUUCUAGGGUUAGGGUUUGGGCUAGGGUUUGCCUCUAUGUUCCUUUGUCUAUCUUCUGUCUAGGGUUUUCUGUAGUAGUAAAUAGAAAUUCUUUUAUUGUUUCUGUGCUCGUUUUUAGUCGUUUGGGUUCGUUCCGGAUCUCGAUCUGUGUUCGAGAAUGAUGGAUACUCGUAAAAGAGGGCGGCAUGAAGCUGGUGCCUUCCAUGCUAAUGGUGGCUUCAAGAAGAACAAGCAAGGUUCGCUCUUUGCUUCUCCCACUCUGUUUUCUGUGAAUUUGAUAAAUUUACAUAUCUGUUAGUUUUAAGCUUUUAUUUUUUACUUUGUUUUCUAUUUGGUUUAUGCGAAGGUAUCUGAAGCUUGAAAAUUUAUCUUCUGUAAAAUAAAAAAUUUUAAAAAACCCAAGUACUGGUGUCCCUAGCAUGGCAAAUUUUUUUGUUCUACUUGGGUUUGUUGGAUUUGGAAUGUCUUUCAAAUCUAUGUGAUAUUACACGCUUCAUACUUGUUCAAGUUUAAACUGUUCCGUAUGUUCUGUUGAUGUGAAUUUGUGGCAUGUGAAAUUCUUUCCUGGUUUUUCUUAAAUCUUUGUUAUCUCAUAAUUUGCUUGUUUUUCCCAUUGUCUGUGGUUUUAUAAUGUCUCAAGUUGUUGGUAGUUUAUUAUCAGGCAAAGUUGAUUUUUGUUGUGCUUUCUUGUGCUGAACCAAUCCUUCAAAUGAAGUUACUUUGGUUGGCUGCUUUGUUUACGAAAGUCAAACAUGCCCUAUAUAAAAAAAAAAAUUAGCCGUCUUCAAUUUGCUGGUUAAUAUAGCUAGAUAAAAAUCAUGUUGUACUGGGAUUAUUUGGACUAGUACUAUACAGGUAACUAACUUUACUAAUUUUUAUUAUCUCUUUGGUUUCAAGCUUCUUAAUGGGUUUGAAAUGCUCUAGAAUAAUUGGAUUAAGGAUCAGGAGAAAAUGUAACUGAGAGGAAGUAAUUAAUGUUUUGUAACAGAAUUGGAGUCCUUUUCAACUGGUGUAGGAAGCAAAUCGAAGCCAUGCACCAAGUUUUUCAGGUUCAAAUCUUUGCCCAUCUAAGUAAAUAUAAUGAAAUGCAUCUUAUCCCUUUUAAAGGUAUUUACAAGCUUUUAUAAAAUUUCAACUUACAAUUGUUACAAAAUAAAAUCUUGUAACUGCACUAAUGAACUGGGAAUUCAUAGUUGUUAUACAGGUACGAACUUUGCUUUGGUCUAAUGAAGUUGACAAAUUCCAUGUAAUACUGCUUUAUUUAUGAAUUACAAGGAUAAGCAUCCGGUAGACUAAAUUGGGUGCUUAUGGAGUUAUAAUAAAAUUGAGCAUAGCAUGUAAUUACUUUAUAUUGUACCCUGUAGCUCAAUUAAUGUUCAUGCUUUAUCACAAAAGAUGGGUAAGACAAACUCUACUGAUAGUUUUUCCAGAUUUUAGUAAAUUUGUUUAAGCUGUUGAAACAACCCUUCUGUUGAUAAGUUGUAAUUUAUUCCCAUGCCUUCUGUUUAAGAAAUAUUAUUGAUGUGAACAUGGGUAAGAUUUAAAUUAAUUUGAAGAUGUCUUCUCUUCUUGUCGUAUAAAAUUUUAACUUAUAAUAACAUAUUUCAGUUUCAAUGGUAUGAUUUACUUGCCCGAGAAAAAAAUCUGCUUUGAAUUUAGCUCCAAAUCCUUUCUCCCCCCCUCCCUUUCAUAAUUUUUUUUUUUUUUUUUUUGGUGCUUUACAAGUGGGGCUGGGUUGAUUUGGGAUCUGUAUGGUCUUAUAGAUUCUUGUGUCUAUUAUUGACUGGUUUUCUUCUCAGUAAUAGGUAGUGAAUAAAACUUUUGAAUUGUAAAUUUGUUGAAAGUAGUAUAUGUUGCUUUGCAAUUCUCUAAAAAAAAUUAUAAUUGUAUCAGCAGGUUUUGUUAGUCAGUGAAAUAAUACUCAAAGAAAUUUAGGAAGCAAAUUUCGUUAAAGUAAAAUGAGUCCACAGAUGAAAUUGUUACUCCUAUAUAUCUGAUGGGUCCACGCCUGCAAUUAAGUGACGUUUGGACUAGAACAGUCUUUGUGAUGCAUGAUGGUGUCAUUAUCAUUUGGUCUAACCCUAUCUUAUUAACUGAAAUCACUGCUUUAUCUUAGAAGUAUGAUGGUUCAGAAUUUGUGCUUGUUUGAAUUUGGACUGAGUUAUGUCUCAACUCAAUGUAGUUGGUAUUGUAUUUUUGGAUUUGUGAUUUUGUGAAAAAUGGAGGGGGUUUGUGGGGGUUGUACGGUUCGUUUCAUUUUUAUCAUCUGAUUAGGUUUUGUCACUAAAUACUGCUAAAGGAGAUUAAGAUAAGUUUGCAAGUUAUAGUUGCUUGGUAUUGUUUGGUUAAGUGUUUCCUGUCAACCAAAAAUGUUUGUGAAAUUUAUAUUUACAUUUACAGGAACAUAGAAAAGAACAACAAUUGUUAUACUGUUGGUCCUUGGCAUACGCUAGAAGGAACUUUUGUGAUGUGAAACCUUAUUUCUUAUCUUCGAAUUGAGUGACCACUGUUGGCCUGAGUAUCCAUAUCUCUGUAGAGAAUAGUUAAUAAUUGUUUACUGUCAUCUGAUUAAAGAGCUUUAUGAUUCUGAUUGCAGCACUGCUGGCUGUCCUUUUGGCGAGAGUUGCCACUUCCUGCACUAUGUUCCUGGUGGUUAUAAUGCUGUGGCUCAGAUGAUGAAUCUUGCGCCUGCUCCUCAAGCAUCUAGGAACAUUGCUCCCCCACCAUCCAAUUCAAAUGGAUCCAGUUCAUCUGCAGUUAAAUCGCGCUUAUGCAAUAAAUAUAAUUCUGCUGAAGGCUGCAAAUUCGGUGACAAAUGCCAUUUUGCACAUGGUGAGUGGGAACUUGGCAAGCAUCUUGCUCAGUCCCACGAUGAUCCCCGUGCCAUGGGACCUGGUCCAGGCCGCAUGACCAAUUGGAUGGAGCCACCCCUUGCAGGCCCUGCAUCUAGCUUUGGUGCCUCGUCCACUGCCAAAAUCAGUGUAGAUGCUUCGCUUGCAGGAGCCAUUAUUGGGAAGGGUGGUGUAAAUUCGAAGCAGAUUUGUCGCCAGACAGGUGCCAAGCUUUCAAUCCGGGAGCAUGAGUCAGAUCCCAAUCUCAGGAACAUUGAACUAGAGGGGACCUUUGAACAGAUUCAGCAAGCAAGUGCCAUGGUGAGAGAGCUAAUUGUGACUGUUUCAAUGUCUGGCCCUGCAAAAACUCCUGGAGGAGGAGCUCCAGGGGCCCCGGCCCCUCCUGGAAGUAACUAUAAGACAAAGCUAUGCGAUAAUUUUACCAAAGGGACUUGCACCUUCGGAGAUAGAUGUCACUUUGCACACGGGGCUGCUGAAUUGCGGAAGUCUGGGAUGUGAGUGCUCUUUCAGUUUUUGCUUGCAACCUUGUACUAGUGGGAGAGCUGUUUUGAUUUGUCCAUGUGCAAUGCAACUUAGCGGAACUAACAAAAUUAUGAUAAUUUUUGGGCAUUUGGUUUCCUUUGUUUCUAGUGUAGCUUGUAGGCAUAAGUUUACUUUCUGAAUAUAUGUUUUAUAUGCUCGUCAUUUGUUUAUGUGGAAACUAGGGCAGGAUUAUUUGUCCAAAACUGUUGGUAAUUUUGAUGACACUUGCAGAACGUGGGUAGGAUUUUAAGCCUUAUAAUAACUUUUGUGUUUCAAUUGAAGUUCAUUAAGAACUGCAAACUACCUACCAAAGUACGCCGGAUUUGGAUCCUCUGCAAUGAUUUUUUCUGGCAUAAUCUUCUUUAUUUUUGUUAUUCAUACGUCAUCUCAUUAAAAUUUAAUUUAAUGGAUUUACAAGUUGACACAUCAUCCUAAAAUAAAAAUUCAAUUUACUUUUAAUUCAAAAAAGAAAAAAAAAACAUAACACUCAACCAACGAAAUAGUUAAUAUCCAAAGUUUUUUUUUUCUUCUUCUUGCUUCAGUGUCCUCUUCUCUUUUUUGGGUUCUUCCUUGCAUUUUGGGGUUUUUUCCCUCCUCAUGUCUCUCUCCAAAAAUCAAUUUUAUGGAGUAUAAUUGGCCGGAUCCAAUCAUCACCAGACAAAAGCUUUGAGUUUGUUUGAUUGUAAUUACCGACGGCUCAUAAUGAAGGACCGGAUGGAUUUUGAACUUACAGGCCUCAUGCGUUUGGUAUGACCAUGGUUCUUCUCAACUUCAAGUUGUUACUGUAAGAUUAUUAAUUCAAUUCAAUUAUGUUAUCUCAUUAAUUUUUUUGUUCUUGGUGGGUUCUUAUUCCUAAUGGGCCAUAACUCCCUUUUCUUUGGGUCUUUGGUGGGUUAUUCUUCCCAACUUCACGUUUUGGCUUUUUUGUCCAAGAAGAAGAGGCCCUGAUCUUCUUCAUCUGUCCUCCUUACGGCCUCUUGCUCUUCCUGUAAAAUCACAGCCAGAAGGAAUAAGAACCCACCAAGAACCAAUAAAAAGGAAUGAGAUAACAUAAUUGAUUUGAAUUAGUAAUCUUACAGUGACAUGAAGAGAAAAAAAAAAGUCAGAACGUAAGGAAGAAUCCAAAAAAGAGAAGAGGACAGCGACGAGAAAAAAAACAACUUAGAAUGUUAAUUAUCCCGUUAGUGGGGUGUUAGGGUUUUUUUUUCUUUUUUAAUUAGGAAUAAAUUGGGUUUUUAUUUUAGGAUUAUGCGUCAACUUGUAAAUCCAUUAGAUUAAAUUUUAAUGAGGUGGGUAUGAAGAACAAAAGUAAAGUAGAUCAUGGAAGAGAAAAUUAAAGCAGAGGAUCUGAAUCCAAAUAAGCCAAAGAGUGCAACAAAUGCCAAUCCACAAAGUUUAAUUACCAUUGAAUCCCAUUAAAGGCAUGUAAUGCUAGAGUUCCAUCUUAAUACCAAAGGAAAAACUAAGGAGAUGUCAAUCGUCAAACCAAAGGGAAGCAUCUUUUCUCUAUAACCCGCAAUAACAUGAUACAAGCAACCUCCAUUUCCAAGCAGAAACUUGCGAAUGUUGAUGGACCAAAAGCUUUUGCUUUUUUCUUUUUCUUAAUUAGCAGGGAAGAGGGAAUUCGAACUUUGAACCUCUUGCAACUUUGGAAAUAGAGGUAGUUGGUGCUCACUAAACCAAAAGCUAACUGAUAUAUUGACUCUUGAAUGGCUUUUCACCCAAGUAUCAUUAAGGCUUCCAAACCCACCCACCUCUUUGUGGCAGACAAACUUCCUCCCAAGAGACCUUUAGAAGCCUAAUGGUUAGAACAAAUACCAGCCCAUAAGAAAGAACAAAUUCUUUGUUCAAUGUCCAACAACAGUUUCUUGGGCAAGAACAAACAACCUCCUUAGGAGGCUCAAGAUUAUGAUAUUGAACAUCCAACAUCUCAUUCCUUCUUUUGAAUUUUAAGAACAUUUUUAAAGAGAUCAAUUUCACUACAGACUUAAGACACCAAUUGAAUUAUCCACACUUUUAGUCUCACAUUGUUCCAAAUUCAGUCCUCCCUGUUCUCAAAUUUGAUUUGUACGGAGGAGGUUGUCCUCGUGGUUUUGUUUUGUAGUUUUGUUUUUCCUUACUAAAAACAAAAACAAAAACGAACUUGAAGAUUACAUGAAGAUUCCAUAAAACACAUGUUGAUGCCCAAAAUGGAGUUCAACUUAAAUAGAUGUGGAGUGAUGGAUGAUGUGUGAAGACGUGAGCCUUCAGCAUGUGUAUGUGUAGUAGGCAGGUUAUUGUCUUCAGUAGUCAAUGACAUUCAGCGUAAGUAAAGUAAAUAAGCAUGCAGAAGACAAGGUAUACGUGGUUCACCCGAAUGAUUGGUUACGUCCACAGAGAAGGAUGUUCUCAUUAUGAUAAUGUUUGUUUACAUUUGUACAAGGAGAUUAGACCCAAAAAUAAAGGGAAGAAGGCCCAAGGCCUAAGUUAUAAAGCCCAAGAGUCCAAGGCCCAAGGGUCAAGACCUAAGACUCUUUUCUAAGUGGAGUGUGGUCUUUUUUUAUAGGUGAAUGGGAGUCUCCACCUCUUGUAGUCUUCUAAUGUGGGACUCUUGACAUUACCCUUAAUUAUGACUUAUGGCAAGGCUUCUUUGGCUAAGGUGACGACCUCUCAAAGCACAGUACGUGGCUGAUCUUGCUUAGCUAAUUGAUCGGUUAGUCAUGAUAUCGACAACACGUUGAAUAGAUUGUCACUUCCCAGCACAAGAUAAGGAACUUAAGUCAAUAAUUUAUCUAAUUGGUAAGAAUUUUGAUGUUGGAGUUGAAACAACUAGUAAUCUUUAGGUUUGAUAGGGUCACCAACUAGUAAAAAGGAAUAUAAUUAAAAAUAUAAUAUUUUUAAUUAACUUUUUCUCAAAAGAGUGUAAAGCCAAUUUUUAAGAGCAACUACAAUUAUACUCUCUAUUUUUUAAUUAAAAUUUAGGGAAAAUACACAAAAACUAUUUUAAGAGCUCUUUAUAAAAUUUCAACUUCAAUCAUACUUUCUAGUUUAGGGAGUCAUAAUUGCUAUAAUUCUUUUUUAAUUCAACAUAAAUGAUUCAUCUCUAUUUUUUUUUUUUUAAAUGGCAAUAUUAAUUAAAGAUUUAAAAUAGGAAGCUGAUUUUCUCACUCCUCUUUUGUCCACUUAAAUUCCUUUUGUUGGAAAUUGUAUGUUUUCACUCCUACUUUGUCCACUUACACUCCUUUGUAUGUUAGAGUAAAAAAUAUUUAAAAACAAAAUAGAGUGUAAGUGGACAAAAAGAGAGUAGGAAAAUCAUCAGCCUUAAAAUAUUCAUUAAAUAAGGCAAUAUUAAAUUAUAGGAAGUCACUAGUAGUUUAUUCUCUCUUCUCAUAUUUAGGAGCUCCUAGAGGUCUCCUUAUUUUAAAAGCUGGAUAAGAAGCAUGGUUGGAGCUGGAUAGGUGCAUUAAUUAAUUAUUACUGUAUUAAUUUUCAUUAAUGUAAGAAAAAACAAUUACAAUAAUAAAAGAGUGCUGCUAUUUGUACCCUUGUCCUAUUUUAUCAUCCAUUAUUAUGCAUUAGCCCCUGUUCACGCAUGUGCCAAUUGGUUUUAUUUUUUAUUUUUUAUUUUAUUUUUAGAAAUAAGAAAAAAUAACAUGGGUAGUUAUGUUCCAUAAAAGUAGGACCUAUUAUAUGAUUUUAUUUUUAUUUUUAAUUUUUUUAUUAUGAAAAAAAUAUGAAUUUACCAUAUUAUCCUUAUUUAAUUAAUAAUUUCAAUUCUUAUUAUUUGAAUUAACAAAGGACAUUUUCUGGAAUUUUGAAUGUUUCACUAUUUUCUAUCUUUUACUUUAUAUAUAUAGAUAAAAUACCCUUUAAUUAUUAAAAUACUACAACAUUAAUAUUUGUUUAUUACUAACAAUUUUAAUAAAAUAAUUAUUAUAAAAAUAAAACUAAACCAAAUCCAGUAUGCAAAGAUAGUUAUGCAGCUGCUGAAUAAGACUCUCGAGAUGUGACCUUGCGUUGUAGAUGAAUGACUGUAAGCAGCCAGCUUAAUUACUUUCUCUUGAUUAGUGCCCAAAAUUGGUAGGCUAUUCUUGAUCACCCCAACUGUGAAUUCUUUGUGAGAAAGAAUACAUAAUGGAUAAACUGAGACUAAGAUGAUAGAAACCUUUGGAACCUGUAGGGAUGAGUCAAUACCACCUCCCCCAACGCAGCCCCCUCUUUGGCGGCAACACUCUUAAGGCCAAGUGGGUCAUGUUCGAUAAGACCUUACUCUUUCAUCAAUACCUCUAACGUCGGUGAUGAUUACUGUUUCAUCAAUACCUCUAACGUCCGAUAAGACCUUACUCUUUCAUCAAUACCUCUAACAUUGGUGAUGAUUACGACGACGGUUGUCUCUGGUAAGGAGUUGUUGGGGAUUGUGACUAGAGUGUGGAAGGUGGUGGAUGGUUUGGGAAUGGUUGGGAAGAGGGGUCGCAUUGUCUUAAAGGCCUGUUUAGUUCAUGGGAAAUGAGAUUUGAGAAUGGAAAAUCAAUUGCUUUUCUAUGUUUGGUAAGUCUAGAUAUGAGAAUUCGUUGCUGGCUCAUGGGAAAGUACGGGGGAAAGUGAAGUCAUCCUCCCCAACUUGGGUUUUGUUUUUCCUCUUCAUGAAAAAAUUUGGAAAAAUAAGCUAACAUUAAAUACAUAUUUUUUAAGACUAUUUUAUCCCCAUUAAUAAUUUAGAAUUACAAUAUAUCAUUAAAUACAUUCUUUUUUUAUUUGAUUUAAUGUGGGUAUAAUUGAAAAUUUAUACAAACUUUUUUUUCUAUUCCUACUUUAAAAAAAUAUGGUAAAUAAAAUAAAGUGAUAUUUUUCAGUUACUUUUCCAGUAUUACCAAAUGUGAAAAAGGAAUCUUCCAUUCUCAUUCCUUGGAGAAUGUAUUGAAAAAUGAUUUCUCCUCAAAUUCAUUCUAUGAACCAAACAAGUGGGUGUAAGUUUUUAAAAAUCAUUUUACGAAGACAAUUAUAAAGAUUAGAUUUUACAGAGACAAUUUUGUCUCAUAAUACGUCUUUUCUUAAUGUUAAAGAAGAUUUUAAAGAAGAUUUAAGGCGAAUCUUCCCCGAUUUUUUUUAUAAACUUAUAAAUUUAAAAAAAAAAAUCAUUACUAAUUUUCUUAGAACCACAAGCAGUUAAUUCUUUUUGGCACUGAGACACUCUCAAUCUCUCUCAUCUCACAUAUCUAAGCAUCUUCUCAAUUGGCUGGCACUUGGUCCAAAUUUCUGAUUCAAAUUUAUAUAUAAACUUUUACACAAUGCUACCAAUUUUAUUCCAUUAAAACUUGUAAAAUAUCAAAACAAACUUCAACCACUAUGCCUUAAAAGACUUGCCCAAAAAAAAAAAACCCACGUAUUACAUAUUAACCCACCAAAAAAAAUUGGGAUUUAAAAGAUGACCUAACCCGACCCCACAACUAAUGGCCAUAGUACAUAAUCAAAGGCUCCAUUUCAACUGAAGGUCCCACCAGUUCCAUAUCCGGGUGGAUUCCCACCCACACGAGUAUUAUGGGCUGCGGUCCAACCCGUACCUGUGUUGAUCCCGAUAGGGUGCGAUUCCACUACUCCCUCCGUCACCUGGCCCGUGGGCUGCCCGGUACCAUGUCCGGGCAGCGCUGACAUUUGGUGAGCCCCAGUGGGCUGCCCUGUGGCCCCGGUUGGGGAGUAUGUGUGGGUCCCAGUGCCACUUGUUGUGUACCCCGUGGGCCCACCCACGGAUGCCUCGUGUCUAGCCGUGGCGUUGUGUGCCUUCGCCGCACACUUGUUCAGCUCGGCCUCCACCAUUCUCUCCUCCCUCUUUUGGGUUGCCAUGUCCUUUUCAACCGGGUCAUGAGCUGUCAUCUUCUCCACCUUUUUUUUUUUUGGUUGGAAAAACAAAAACAAAUGGUGAAUGAAUAAUAAAUUCAUAAAAUGAAACACAAAAAACAUGAUUAAAAUAAAACACAUGAAAUAAAACCUUUUCUUGCACUGUGGCUUUGGUCUUGUCCAUGCCAGACUUAGCAGAGGCUGCUACAUUAGCAGCCGUUUCUUUCACGGACCCCUUUACGUUCUUCCCAGACUGCAUUUUCAGCUCACUUCCUUUUUCUUUCCUUUUUUUUUUUUUUUUCCAAUCCAAAUAAUUUGUCUCAAACUUUGUUUUUUAGCACACUGUAGCAAGUUAAUAUGGUGCGCUUCAAAUAGGCUCAAAGGACGUGUUGGAGUCGCGACACGUGGAAUAAUAGAGAGUUUAGGUGGGCGCUGGAGAGAACAUCACGAUCCCUGUAUUGACACGAUGCAGACACGUGUCAGAGCGUGCUGACAGUGUUGAUGACGCAGCAGUUGGGAAAGUUUAUAUGGUUGCGACACGAAGAUGAUAAUAAUGACACGUGUCGUUUGCGUGUAUCUGCAAUCACCCGAAAAAAAAACACAUAACACAAAACCAAAAAAAAAAAAAGCAUAUAAAUAGAAUGAAAAUAACUCAAUUGAACCAAGCAUUUAAAGAGAGUUCGUUGUUUCCCGAUAUGCUUGGAUGAUUAGGUUAACAAUUGAAUCAUGAACCUAUCACAAUCGGAACUUAAAUUAGACUAACAAUUGCAUCAUGCACCUAACGCAAUUGAACCAUACAAAACUAAACCCUAUAUUACACUACAAUCAUUAUGAUUUUAACAGAGAGAUUUCAUUCUCACUAAUUUAAACCGAAACUCAAUUCAAUAUAUUUUAAAAAAAUUCCCUAAUUUAAACCGAUACUCACUACCAAAAAAAAAAGAGUGCUACGGUUUUGAAAACCCCAAUUUUAUUUCGAAACAACCCUAAUACAUACUUUUAUUAAGGAAAAAUGGGGAUCAGAUCAAUUUUGUUCUUAAAUUAUUGUUCAGGUUGCUUGAUUAUUUAGUUCAUUUGAAAUAUUUGAGUUAGAUUCGACAAUAUGUUUUAGAAAGUUUUAUACGAAACAUGUUUCAAUAAAGCAAGGAACUUUUAACUUAAUCCGGUAGAUAGCUAAGAUAUAGAUUGGAGAAAAUUAGGUCAGACGGUACUAUUUUACGUGCAUCUUUAAGUAAACAAAUUGACUCUAAAAAGAAAAAGAAUCAUCCUCAACAAACGAGAGAGAGAGAGAGAUAACAACAUGAAAGUAGAUCACCUUAUUGAACUUUGAUAAGAUGUUUGUGUUAAAAGUCAUCUAAGUUUGCUUACCUUGUCUAUUGAACUUUAAUGAGACGUACGUGUUGGUCUCUUGUAUAAAUAGACAGAGAGUUCCAAAGUUAUGAGUUUGUCUAAGCUAGAUGCAAUGCAUCAUGAAAUUUUGUACAAUUUUAUGUAGAUGGUCUACUCUCUUGUAUAAAUACGGAGUUUGGGAUUCUAUGAAAUUCACUAAGAGAAGACAGACAAGUCAUGUCCUAUCAGUUUGAAAAUAAGCCAUGAUUAAGACAAGUCUUACCUGAAUAUUCAAUUCUGGAGAUCUAACAUUGUGGGAAUGAAUAUUCAUAUCAAAUUUGGUCAGCAUUUAAACAUAACUUUGCUUCCUUGAUUCUAAAUAUUUAUAUGAAAUAUAGUCAGCAUUUAAACAUGUGCUUAAUUCUCAACUUAGUUAUAAAAAGUCUCAAGAUUGAAUUAUUAUUCUACUAUAUAAAUUUACAGAAGGGCACUUCGAAUGGAAAUUACCUUUUUUUAUUUAUUUAAAGAUGAGAGGAAAUUUGAUUUUGGGAAAUUGUCAAACAUUUGAAUAAAAUAAAAAAGUGUUGCAAAAAUGUAGCAACACAUGGUAGGCACCACUGAGUUGAUUACCACGAAACAUUUCUCCAACCACUUUUACAACGGAAGAAAAUUUGACGCACAUUUCCUCAAAAUUCAAAUCGACGGUUGAGAGGAGUAAUAGUAACACAAUAGUGAACCGGAGACGGACGGCCAACUCCCGAAACCUACUUUCUUUUAUGACAAAAUUAAUAAAGCCUAAUUAGUCACGAAAUAUGGUUACGUUGUUUAAUUUAUUUGCGUGUUUAUAUUAUAACUUGAUUCACAAAAAAAAGUUUGAUUGAAAAUGAUUUUAGGAAGCAAAGUUAUGUUAGGAAAGUAACCAAAAAAUAUCACUUUAUUGCAUUUCCAUAUUUGGUUUGCGUAGAAAUGUAAAAUAAAGUUGAUUUAAUUUUCCAAUUAUAUCCAUACGAAAUCAAAUUAAAAAAAGAAUGCAUUUAAUGUUAUAUUGUAAUUCUAAAUUGUUAAUGAGGACAAAAUGAUCAUGAAAAAUAUACAUUUAAUACUGACUCAUUUUUCAAAGUUUCACACAAAAAGGGAAAAUGAAACUAAGGAGGAGAUGAGUUACAUUUUUCCCCUAUUCCUUAUGUACAAAACAACCAUUUCUCAUGUCUGGACUUAUCAAAUAUGAGAAAACAAAUGAUUUUCCAUCCUCAAGCCUCAUUUUUCAUGUACCAAACACAGCCUAAAGGGAAUAUCAACCAUUUUGUCUACCCAUAUUAUAACACGUGUACAAGUUAUACCCCGUAACCAUACUCCAAUACCAUUAUAUAAUUUCUCAAAAAAGCUACAACUUUAAAACUUCAAUGAUGGACUUCCCCAUCCAACACAAUGACAUCAUCACCUCAACUUAAGAACAUUUAAGUUUUUUGGUCAAAGAAGAACAUUUAAGUUUAAAAAGUCUUAUUUAUAGACAAUUUAAAUUCAAAAAGGACCAGUGCUACUUGGCGAUGUGACACACCUAGCACCGUGGUUAGAGCAUUCACAAUAGGCUCUCUAAAUCAUCUCAUGAGACAAAUUUUAGGGAGGAAUUCGAAAAAUACAACUCCAACCAUGCUCCCUAUUUACCUUCUAAAAUUGAGAGACUUGUAGGGGCUCCUAAAUCUGAGGAGAGAGAAAAGACUCCUAGUUGCUCCCUAUAAUUUAAUGCUGCUUUAUUUAAAGUGUAUUUCAAACCUUUAAUUAAUGCCAACUAUUUUUUAUAUUAUUUUUAAUAGAGAUGGACCAAUUAAAAAAGAGUUAUAGCAUUUAUGACUCCCUAAACUAGAUAGCAUUAUUGUAUUUUAAAUUUUAUAGAGAACUCCUAAAAUAAAUUUUAUAUGUUUUUAGUUAAAAUUUAACUAAAAAAUAGAGAACAUGAUUGUGGAUGCUUUUAGAGCAUCUCCAACCGAUAUAUCAAAUUGUCACAUGGACAUGAAAUGACAAAAAUUGAAGGCUAAAGUUAGUCCAAUCGAGUAGUCAAAUCUUAUAUAGAUUUGAAGGUUGGAAGAGAUAUGUCAAACAUAACAUAUCAAAAAACUUGAUGUCAAAUAUUAUUUUAAUAUAUUUUUUAGUCAUGUACCCCACUAUCAUUUACUCACUUUAAAAAAUUUAUGCAUCAUAUGGGCCCCAUUUGUUUUUAAAAAUAUAUAAUAAAAUAAUAUGAUAUUUGGCAUUUCGGGUGGAGUUAAAUUUUUUUUCAAAGUGUCAAAUUGCCACAUAAGUCAUCAAAUUCAAAUUUAACAUUUGACAUCUCCCUUUGAAAUGAUUUUAGAGGCCAUCACAGCACAUCGUGUGUCAAAUAAGUAACACGUCUUUCUAAUUUUUUAUUAUUUAUUAAAUCAUUGAAGAUAAAGAGAUUUUAUGACGUCAAAUUUGGAGGAUGUGACAUGAAAGUGUAAAUAAUUAUAAAAAAAGAAAAAGAAAUGCAAAUGUCAAAAAAAUAAUAAUAUAAACGAUUUAUUUUCAAUCGAGAUAGUUCCGGAACUAGGUCAAACAAUCUACUAAAUACACCGAAUAAAAUUAGUUGCGAUAUGAUUUUGUUUGAUUCAAAAUAACCCUUUAUUAGAUCAAGUGGCCGUUAAUGGGGUUUAAGGGUUCGUUUGAGAGUGAUUCUAUAUAGACAAGAAUCACUUCUGAGAAGAAGUACUUCCCCAUGUGCUUCUUCAAAUAAUCAUUUUUAGUUAUUUUAAGCGAUUAUAGAGAAGUGAUUCUAGGUUCGAAUUUGCACAACAUCAUGAUAGUGUGUGUGAAGACACCAUUUCCUAUAGUUUAUAUUGUUGCUUAUACUAAAAAAGGGUGAUGAUUUUCUCACUUACAUUCCCUUCUGUUUAAAAAAAAUAAUAUUUACUAUAACAAAAAAAUAGUGUAAGUAGACAAAAGAGAAGUGGGAACAUCUCCCAAAAAACAUUAUCAAAUAAAAUGGCUCAAAUUUGAUCAUAACCCUAUUUUUGGUUGGGUUAUUUUUCUUGACCUUUUAUUAUUAUUAUUCUAGCCUCUUGGCACAUGCUCAUGUAUGUGUCAAUUAGUUUUUUUUUAAAAUUUUUAAAAUUAAGAAAAGAUAAUAUAGGUAGUUAAGUUCCAUAAAAAUAGGACUUAUUAUUUAAUUUUGUUUUUAAUUUUAAAAUUUUUAAUUAAAAAAAUGUAAAUUUAUUAUAUUAUUCUUAUUUAAUUAAUAAUUUUAAUUAUUAAUGUUUGAAUUUCGUUGGCAUGUAAAUUUAAAGCUUAUGUUUUUAUGUGUAGGUGUUGAGUGCUGGUACUGGCCACCCGCAUAUAAGCGGCAAUUGCCUAUCGCGCCAUAAUUUCCACAAUCGUCACCCUAAUGCAGCCCAUAAUUACGAAAAACCUCAAAUCCCAACACGUCGUUUCACGAACUCAGCAGGGGCCACUCUCGUCAUUACAAAAAAUUCAACAGCACCAGGAGGGCCAACCCACACUGACACUGACACAUACACGUGAUAGCACAGAGAUAUUUUUUUAUUUUUUUAUUUUUUUUGUUACAAGAUAUUUAUUUUUUUCACUUUCUCUUACAUGGGUAGGCACGUCCCAUCCCCGACGUCGAAAGUGCGUGGGAAAAUAGACGGUCAGUAUCGAAUGUAAAAUCAGUUAAAAGCCUGAGGCAGAGCAUCGAUCGUGUCACGCAAAGCAAGCAAAAGUUACCGAGGAGAUCGAAUCAGCUGUGGCCACGUCAUCAGAUAUACAAAGUCCGAAGAAAUCCGUGGCCCCGUCUCGUAACCCGUGGGUCCCACAGAUAUGGCAAAGCGGGAGGGAAGCCAAAGCUUAAAUAGUCGUGGCCUCAGGCCCUCCUGGACACUUCAAAAGGGCCGGCGCUUCCUCCUUAUACAACAGGCCACCGAGCCCAAGAGCGAGAGAGAGAGAGCGUGGAGAGAGAAGAGCUUCUUGUUCAGGUACUCUCUCUCUAGUUUUUUUUAUUCAUUUUGCUUCUGGUUGAUUGUUUCUGUUUGGUUUGGCUUGUCAAAUUCGGAGUUUUCUACUUGCAUUUCGCUGUUUUUGAUUGAAUGUGAUUUCAUUUUGUAUGUUUGAGCUCCAUUUCCUGCUUCAAUGGCGUAAUCUGGAUUAGAUCUAGGCGUUAAUGGUUUUCUAUGGAGAUUCAGAUCUUCGUGUUCGUUUGCGACUGCAACUCCAAUUUUAUUUCCCUUUUUCUUUUAAACGCCUACGAUUUUGAGCUAGAUUAUUAUAAUGCUACUAAUAUGAUUUUUUAAGCUCGUUCAUUCUCUAUGGAGAUUCAGAUCUUCCUGUUCGUUUGCAACUCCAUCUCCUUUUAUUUUUCCUUCUCUUUUUCAACGGCUACGAUUUUGAGCUGUAUUAUUAGAUGCAACUGGUAUUCUUCUUUUAUAUAAUAUACAUAUAUAUAUUUCUAUAUAUUUCUAUUUUUAUGGUUGAUUUAAAAGAAUUGAGCAUUUCGAAGUCCGAUCUGACUCAUAUGAGCGUAACAGUCUGGAUUUUUUGUCGCGUUAUUUGCCUUGGUCCUUUCACACAUGAUAUCUGUCGUCAUCUCUCACACCUUAUUUUCAAGUAUUAAAUUAUUUUUCAUCAUUUUUACGGUUAAUAUUAUAAUUUAAUAUUAGUUAAUAUGGAUUCCGGUUUUUUCUGUUUGAGAAAAAUAAUAGUCCGUUUUUAUGCGGUCCCCCCCAUCACGCCCGAAUUUUCUGACCAUUCGUCUUCGUUCUCGUUUUUCCUUCUUGGCUCCUUACGUUUAAAUGCCGCGUUUUAUUGGGGCGGUUGCAAGUGCGUCCUGACUAUUUUGCACAUAUUCGUGAUAACUUUUUCUCGGCUGAUAAUUUUGUAACUUUGCGAAGCUUUGGCUAGGUUUGUUUUGAGAAUUUGAAAUUCCAACGAGAAAUUCAUUGUAGCUCCGUAACAGUGUUUUAAGAAUAUUCAAAGAACGAUAUUAUGAUUGGAAUUUCAAUUUUGGUUGGCAAGUUGGCAACAAAUUAAAUUUGAUAUUUUUUGGGCCAUGGGCAAGUUGGAAAUGUUCGGCACAUUAGGAAAAUAAUCUGGUCAAAAUCAAAGCUUUAUCGUCAAGUCCAUCAUGCGUAGAGGAAAAUGAGUUUUGUUUGUCAUUUAUUAAUAUUUAAUUAACCUUGACCGAAUGGUUGACCUGAUCCUGAUAUUGGGAGAGCCAAACAAUUUCUCUUCCGCAGGUGCUGUAGUAACGUUGAACCUGUAUAAAAUAUGCUUAUUUUUACUUUCUUUAUUCAAGUUUGAGAGGCGUAAGGGAUACCUUCACGUGACACGCCUCAAUUCCUUGUCUGUUUAGAUUCAUUGAGGAUUGAGAAGUCUGCCCAUCAUAUGUUUAUAUUCAUUUUUUCAAUUUCUUCUAGUUUGGUGCGUUGCAACUUGCAACUAGCAUGAGGGCUUGUUUCUUUAUUGCCUAUGUGGGGUAGCAGUCGGCACAUAAUUAAAGUUGUGGUGGGUCCUAAGGAAUAUCAAAUAAAACCAAGAAAACUCUAUUUAUUCAAAUCACCUUUUUUCGCAAGACUUUGUUGUUGGUACUUUUUACGUCUAAUUUAAGGGUCAGUCCCCACCAAUUGUAUUCAAGUUUGAGUUACCCGUCUAUUAUUAACACAAAAAAACACUAAUUUCAAUUUUUAUUCCUUAAAAUUGUGGCAUGCAUUAAACAUCCUCUAGGUUUAUAUGUGCUUGUUCUACUUGAUUUGAAAUUCUGGUGUGACUUAUUGUAUAUAAAGACUUGAGUUGGGUUUGUAGUCAAAUUGUCCGUUAUGCAUAGUGGAUCUAAUUAGAGCAUUUAUUAGGAGUCCUUUCUCUCUCUUCAGAUUUAGGAGCUCCUAGAGGUCUCCCUAUUUUAGGAGGUGGAUAGAGAGCAUAGUUGGAGUUGCAUUUUUCCAAAUGCUCCCUAAAAUUUGUCUAAGGAGGUGAUUUAGAGAGCCUAUUGUGAAUGCUCUUAGUGACACAAACUCCUAGUUUAUAUUUGAGUGAUUAGUCUUUGCCAUCUCUGUCUCAGCUGUUAAAAAUAAUAUGUAACAAAACCAGGGAAGCUUGUCGGUACGUUUACACUGGUUAAUAGUAGCGGCAAUAACUUAGAUCAAAUUGGUUGUGUGAUGUAAAGAGCUCCUCUACUUGUAUGUUGGAUUCUUUUGGAUAUUCCACUUGCCUUUCUGGUUGGUUUUGGUCCGUUUACUUUGGCACUUUGUUUCUGAGUGGUCGUCGUGUGAGGCUUGAACCUCCAAAUAUCUCAAUCGGUUGGUGUAUUUUUAAUUCAACGUUUGCGGUGUUUCAUUUUUUUGGUGCUCUUCGAUUCAGCCAAUGAGGAAACCCGCCUAGCCGUAGUCACUCUCGAGGUCUACAGGGAGGAAUAUGUGAGAGAUCCGAGGAAUAAAAUUAUUUAUAAUUGUUUCAUGUCUUUUACCUUUAUCCUUACUAAUAUCUCCUUUUCGUUUCUUGGUGUUGAUAUCCUAUAAACUAGUAUAUAACUAUUGAAAUCCUGUUGUGGCACUACAAUUGAAUUAUUCUGUUUUGGUGGUGCAUUAUGGACUAACCUCCUUUUGACAAUUACAUUAUACUCAAGAGAUUCGUUCUUCUUUCUUUGCAGAUUUAGGAGCAAUGGGUGCCGGUGGAAGAAUGUCCGCACCCCCUACCCGUAAGAACGCUGAAACCGACAACCCCAAGCGAGUGCCAUACUCAAAACCUCCAUUCAGUCUCGGCCAGAUCAAGAAAGCCAUCCCACCUCAUUGCUUUCAGCGCUCUGUUAUCCGCUCCUUCUCCUAUGUCUUUUAUGACCUUACCAUUGCCUUUCUCCUGUACUACAUUGCUUGCAAUUACAUCCAGCCUCUCUCUCAACCUUUCUCUUUCUUGGCGUGGCCAGUUUACUGGUAUGUUCAGGGCUGUGUCCUGACUGGUGUUUGGGUGAUAGCGCAUGAGUGUGGUCACCAUGCUUUUAGUGAUUAUCAAUGGCUGGAUGACACAGUCGGUCUAAUCCUCCACUCUGCCCUCCUUGUGCCUUACUUUUCUUGGAAGUAUAGCCAUCGCCGUCACCACUCUAACACAGGUUCCAUUGAGCGAGAUGAGGUCUUUGUCCCCAAGCAGAAGUCUGCUAUUGGAUGGUACUCCAAAUAUCUAAACAACCCACCGGGCAGGUUCCUUACACUCACCAUCCAACUCACUCUAGGCUGGCCUCUGUAUCUGGCUUUCAAUGUUUCAGGGAGGCACUAUGAAGGCUUUGCUUGCCACUACCAUCCAUAUGGCCCCAUCUUCUCCGAUCGUGAACGAUUGCAGAUUUUCCUUUCUGAUGCCGGUGUUCUUGCAGUCGUAUAUGGGCUAUACCGUCUAGCUGUGGCGAAAGGGCUUGCUUGGGUUGUAUGCUAUUAUGGAGGACCUUUGAUGGUGGUGAAUGGAUUUUUGGUGCUGAUCACAUACUUGCAGCACACACACCCUUCAUUGCCACACUACGAUUCCUCAGAAUGGGACUGGUUGAGAGGAGCUUUGGCAACAGUUGACAGAGAUUACGGCAUCCUGAACAAGGUUUUCCAUAACAUCACAGACACUCAUGUUGCUCACCAUUUGUUCUCAACCAUGCCACAUUACCAUGCAAUGGAGGCCACCAAAGCUAUCAAGCCGAUUUUGGGCGAUUACUAUCAGUUGGACAGGACGCCGGUUUUCAAGGCAAUGUUCAGGGAGGCAAAGGAGUGUAUUUAUGUUGAGCGAGAUGAGGGUGACAAGAAAGGUGUCUUCUGGUACAAUAAUAAGUUAUAAAUGUGAUUAUCAAAAUUGCCCGAAUGAGUGUAGGGGGAGUUUUAAGUUCUUGUAAUGGAUCCGAGCUUCCCCUUUCACUCAUGAAUUAGGUUUCUUUCGUCGCUUGGGACUCUACUUUAAUAUGACUAGUUGUGCUAUUUCAAUAAUUUUCUCACCCCUAUUUAUUGUAGAAUGCAAGAAUGUUCUGUGCUACGUUCCUUUCUUUCCCCUCCAAUGAAUGUGCUUAAUUUCCUAAGCAAAAAGCUUCCAAAGGCCUAAUGAAAAAUGGAACGUGCUAAACCAAUUCUGAAUAUUUUCAUUUUCAUUUUCAUUUUUGCGGUUGAGAAAGACUCAAGAGAGUCGUUUUAACUUGGAACUCAAUUUCUGUGGCACAAUGAAUCCCUGAACGAGAGGGAGGCAGGCUAAAUGAAAUGAUAACACAUGGGCUUUGCUCAGCCACAGGACAAUACUGAUCCAUUCCAUCUGUCUUUGCUGCUUCAUUUAUAUUUGGCACUCUCACCCACUCUAUCUUCAACCCGUUUUUGAGGGAUGUGGAAGAAUAAAAUCCAAGGGCUCCUUUGGUGAGCUAGAUUAUAUGGUUGGAUAGAACUAAUAAUCCUAGUCAAGUGUUUGGUGGUCUAAAAAUAACUUGGAAUGGAUUAUGUCUACUGGAGCCUAAAUGUAGUAGAAUUAUGAAUCCCACCAAAAUGGGAUUGGAUUAUGUCUAUAAUCAUGCUAGACUAUAUAAUACAUUAUUGGAUUAGUAUUAUCCUUUCCGAUCAAAUGUAAUCCAAUCCAAUUUCAAUCGGGAAACAUGACCCCAAAUGUCCAAACAUGAGUGUAAAUUGCAAUAUAGCCCGUGGUGAGUUCGGAAUUUGGAAGAAUAUUACUCUUCAUUUUAUUUCAUCAGAAAGAAAAAUAAAAUUGAAUUAAAUGAGUGAGUUGUAAAGAAGGAUACAGUAAAUGAGUUAAGGAUUUCUCGACGAAGUGUUCGAUUUACUCCAUGUAACAAAAGUAAAAGGUAAAUGUGAGUUUGGCCAGUUAGUCAAGACAAAACAAAACAAAAAUUUAAAUAUCGACCAAAAUAUAUAUAUAUAUAUGUUUACUGGAGUAGCCCAAUCGAUGUAUCUAGUAUAAACUUCAGCCCAGGCUUAAUUACACUGGCCCAAUAUGCUCAUCUAUUAUUCCAGGCCCUGUUAUCAUAAGAGGCUUCAGCGAAAAAAUAAAUUAGAAAUCUGCAAUCCAGUUUACAACCCUACCACAGAAGCCCAUUAUGUUGUUACAUAAUCCUUUUAACCACACCAAUAUAUAUAAUGAAUUGGAUUAUUAUUAUUUUAAUAAUGUUGUAAAUUACGAACUUGAAAGGUAUGAAUUUCUUAAUGGGAAUGGAUUAUCUGAAUCCUGAUUACUAUGUAUGACUAAAUCAAAGUUUACAAUCAAUGUCAGCAUCCUCAAUCCUGGGUUUCAUAACAUCAAGGGGAAAUUGACAUCAAAUCACGACCAUUUCAAAAUCCUGUCGACGUUCGAUGGUUAUUAUUUCUUAAUUAAACCAUAUUAAGUUGGUAUUAUUUUCCAUCAGUCAACGGUAAAUGCAUACUUACAUGUUUCCAUGGCCAAUAGAAUGACUUGCCAUAAGAACAGAAAAUCAGAUUUAUAAGUAACCUUGAAUAUCUACAAGUCAAAAGAUUUCUUAGGCAAACAUUUGGGUUACUUGAUUUGUACUUCAAAAAGAAAAGCAAGACAAUGAGAAGUGAAAUCUCUGGACCACAAAUCAACCAUGAAAGCAACUGGUAACUAAACACAUGCAAAAAAAAAAGUCCAAUAAUGUAUGUACUACUAAUUCUUUACAUGUACACAUCAAUUGGUCUAUGAUAUUAAUUUGAUGUAUAGAGAAGAAUCUUGUAUAUUAGGUCAUACAACUAAUGUUAUAAGAAGAAAAAAAAUUGUGUCUAGUGGAAAAUUGAAAUAUAUCUUGCUUGCAUAUGCAUAUUUCUUUUGUUAAACUAUUAAAACAACGUUACGUUGUCGAAUUGUGAAUAUAGACAAUUUGACAAUUUAUUAAAUUGAUUCUUAUUUGAACGUGCGAGUUAAAUUGAUUCUUAGUCGAACCUUCUCCAGAAAAUUCAAAACUGUAUGGUUAACCUAAAAAAGGGUUGAGUGUUUUUAGGUCAUGUAUAUGGGUAGGCCAGCUUCAAAUAAUAUGAAUAUGAAUUACCGUGGGUAGGAAAAGGAAGCCUUUCUAGGCACAGAAGUUACCAAAUAGUGCAAUAUAUAGUACUUUUACUGUGCACUCGCAGUCUCAGAAUACAUGCAAACUGUAAGAUAAAAUCAUCUGCAACUGCAUGUGCAUGUCAGAUUCAAACUGAUCAUCAUCACGUGCAACAACUCCUUAAUUUCACAUUCAAUUUUACAGGAAGUAACCAUAUAUUCUGCAUGUGUUGGUUUGUUUGAGUCUGGUUUCAUAAGCGGAUAUUAUGGCGAGUACGUACAAACAUGUGACAUCUAUGCCAUAAAUAUAUAUAUGUUUCUUUCUUUCUGUUCCUGCAUAGUGCCUAAAAUGAACUAGCUAGUAGCUUCUGUGUUCCAUAAUCAUUGCCAUCUCUGCCACGAAGUUAUAUACAUACAUACAUAUAUAUAUAUAUAUGUAUAUGUAUUAUUGAAGAAUAUAAGCAUACAUGUAUCAUGAUCUGGGGUGUCCAAAGAGAAAGUAGCCUAUCUAGCCUUAAUCAUUUCUGGCAGGACUAUAUAUAGCACCAAUUCUGGUUACACGCCAUACUAAUAUAGGGUGCCAUUGUUCCAUCACAUCCACUGCGGCCUAGCAACCCUAAUGUGAAACACAUAAUAUAAUUAAAGAGAAGACCUAAAUCCAUAUAUGCAUAUGUAUAUGUUUAUACCAUAUUUGAUCAGUCAAUAAGAGAACUAUACUGAAAUAAAGGACUCAUAAGGAGGAUUCACUAAAACUAGCAAUCUAUUAUGUCCCACAAAGUACCAUUGGCAGGUUGUGAGCCUUCGGCACCAUGACUUGCCGAUCAUGGCUAAAGACCGCGCUUCAUUAGAGAUUUCUCACAAAAACACGUGGCAUCCCCUCAGGCGAAGUCCACAGUUCUACAUCAAAAUCUCACUCAAGAUGCACAUCUCCCAAGAUCUAUAAAAAAAACAAAGUAACUGUGACAUUUGACUACUUAGCCACCACUAUGUCCAAAUCACUAUUCACUUUAUACUCGGUACUAACUUAAGCAUUGAAAAGCCUUCAACCGGUACCACACCGAUGCCCAGGACCUCAUUGCUCUUUCUUCAUUUUGCAGCUAUCCAACCUGCCAAAGAGCACAUAAGAGCCGAAGGCAAUAUUGUCACAUCCUGGGAUUGCUCUAGCCCCCAACUCGCUUAACUUCGGAGUUCCUACGACUCCGAAGCCAGUGAGCUCCCAAAAGGCCUCGUGCUAGAUGGAUGCGGAUGUGCACAUAUAAGGCACAUCACCCCCUCUCCGUUGGUCGAUGUGAGAUCUUACAAUCCACCCCCCUUAAGGGCCCGACGUCCUCGUCGGCACACUCGCACCACACGGCAGAGUGGCUCUGAUACCAAAUUGUCACAUCCCGGGAUCGGCUCCGCCGUAGCACGAUAUUGUCCGCUUUGGGCCCCCCUCUCUGCCCUCACGGUUUUGUUUCUAGGAGCUCAUGAGCAACUUCCCAGUGGGUCACCCAUCCUGGGAUUGCUCUAGCCUCCAACUCGCUUAACUUCAGAGUUCCUACGACUCCGAAGCCAGUGAGCUCCCAAAAGGCCUCGUGCUAGAUGGAUGCGGAUGUGCACAUAUAAGGCACAUCACCCCCUCUCCUUUGGACGAUGUGGGAUCUUACAAAUAUGAUCAUUAAGUUGGGUCCAAAAGUAUCUGACCAUUUUUUAGCAUCAACAAAAUAUAUAUUCCUUUUUUAUUGAGAGAUCCCUCAAAUAAUUUUAUUUGAAAAACAUCCUUUAAUGUUCACUAUAAAUUUUUUUAAUAAUUAAGUGGUACUUUAGAAAAGUACUUGAAUUUUAAUAAUUUAUAAUUAAGUAGCCAAAUGACAUUGGAUUCAAGUGAUUUUUUAUAAUGAUGAUCUUUGAAUGAAUAUCUAUAAAAUAGACUGUUUAGAUUAAUAAAAUACAAUAAUAAUAAGUAAUUUCUACAAAAAUGUCCCUCAAAUAAAAACUCUAUCUCUAUAUAUAUCUCUUCAAUAAUAUAUACCAACCCUUAAAAAAAAAUAAUAUAUAUAUAUAUAUAUAUAUAGCAACCCUAAAAGCUAGUCAAGCUAGUCAAGCUAGGUGGACAAACUUUAUAGCUAUUAUUGUGAUCUUUAUUAGGCAAUUUACCAAUCAAUGUAAGAUCAUCACUCCAUGGUAAAUAAUUAAACGUGUGUACGGUCAAUUGAUUCAAAUUUGAAAUGAUGGUAAAUUAUUAGAUUGUGGUUUUCAAAUGAGUUAUGCACGCAUUAAGAAUUUUAUAAUAAAUUUGUAAUUUAAAUGGUUAAAAACAUUUACUUAUACAGUUAAAAUUAUUUUCAAAUAGGCUUGCCAUAAUCCCUUGGAGUAGAUUUUGUAAGAAUAUAAAAUUGUGAUUCAUAUUAUAAUAACACACAUGCUAAGUACGUGAUAAAUCCAUCCUUGUUCAAAGCUUUGGGAUGGAAUGAGUGAUAAGCAUUAUUUCAUUAAGAAUUUUUUUGAAAAGGAGUGGAAGACUGGUAAGAAAAAAUGCAGCGCAAGACACAUGUUGGGAAAAAGCUGACAGGAUCCAGCUAAGCAUAACACGAGAGUGCGGUCGUGCAACCCAAGUUCGUAAUUAUUACCCAAAAAUCCUAAUUAGUAAUUAAGACGUCAAUAAAGAGUGGCCUCGCACUCGUUGGAUUGGCUCCUGCUCUUGGAAGCAGCGGACGGCACGCACGUCGCCACGUGGCAGUUAAGAUUGAGUCUUUGCUCUGCCAUCCCGGGGCCGGCACUGGACUCGUGUGCUCUCUCUCUCUCUCUCUCUCUGAUGACGCAAAACGCAUCACCAUGGGUGUCAGUUCAUCACGUGCACAUCCGACGGUUAUUAUUUUCUGAUCAGAACGGAAGAUCGACCGGUACAUACACUGUACACAUAAUAUCCAAUUGAAUAUCUAUAAUAUUUCCUCUGCGGCCGGCUAUUAAUUAUUUUUCAUUAGUUCUCCUAAGCAUAGCAUGAAAAAUGAAGAGCUCUAACACAAAUGAUUGAUUUUCUAAACCUUAGAUAGAUGUGCUGUAAUCCAUAGAUAAUACAAAUACGAUCAUGAUUAUUCAGACACGAACGUUUGUAUUUUACAUUAAUAGAAACGAUGAUUCUGUUUAUCAGUGUUAUCUUUGUGUAUAGAAAUACAAUGAUGUUUUCAUACACAAUAGUCCUUACUCAAUUCUGUUAGGAAAUUAGCCCCAUUUAGAAGAAAAAUGGUAAGCUGCCAGCUACCUAGCUCGUACAAAUUGUAUAUAAUAUACAUAUAAAUUGAUGUAAUUAGACAAGAAUUACAAGGAAGGUUUUUUGUUGUAAAAAAAAGCCUUUUAUAUAUUCAAUUGAAGUAAAAGAAUAAAGUAAAAGUUGCAAAUUAAAAAGGAUGACUAACCAAUUUAGGGUUGCGUUCUCAUUAGCAUGACAUGCACGAACGAUCGUGUAAAAAGUCAAAAAAGUGAAAGCUAAACAUCAUGGCAGUUGCACCAAUUGUAAAAGGUCACGUGCCAUGUGACCUCCCCACUGAGCAAUUCUCACCUAAACAACCCUUUUUGGCAUUCACACAUAACAGCUUCCAUUAGCAUUAUUUUUGUGUCCAAAAUUUCAUACAAAAAGGAUAAUUAUAAAUUUUUAAACCUGGUUAAGGACCUUUCUUAAUCUCACUUAUGCUUAAUUACAAAAUCGACUGGUGAAUGUUUUCAUUUGUUUUUAUACAUAAUGCAAGAGAUAAAAUAAAAAUAAAAAUAUCUAUUGUGAAGACAUAGUCAAAUAUGAAUUUAGAUUAAGGUUUGGGAUCGAAAGCUCCAUUAGUGAGUAGUGACAAUUCUUAAGACCGGCCAUGCUGCUCUCUCUCUCUCUCUCUCUCUCUCUCUCUCUCUCUCUCUCUCUCUAUGUAGCUAUGAGAUGAAAACAUAGAGCCAAAUGAGAAAAAAACAUCCAAGUCGGUUUUGCAAUUUAGCAAGAGUGAGAUACCUCGUGCAUCCCUACGUACUAGUUUGCUUUUAUAUACAUAAUUACAUAGGAUGCGAAACAAUAUUACGUUAUUAGAUUGUUAAGUUACAUCAAUAUUUAAUAACAAAACAUCCACGAUUCAUUGUGAAGCAAGUUCGUUUUUUAAUACAAACGAUAGUCUAAAUUACAGUUGAAGGGGAGUUUCUCACACACACACACUACCAAGGUGUUACGGUGAGUUUAUAUCUUAUCUAGAAAUUUUCCUUAAUUUUUGUUCUUUCUAUGGGACCAAAUUGAUACUCUUAUAUAUAGCUACUUAAAACUCUCCCCCUACAAUCUACAUGCACACAACUAUUUGCAGCUGCUUUGCUGGAUCGUAUCCAAUUAAAGAGAUGACCAAACCCCAAAACAAUGGAUGCUCAAAAUCAUUGUGCUUCCAUAUCAAGUUUCAGAUCUUAUAGGAAUUCAGUAAUGAAAAAUUACAGACAAGAUGGAGGAUCAAACAGAAAAGUAACGAUUUACAAAGUCUUAUGUUUUUGGAACUUAUUUUUGUAGUUUGUUUUGGUUUGAAACGCGGGAUUAGGUACGGCUGUCGUACAAUUGUGCAAGCCAUGAACCUAUGAGUCCAUGACUUUGGCUUUAUGUGUAGCUCCAUAUUGUCAUAAUUACCCAUAUGAAACUUAUUUUUGUGCAUGACGUGUGAUCAAUUUUUAUAGAGUACGUGAUUAAUGUGGUUAGUACUUUUUAAAUGUUGAUCACGAUCAUGUAACAGUUCUGAUGAAGUCCUAUAAAAAAAUAAUGUUGGGGAUGACAUUGAUGUAUAGUAUCAAAAGAUUAAGUUGUCGUUAAGUAUCAAAAAUAGUAAUAUGAUAUAAUUUCUGCUUUGGCCUAAAACCUUAAGCAUUUUUUGAGGAUCUUUCCUAUUGAGAUGAGUGAUAAUAUACUAAACUCACACACACAACACGAAUGUUAAGACUCGAACCCAGAACCACUACACUAGUGGGUCUUUUGCAAAUCCUCAAGUACAUUUGAAUUUGCACGAAAACUUCCCUCAUAACUAAGCAUUGAAAUCCCAUUUCAUGAGGAAGGAUUAAUACAAGCUAGAACACAAUAAAUGACAACUUUAAUUAAAUGAUUGAACCACUCAUCUCUCAAGGUUCAAUCAAGAAGAGGAAGAAGAGGAGAAUCAUGCAUUGAAAUUUUACAAUUGGAUGAUCCUAAUAAUGAAGUUCCAAGUUGAAUGGAAAAUGGGGAUGUUUUGGUAAUUUCAUGUAUGAUGAAAAACACCAUACAUGUUCACAUAUAUCCUCCCAUACCCCAAACUCACAAAACAUUAACAUAUAAUAUAAUAAAUUCAACAGAAUACAUAUAUAAGUAUAUAAAAUUCCCAAUUUGGGAAAUAGGGGACCAUUGAGUUCCAUUAAUUACUCUAUUGACUCUAGCAAAUUGCCAGACAAGGAUUCAUCCAACCCCUCCUCCCAAAGACAGCCUUUUUCCCCUCUUUUGUUUUUUUUCUUAGUUUUUUCCCAUUUGUCCUUCCAAUUUAAUUAAUUAAUAAUUAACCACCCUUUAUAUUAAUCUUUCCCCUAUAUAAGCAUCACCUUCAUUCUAAACAAAUAUAUACACCAACUUCCUCAAUUUCCAUUUCCCAACCUCUCUCUCUCUCUCUCUCUGUCUUCCCCCCUCUCUCUCUCUCUAGCCAUUAAGUUCUCAUGGAGGAGACAUUAACCAAGAAGCAAACUUGUUGCUCAAAUUUACCAGCAGCCCUAGCCAUCCACAGAGACUCACAAACAAUAUCAAAAGCCAAGCCCAAAAUUCGAAUCAUUCACAUAUUUGCACCAGAGAUCAUCAAGACAGACGUGGCAAACUUCAGGGAGUUAGUGCAGAGACUCACAGGAAAACCAUCUGAAAAUGGCUGCAGCAAGAAGAAGAAUAAGAGGCCAAGGAAUUUAAUUCCCAGCAGCAGAGAAGAACCCAAGAAAAAUGCAUCAUCAAUGGCUGACAAGCUGGAGCUAAUGAGAACUGGGUACAUGGGUUUGGAUCAAUCAAGAGAGAGAGUCAAGGAAGAGGGGAUGAUGUGGAAUGCAGAGAACUCAGGUGGGUUCUUGGAGAGAUUUGCAGAUUUGGAAGGGUUUAUUCAGGAAUUUGGUGAAUUUCCUCUGCUACCCAAUUUGGAUGCCUCAAAUUCUCACCUGCAUGGUUUUGAAGGAACCCAACUUGUCUAGAAAUAUUUAGCAAUUCAGAAAUUAAAGUUUGAUGUGUGAUUCUCACCAAAAGAAAGAAAAGAAGAAGAAUGUAUGAUGAGUUUCAGAGUUCUCUAAAAUAUUUUGCUUAAUUUCUUGGGAUUUUUAGAGGGUUUAACUUAAUUAUAGUACUACUUGUUUAUCCAUGUCUUUUUAAUUUUUAAUUUCCAAUUUUCUUAUGUUUUUCUGAUCUCUCUCUCCAUUUGAUGUAAAUACAAGGGUUAAAGACAUAUACUUCUGAGUGCUUCUCUGUUUUCUGCAGAGAUAUUGCAGUUGCAUUCCAUUUGGAAGUUGCAGAAACUUAUAAUAUUUCUUAAUUAUUUCUUUGAUUUUUUUAAGAUUUAGCUUUUAAAUUGAGCUAUAUUUAAGAGGGUUUGUCUCGUUCCAUUUGGAUGUAGGACUUCCUUCUUGUCUUAUGUAUGUGUUGUUGUGGGGCCUCUGUUUCUCUCUCUAAAUGAAGAUUUCUUGUUGAGUAAUGGUACUCGUAAUCCAUUUGUAUAUCACGUUCUUAUAUCAAUUUAUGCGGUAGAUGAAGUAGAUAGCUAUAUCAAUUAAAAAAUAUCAAUGAAUCAUAAAAGAAAAGAGAAUGUUUAAUUUUAAUUGAUAUGGAUGUCCACUUCAUCCCUUAUAUAAAGUAGUAUGCGAAUAUAAUAUACAUAUAUGAUAAGAGUAGUAUUAUUGUUUGGGAAACCAAAUUCUACGUGCAUAAAUUAUAUAUUUUGAUAAAUUUAUAGCUUUUCUUGCAAGAGUCUAAUUGCAAUUUAAUUUUCCCCAUUUAUUACAGAAGUCGUCUCUCUCUUAUCAUGUUGGCAUGGAAAUUCCAGAUACACUCCUCCAACUCCCAAGUUUUGUUAGUCCAAUUCGGAAACUUCCAUUGUUAAUUGCCCACAUGAAAUUUAACACACAAUUCUGCAUAACCCACUUGUUGUUUUUAGGGGAAAAAACCACCAACUGCUCCCAAGUUGGCUAAUAAUUAAUUAAUAAAUAAAAGUUAUUAAACCCAUAAACCAAUCUAAGAGUUAUUGUAUAUUAUAUCCCAUUCCCAUCUACAAAUGUACGGAAGAUAUAUACAUAUAUAUAAAUGUACGUCUAUAUGUACACAUACAUACAUACCAACCAAUUGUACCAUGAGCAAAUGAAUAGAUGUGUUUUUUAGUGCAAGAGAUAGUCUAAACUAUAGGGGAGGGAGAUUUUUCAGACACACAAUUAUGGUGUUGUGGGGAUUCGAACAUAAAACCUCAUGUCUGGAAGUCAAAACCAUUUUUUACUGCGCUAAACCCUGCCGUUGGAGAUGAAUAGAUGUUCAAUUCACACCAAGAGCUGUAAAAUUAUUUUCUUAAUUUAUAAGAAAAUAAAAUAGAAAAAGCCCAAGUUCGCAUCAGGGGUUAAUAAUAAUAGUUGACAAAUAAACAGCGGCGGAAGUCAAAAUUUUUGGUGAAUUUCUUAUUCGCAAAUUGUUAUAUUAAGAUUUCUUAUUUCUUGGUGCCACAAGUUAAGUAUUUAAGUUAAUGAAGCUAGAUUGAGAUGGCAGGUGCAACACCAUUAACCAAACCACAAUUAGUGCCUCUAUGAUGCUCAUAUAGUGUCAUCUGUUGUUGAUCCAAAACGACCGUACACAGAGAGUCAAUGCCUCUAGAACAUUACACGUGUAAAAUCUAAAGAUUGAACUCGAGAGACUGUAAUGAGAGGUUAUAAUGAAAGGAUCCUUUAUAGUUAUCAGAUUAAUUGCAAAACUAUUAUUGGACGAACAGAUUGAACCCCUCAACACACCCCCUCACCACAGCCCCUUCAUUGGAGAAGCUUUGUGAUUCAACAUGUUUGUACAAUUUCUUCUCCUACAAUUUGAAGUGUCAACAACAAUACAUCAGCCCGUUGAUGCACGUGAAUCUCACAAUGCAUCAACGGUCCACAAUCACCUACGCACAUCAAAGUGGCAAGGGCCAAAGGGAAACACAGCCAACUAACCAAGUAAUCAAACCAAAGGAAAAGGAAAAUUAAAUAUUGAAAUGGCUUUCCAGAUGAUGUAAGGUCAAGCUUUGGAGGCGGCAUGUCGUAAAUCAAGCAUGACAGCAGAGCAGAUCAAUAGUCAAACAGCGUGGUGCAUUUUAGUCAAACAUGUUCACACUUCACACCAACCUUUAAUUUACAAAUAUUUUCCCUGUUCUUAUCCGGUGAAUCUAAAAAUCAUCACAAGGGCAAACAAAUUAUAUAAUAUGCUUUAAGACUUGGAGGAACAACCACACUCAAUUUUGGUCCGUUGACUUGAAUUUAACAGAAAUAAAACAUGUCACCUAUUUUUAUGGUGAUUAUUUGGAAAAUUUUGGAAGACAACAAGAAAAAAUUAAAAAAAAGCAACAUCUCAUUAAGAGAGAGGGAGAGAGAGAGAGAAACAGGUGUAAAUGUAACUAUUAUUUUAAUUAAUAUCUAAAAAUUUAGAAAAAAAAAUUUGAGUUUCCAUACAUAGAAGAACCUUUAGCUCUCAUACUCCAUGACGGUUUCUUCCAGGGGAGACGAAGCUGUAUCCAACCUUGUAAGUACUUCAGGAACUCCAGCUGCAUCCCUUAUUAUCUGCAUCAAACCCAGUAGCAGAAUUUAAAAUCUGAUCGCAGCGCCCUAUAUGAAGCCACCACUCCGCAAUAUAAUAAAAGAUCAAAGCCGAUCUAGUAUUAAGAUGCGUGAAAAUGUUCAUAUGUAUAGUCACCGGCCAACUCUUUUUCCUUUUUUCUUGUUUUGACAGUACCACAGGCCAACCAUACACAGUUAUAAGCAACUAACAACCCAUAACCAACUUCAAGCAAGUGUAUGGAAGUGGUGGAGAAAGCAUGGCUACGCCAGUUUGGCACGUAUAAGCUAUAUAAGAUAAUGGCUCAUUCUCAAGAUUCAAAUGUCUAAGUUUGACUCUGGGAACAAGGUUUGUGGGGGAGAUAGAGUGCAUCUGUUAGUGUAGCCUUUGUUAAAAGUCAGAAUAACAAAGUCAGAAAGUCUUGCAUGCUAAGUAAGAUUGAUUAAGAGGAAAUAUUAGAGUCGGUUCAUAUAAUAAUACAACACAGAGACAAAGGUGAAAUGACUUCUAAUUGUCAGAGGUAAAACACUUAUAAAGACUUCACCCUUAGAACACAAUUGAUUCCAAGGUUAGUGAGGUCAAAGGUAAAGGGAGCAAAUGUAAACCUAUUUCAUCUGUUAUUAAAUCCAGGAUAAUCACAACAUACAAUAAUAAGAUCAGCAAAAGGCAUUACCGUGGACUUUAUUUAUGAACUGUUGACUUUAUUUAUGAAUAUUAUUCAUGCACAAACAUCAGACUAAUGAAAGGGUCAAGGUGAUCUAGGGAAAAUAAUGGAUUUCAAAUACAUCAUAUAUCUUUUAGCAAAAUAUACAUCAUGCACCUUAUGAGUUUAACCCUCUUUAAGAAUGUACUUUAGAAAUUUAGAAAAGUUUCUACUACAAAUGAUGAAAACAAAACAGAUGCCCCCAAGAAAAAAUGAAACUUCAUUCGUCCCUAAACUAUUUGCCUACAUGCAAUAGAUUUUAACUCAAUUUAGCUAUAUUUUUGUGAAGACAGUCUAAAACUCAAAUUGAACAGCUGUUUUCAGUUCCACCAAGUUUCAUAUUUCAAGACUAAGGAGAUUAAUUACUUAGGUAGUCAUCUAAUUCUGCUAAUCAUUAUGGGUCAGAGUUUUACAAUGUAAAACAUAACAAAUUAGGACUGAAUUAUGAAAAAAAAAACUCAGUGGGAUACUUACAAGUAUCUCUGUAUCUAGAUACGAAAUCAUGAAGAGUCUCUCAAAAGCUCCAGCUGCAGACACAAGGUAAAGCAUACAGGCAAGAAUGAGAUAAAGCAGUAUUGGAUGAGGGUGAAAAGUUAAAUUGCUUUAUUUUAUCAUAUUGGAUGGAAUAUUAGCAGGGAGAGGCAUACACUGGUACAAACAACAGUGAAAAACAAUAAAACUAGGCAAGCAUAAAGCAGUAAACACUUGCCAUGGGUUCAUAAUGAGAUCUAAGUUAGCAUAGAGGCGAAAGUAAUAUAAGAAGGUAAUAUUGGCUGAGGUUCAGAAGACAAAUUGCUUCUUUCAUCAUAUUGGAUGGAGCAUAAGCAGGGUCGGUAUAUGCUACUGCAAACAAACAUCGAAAAAUGAAAAAGCAUCAUCACAUAUGCACAAAAUCCCAUACCAUCUAAGAUGAUCGCUCCCACUAAUUUUUAUGACUGAAUUUAGUGAUGAGAAAAUUAUAUAUUUAUUGUAUCUAACCAUUUAAUAUUCUGGAUUCUAGGCUGCCAACAAAUAAAACAUGCAAGAAAGAGCAAGGGUGGGAAUUUGGAAACUCCAUUCGAGACACAUCUGAGUGGUAAAAUUGUUAAUUAAACAAAACAUAAAAUAUCUGCAGCUUUUGAAGUCACAAUGUUUCAACCUGAAUUAUAAGAUCAACUCUCUGGUUAUGGGUCCUAAGCCUCAUCCUCGAGAGCGCUUUACGGCAACCAACCAACAAAAACGUUCAAACCAAGAGAGAGUAACAUGGGACACCUAAAGGUUAUAUGAAAAAUUAUAAUUAUAUCAAGAAUAAACUGUAGCUGGCUAAGUAGCAACACCUUAAGAUACCUCACAAUUGACACAAUACCUCACUAUAUACUCAACCUAACAGCCGCAGAAUCUUGUAAAUGGAAAAACCUCCUUUGAGGUACCUAAUCAUAACACAAACCACUACCAAGGUCAUCAAUGACUGUGCCCUUUGAGGCUUGGGUAUUUAAUCAUUUACCUUGCCUCACCUCCCAAAAUAGACACAAAAGGAGGUUGGAAAAAAGAGAGCGUUCAUCUUUCAAGAAAAGCAAAUGUUAUAGCUCUUUUAACACCUAUGUAAAUUUAACUAAUAUGAAAAUAAAAGGAAAACUUAUCUUAUUGUAAAAGGAAUGAUUAGCAAAGAUACCAUGUUCAGAAUUUAUAAUUUAUAUAUGCCUCAAAGAAUGGUAACAACAUUUUCAGAAAAUUUAUGGUGGGCAUAUGAUGUUUAACCAAGUCUCAACUAGUACCCCCAGGUAUACCAUCGACACCCUUAGAUUUACAGAAGGAAGAGCAGGAAUAUUUGAUCAAUCUACAAAGACAAAAUGGCUGGUUGCUGCAAUGUCAAAACAGCAAAAGUUGCCAAAGGUAGAGAGCUUAUGAAAACAGUUAACACAUGGUAAAAUCAUCAAGCAGGAGGUUAGGAUUCAUUCACAAAAAGGAAUUUACAGGCAUCAUAGCAUCUUCUAAUCCCAAAUAGUCAGUUCCGCAAAUUUCAUAACUGUUCCCUUACAUAGUACUUGGCCACAGCACAGCAGAUAUUCUUCUGACAAUGGAUUUAUAGGAGUUGACUGGAGUGAUUCAUAGACUUAAAAAUAAUUCACAAACAUCUUUCUAUCCCAAAUAGUAAGUUUUCCAAAAUUUCAUAUACUGUCUCAUUACGUGUUACCAGACCACAACAGAGGCAGAUAUUAAAAGGGUUGAUUGCAGUUCAAGAUUCAACUCUGCAACUCAGAUAAGAGAAUAACUGGGUAAGAAAAAGAUCACACUUACUUAAAGGAACUUUCAGCCCACUGGAAAAGGCAUCCCUAAUAGGAAAAGGAAGUUGUUGCACUGUGCUCACUGCCUGACCAAAUGCACCUUUUAGCUGUUCUGGUAUUGUCUCUUCAAUAACUGUUGGUGUCUCGAGAAUUCCCUCAACAUAUUCCUCUUUCAUUCGAACUGGUCCCUCCACAGAUAACUUGAUUGACAGAGUAAAUUUGCUUUCUAUCUGCAAAGAACCAGAAUAUGCUUUAUAAUGAAUGCUCAUAAAAAGUUACAUCAACAAAAUUCAAACAGAGCACACAAAUAGGAGGUGGAAACCGAGAAAUGAUAGGUAACACCAUGUCUAAAUCACGAUUAUGCCUUGACUAUUUGUUAUCACAGAAAAUACUAUCAGACUAAUAAUUUACUUCUCUUUCUCUCUCCCUCGAUAAUCAUACUAAUUGCAUUUAUUUAGAGGGGCAGAAUUGAACUAACACAAAUAAUUGCUAGGUUUUUUAAGAGUCCAAGAAAAAUGACAAAAACAAGAUGCAAAAUAGUUCACACAGAUUGACUGGCUGAUCUUGUGAUGUUGUACCUAAACAGAAUGCACAAGCAAGCCACAGUUCUAAUGCAAACAUGACCCAACUUGCCCUAACCAAGCACUAGUGCUUCAACAGAAAUAAUGACCCACCUAAGUUCAAUAUCCAUAACAUAUUGUAUUGGAGCUGCGGUUUCACAUGGAGAUGUGACAAAUGCAGUAUUUAUUCUGAGUGCUUCAUCAUAUAUAUGAAAGCAUUCCAUGGACUGAGGACUUCAAAAGACAAAAUAAAUACCGAGUUCAACAGUUUCAAGUUUGCUGUAAUCUCUGCAUUCCCAUCCUUGAUGACCACCUCCAUUUUUGACAAACUAGCCAAAGUUGAAGGAAACCUCCUGCAGCAACAGAGAGAUUGCAUCAAUACGUUAAGCUACCUUUCAGUUCAAAUUUCAAAACCAGUUUGUUUUUUUUUCAACCAAUCCAACAAUUAAAAAGGUAAAUGUAUGCAGAACUCACUGAAAUAUAAAUCUAGCAGCAAAUAGACCUGGGCUUGCAGAUCCAAACCACUCGAAAUUCCAUCGACCUUCCAAAAAAGGCGACCUGGGUAGCUGAACAAACAAGUGAACAUCUCAUCCAAACCAAAAGAAAAAAUUGUGGGAAUUCAUUGUUUAGAUAUGUGCCUACGUUGUAGGACGUGGUGUUGGAUUGACCCGCUCCAAACUAGUUAUCCUCUCAUUCACAUCAAUCCGCUCCAUGUCUGUUGUCUUUCCAGUGACCAAAGCCUCAAAACCCCCAGCAUCCUUAAACUGAAACAAAGGGUUUCAAAACAAGUCAAAGAAUUUCAGGAAAAAAAAAAAAGUACCAAAUAAUUUGAAUGGAGAUCAUGAUGUCACGGUCCAUAUUAAUUUGAAUUUUAAUACUUAAGCACUGUUGUAGUUCGCAUGUAUACUUUCCUAGCUCAGGAGAAAGCGAAUUUUGUACUGAAAAUGGCAUAUUCUCACAUUACCACUUCCUAAAUAGCUAAUCAGUGCAUAAAGCUAUCAAUUUCUCUAUUAAUUGACAUUAAUCAUAUAUAUUCAGAGAAUCGUAUAUGAAAAAGACGAUAAAAUUGCUGAGACUCACGGCAAGAAGCAGAGAUUCUUUAGCUGAAAGCCUCUCCAUUUCCUUAGCAUACGCGGCAGGAGCUCCGGGAACGGCCUGCUGAACCAUUGCUCGGCACAGGGAUCGCCGGAGUCGAAGUCUCCGGUCUCCGGAGAUUCUCCGUCCAUACUGCGGCCACUUUCCGACAGGGACCAGUGAAGUGGUGGUGGUGGUGGUGGUUGAAGAGAAGGACGAGGACAAUGAAGACGACGACGAACAACAGAAGUGAAUCGAAGCAAUCGCAGAGAGCUGGCUCUGAACGGACACCAUUGAAGAGAGAGAGAGGGAGAGUUGAGAGAGCAGGGCUGGCUGGGUUUGAAUCGUCUGAUAUAGUAAGGAAUGGACAAGACAGGUGGGUGGUUGAAGGGUGCGAGGGAAGUGGGAAGGCUCUGUGUGUGUGUCUGAUAGAGGGGUGUUUUCGUCAUUUUAAAAAUAAUACUAAUAUCUAUGUAUUAUCUUGUUUGGUCUUUUUCAAUUUUUGAUUGAAUUUGUUGGCGAAUCGGAAUCGGCGGCUGCUUGUCCUGCCGCUGAGUUUUUUUGCCAGCGGCGUGCGUUUUGACUGUUAGUUUGUUACCGUUCGUUUUUUUUUUCUUCCCUUCUUUUUGGUCAUGUGGGUUGUGUGACACAUAAAAAUAUUUAAUAACGACAAAAAAAAAAAAAAACAUAUUUACCUAGAUGGAUAAGAAGGCUGUAAGGAUUUACCAAGUUAAUUCGACACCAUGCAUGUUGUUAAUUUUUUACAGUGUAUAAGAUACAUAUUUUGUGAGGAUGUACAAUGAAGAGUUAUGUCUCACAUUAAAAGUCAGCGAUCACACAUAUUUUACGUCACUUAAUAUGUGUGUUGUCUAUGUGUUACGUAAGUUAAUAAACUUUAUAUGGGCUUAUAAAGAAUUAAACUAUUUUCCUAUUAUCAAGUAAUAAAUAGUACACGAUGGAGCUCGAGUAGAAAGUAUUGAUUAAUUUCUCAAGAGCAAGAAUCUAAGGUUCGUAUAAUUUUAGAAUGAAAUCUCGACUACUUUCAAAAUUCACAUAAUUUGUGUGUUAGAUGUUAACACAUACCAUAUAAAUCUUACUCAUGCUUUCGACUGUUCCAUUGAGUAUAUGACAUUAGAGGGCAAACAAGCCAUAAAGGAAAGAAAUUUUAGACCCCAUUUGUCAUCAUAUACCAGAAAAUUUUGUACUUGUCUUGUCAAAAUAAAAGCGGAUACCCACUAUCACUUCUUUUGCUUUAUGGACAUAUUUAGUAAGCCUCACUAGACUAGACUGGACAAAAAUAAUACUUAAAACCCUUGUUUGGUUUGAGAAUAGGAAAAAAAAUGGCUCGCUCGCCCUUCUAAUAUAGUGAUGUAGAAAAUUGGUUCGCAAAAUAGCACUCUCGGGGGUCGUUUGGUACGGCGGACUGUCAUGGACUGGACUAAAUCCUGGGACUGUCUUGGAUUAGCUCGGAUUGGACUAAGCUGGAUUAAGUGCUGACCUACGUUUGGUGCUGCGUCGGACUAAGAAGCUGGAUUGUAAAAAUAGUGAAGACCUAUGUUUGGUGCUGUGUGGGACUAACAAUAAUUAUUUUAUAUUUAAAAAUAAUAAUUUUUAAAUAAUUAAAUGUAAGUUUUUUGUUAUUAGAAUUACCAAAUUGACAAUAUACAUUUCUUUUUCUCCAAACCAAAUUCACAUGUACAUUUCAUAUAUGCAAAAGUUAGAUAUUUUUCAUAUAUGCCAAAGUCAUCUACAUGACUCAGAAAUUAGAGGUUUAGUUCGCUACACACAAUUCUACCAUUAAUACAUACAAAUAAACAUCCACAAUUUCAAAAUGAAACUAAUAAGCCUCACAACCAUGAACCAUAUGGCUUUAAUGCUAGCAAAAUAUUAUACAAUUUGUGGUGUUUCCAAAAUGAAGCCAAUCUUAUCAAUGCAUCAUUUGUGGUGUUUCCAAAAAGAUAGAUGCAUCAAACUUAGUUAGGCCAUGUCCUCAAGCAUUGUCACUAAGCAACUGCUCAACAAACACUUUCUUGAUAUCAUCAUCCAAAGACAUGAAUAUAGAUAUGUUUUGUGGCUUCUCCAAAAUGAGUUUUAGUGCUGCAAUUUGAUCUAAAGGAGAAAAUCCCAUUCUCUUGAGUUCUUUGGCAAUAUCAGAUCGAUCUUCAUUACCUUUUAUUAUAGCCUCAGUCACCAUUUGCAUCCUUUUCCCAGAAGCUUCAAACAAUUUCUCCAAUACAGUCACAAUCUUCUCUUCAUCACUUGAGCUUGUAGCUCUUUUCCUCUUAUUUUGACUGUUCAUAGAUUGGCUUCCUUCUAUGUUUAAAGACAUAGGAGAUGCAUCUUCCUGGACACAAUUAUCACUAGCAUUAACAUCAUUAUUGCUUUGCUCUUCCAUCAUGUCAGCGGGGGCUUCAGCUCUUUGUCCGUUAGCACGAUCCUUUCCGAAGAUAUUAGAAAGUCUAUCAAACAAAGGAAAUGGUUUGCUCCUCCAUUCGGCUGCUUCCUUGUGGUGCUAUGAUAAAACAAGGCACCACUUAGCUUAUUUUCAAUAUGUUAAAGAAAUAAUAAUAACAAAAGAAAGUUUAAAAUCCACACUCAUCAAACCCACUUGACAUCAUAAUGUAAGCAAAAUAGCAAAAAUAUAUAAUCAUGUACCUGCACAUAAGUUUCCCAUGCAUCAUUACUGUCAACCUCAACACACUUUUUUAUAUCAUUCCAAGCAAAUCCACUUGUGUUUAUCAUGUCAUAGACUAUGCUAUAUUGCUUUUUCCACUUCUUCAAUUUGGAUUCAAUAUGAGGGCAUGCCUUUAGCCCCGAAUCAGGACAUUUAAUAUUCAAAGCCUUCUCCAUUUGGACCAUAGUACCUGAUUUGAAACUACCAGUCUCACAGCGUUGGCCUGCAGCCACAAAAUCAUCUAGCACGGUCAAAAACGAAUCUUCUUCAAACUUGGACCAUGACCGCCUAGUUCCUUUCUUUCCUUGUUCAAAGUUUUGACUGUUACCUUCACUUUCCAUCCCUAAGAAUAAUCAACACAAAUAAAAUAAUACCAUAAUCAAUAAUUGGAAUUUGCAAAGAAAACAUAACUUUAUUUCAAGGCACGAUUCUUCUUUAGUACAUCACAUAACCUUAAAAACAAAAUGAAAAAUAAAAUCAGCAAACCAAUUGAUAAAUUUUCUUUAAUACCACAAUCAAUACAUUGUUAAGGCCGAAUUAUCAUGCCUCAAAUACAAAUUACAAUCACAUAAAAAAGAAAACACCUUAAGAACUCAAACAUAAAUAACAAGAGUUGGCUAGUUAUUCGCAUUUCCUUGCCACUCAUUAUACAUUUGGAACGCCAAGUCAUUCCUCCAAGUAGUCCAUUCAUCCGAUGCUCCAAUGGUGCCAACCAUAUCACCUUCUAUCACAUUUUCCGUCUCUUCAAUUUCAUUUAUUUCAUACUCUAGUGGAUCUCUAGACAUCUCCCUCCUAAUGAGAUUAUGUAAAAGACAACAAGCCGUAAUUAUUCGACAUUGUGUCUUUAUUGGAUAAAAAGAUGGACUCCUUAGUAUGCACCAUCUAGCUUUUAGCAACCCAAAGCAACGUUCUAUUACGUUUCUUGCUUUAGCAUGCUUCAUAUUAAAAUAUUCUUGAUGAUUUACAGGUGUAUUUCCUUCUCUCCAUUCCGAUAGAUGAUACCGUGUUCCUCUAUAUAGUGCGAGAAAUCCCUCACCAUUUGUGUACCCACCAUCUACAAGGUAAUAAUAACCUAAUAACCAAAAAUUAAAAAUAAAAGAAGUCAAUUCCUAUUAUUGUGUGGUAAUUGUAUAAACUUACAAUUAUUUAUAAAGUGGACACUAGCUAAUGGCCUUACCGGUAGGAACUCUUAAUCCAUUAGGCCUAGUUAUGGCAUCUCGAAGGACUCUAGAGUCGGAUGCGGAUCCCUCCCAACCCGGCAACACAAAUAUGAAUUGCAUAUCACGUGAGCAAACGGCCAACACAUUUGUUGCAAUUUCUCCCUUUCUAGUCCGAUAUCUCGGUUUUUCGGUUUCAGCUACUCGCACUUUAAUGUAUGUUCCAUCUAGUGCUCCCAAGCAAUUCUAUUAGGAAAAAAAAAGAAGGUAAACUUUCAUUAAGUUUAUAUGCUGCACAGAUCAUAGAAAAGAAAGCCAAAGUAUAAUAAACAUACCUUAAACCAUUUCCAUCUAUGAUCUGUGCAGUUAUCACCUACAGGUUCCGGUACUCUCAAUAGGCUACCUUGUAAUCUUAAAAUGCCUUGUAACACGGAAUUGAAGUACCUACUAAUAGUCUCUCCUGAUCGAACAAAUCUAUUUCUAAUAGUACGAUUCUUAACAUGAUGAGCAAGCAUAUGCAAGAACAUACAUACUUGCUCCUCCACAGUCACCAAACCGUCAUUCUUUAACCUUCCAUCCGUGCGAAGCAAAUCACAUAAUAAACCAAAUGUCUUUAAAUCCAUUCUUAGUUCACUCACACAUUCUCUAUCAUUGCCUAAUAUACUGUUCAAAUAACGUAAUCGAUUCUCAUGUCUAACAAACGAACGGUUAUUGAGGGAACGUCUUUCUAAAAGUCUUCGAUUUCUUCUCAUAUUUUUUAGCAUCAUAAGCACAAGAAUCGUGCAAGCACACAUGGUCUCUAAAUGCCACAUCUCCAACAAUAAUAACAACAACAUUCGUCUUUGAUCCAUAUCUAUUAAUCCAAAAAGAAAAGAAUUAUUCCACUUAACCAAUCCUACUGAAAGUAAAAUAACCCCAAAUUGAACACAAAAAGUUUCAUAUAUGCAAAUAGAAACAGUUUAAUUAAUGCAAAGCCAUAAUUAAUACCAUUCGCAAAGUAUGGAAAAUUCACCCCAUAGACCAAAAAUUAUCAACCAAUGUGUGCCUAAUACCACAACAAAUAUGAAGAAAAAAGUUCUAGGAUUAUUUCACUUUUGGCCAAAAGAUGCUGUUGCUGAUUAACACCAAAAGCAUAUUGAAAGAUUCUCUCCAACCAAAAACUGUAAAACCAAAAGCAUAUUCUGUAUCAACCAAAAACUGUAAAACCAAAAGCAUAUUGAAAGAUUCAAAUAGCAGUUAUAUGAGCAUAUUCUGUAUCAACCAAAAACUGUAAAACCAAAAGCAUAUUGAAAGAUUCAAAUAGCAGUUAUAUGAGCAUAUUCUGUAUCAACCAAAAACUGUAUAGUGUUUUCUGCUAUGAUGUUUGAAAUAUAAAUGGACUUUGUUUUAAAUCUUUCAUUGUUGCUUCUGCGUGGGGUUGGUUUGGAAGUGAGAUGCGCAGCAAAGAGCAAUUUGUGUAUUUAUCUGCAUAUGUAUAUAUAACAACAAUGACAUGAUGAUGAUGCUCUUUUCAUUUUAAUUAAAUAACUGACCGUGUACUAAUCAAGGGGGAAAAAGAACUGAUAAACUAAGUGUACUUUUAAGCUUAUUACAAGCAAUUAAAAAUACACGUGAAGUCACAACACACAUCACAAGAAGUCAAGAAAUCAUCAUCACUACACAAACAACACACAGGCCUGCAGAAAACAGAUGCAGAAUUUCUGAAGUACUUGGCCUUUUUUGACCUUUUUAUUUCCAAAUAUUUUAACUAUGAAAAAGCUGAAUCUAACCAUGUUCAACUUGCCAACGCAACGAAUAUGAUCAACACAAAUCAUGGCAGAGAGAUUGCUAAUUGCUCGUAAAGUGAUAUUCAUGCAGGAUGCAAAUUGCUCUGUCAAAUGACAUAUACACUUCAAAUAUUGAUGCCCAAUAAUAAUUAAAAUUGAAAAAACAGGUCAUAUGCGAUAAAUUGCUCUUUCAAAUGACAUAUACAAACUGAAACAGUAAGUUCAAUAAACUCAAGAUUCAUGCCAAAAGUCUACUUUACUUCUGAAUUUCUAGGUUUUCUGAAAUACCCAAUUGCAAAUUAAUUGCCAAUUAACAUCAUGUAUACAUAUGUCACUACAGAUUCUACGAAAAUUAGAGAAGAGAAGAAGAAAAUAACAGAGAAAAGGAAGGAGAGAUUCUCAGAGCACAAUCAAAACUGUUGAGGAGACAGUCACAAUCAAGAGAUGGAAGAAGGAAUAAGAGAGGUAUCCAAAGGGAAAGACCAGAAAAACUUGCCUGCGUCAAGAUUCGAAGAAGAGGUUGAGUCGCAGAGACGGAGUCGUAGAGAAGGAGUCGCAGAGAUGGAGUCGCAGAGAAAGAGUCGCAGAGUCGGGCGUGUUCAAUAUAGCAAGGGCUUAUUUUGCGAACCCAUUUUGAGCUUCGCUGUAUAAGGAGAACGAGGGAAGCGUUUUUUUAAUUGUUGGACUCUACUAUCCCAUUUAAGUUAGUCCCCUUGCUAACCAAACAUGGGCUUCAGGUCCAAUAUAGCACAGUCCCAUUCAGUGAGCCAUACCAAACAUGCAUAGAACAAGCAAGUCCGACACAGCGCAAACCAGUUUCUUCUUCUUCUUCACCUGCGUCGUGAUAUCUUAGUGCAGCGUGUAUCGACUCUGCCACACAAUUUUUCCAUUGACCUUCACGACGGAUUUGAUUGCAGGAGUGAUAAGCAAUUGAAAUAUUUCUCCAUUCUGAGAGCGCCAUCCAUGUGGGUCUUAUUUUUUAUGAUGCUUUCAGGCCACCUGAAAUUACAUAGCCUAUGAAUGUUGUGAACAGCAUGGUCAUCAACCAAUUGAACGAAUCUGUUUGUACUUGAAGUGGGCUUUGUGGUUUUUCAAUCGUGGAUAUCAGCGACAUCGCAGAUUCCUGAACCCAAAUGCACGAAAGGUUUGCUUGUUUCUUUGUCUUAUUUUGUUGCCAUUAUUGCUGGGUCCGAGUCCAUUGGUUUUGUUCAUAAGAUUAACUGGUUUCAAUCUUUGAAGAAUUGGGUUUGGGGGCUUAAUGCUUCUGGUGUUGUGCAAGAGUCCAUAGCACAACAUGCACUCCACCUGUUCGCUAAAAUGUGGCACUCAGUUGGGUGAUGCAAUGGGGUGGUAAUGCAAUUCUUGAUUUUGAUUUGGGCUAUCACAUGGGCAUUCAAGACAAAGGUAGUGAUGAGUUUCUCAAGAGUUGCUUUAUUGGAGAACUAAUGACAUGCUUAGUCAUUGGUUUGGCACCAAAACAUGCCAAAUUUUAGUCUUGUUUGCGGUUGUGUUGAGUAGUCUAGCUUAUCUAUUAGAUAACUUGUCCCCUGUUUUGUAAUAAAUAGAUGCAAGACCAAAUUUCUGAAUUUUUCAUGUACCUCAUGGUGUCACAUUUAAUUUCAUGGUCCAAAUUGCUAUGAAUGGGCUUGAUGGCAUUUUUGGAAUGCUUUCUUUGUUGAUUUUUUGGAGAAAUUCUGACUUUGACAUCUACAUAUAAAUUUGGUAUCUAGAAAGUAUAAUCAUAGUUUUAAGAUCUUAUUAAAUUAUAUUUAAUUAUCUAAAUAAUUAUUAUAUUUAAAUAUCUAAAUAAUUAUUUUUUAGUUUGACACAACACCAAACAUAGGACUUCGCUAUUUUUACAAUUCAGUUUCUUAGUCCAACGCAGCACCAAAUGUAGGUCAGUACUUAAUCCAGCUUAGGCCAAUCCGAACUAAUCCAAGACAGUCCCAGAAUUUAGUUCAGUCCAUAACAGUCCGCCGUACUAAACGACCCUUAUAUGUGUUAUAUAAUCAACCAAACCAACGCAUGUGAAAUGCUAAAUUAAAUAUGGGGUUAAUUUCAGUUUGGUACCUUAAAGUUGUACUAUUAAGGCAUGUUUGUCUCUGCAUUCUCAAUUUUAACAAUUACAUACCUUUAUUUUAUAAAUUUUUUACAAUGUGACUCUGACGUUAUAUUGACUGUUAGAAAAUCUGUUAACUGAUGACGUGGCGUAUGUAGGGCCUACGUUAUUUUCUUAAAUUGAAUAAAAUAAAAAAAUGUAAACACAAAUUGAAUAAAAUAUUAAUAAACAUUUAAAAAACAAACAAAAGCCUUUUAUUUUUUUUCUCUCUCUAAACCUUUUUCUGACAGGACCCAACUCAAAUUUCACUUUGAAAUCCGAGUCGAAUCCUGUUCGCGUCCGACACUUGGCGGUUGUCGGGCACAAUGACUAAAUUGCCAUUCUAGUUAAAAUUCAAGUUUAUUACAAUUUCAACUUAUACCGAAAAUUCGACAAAGUCCCCCCUGCAAUUUGAUCAUUUCCCAGAAUUUCCACCUGUCAAAAGCAUAAAUAUACAUAUCCCAACUGCCAACAUGCUUCCAUUUUAAGAUCCAAACAGUUCUGAUAAACUAAACGGCCUUAGGCCACACAGAGAGUCCUAGGGCAAAUCAUCAGAACAACUAAUUCAGGAAUAUACAACAAAACAAUUUGAUUUCAAAAGAAAAUUCUAAAUAAGAGGAAGAGUGGAGCGGAUUGUGGAAUCUGCCUGGUGGUGGCGCUCUGGUGCAUGUCUAUUGCCUGGGGCGCAAAACAUUCAAAAAUGUGAGUGCACAAAAAUAAAGGUCUAGAAAAUAACAUAUGAACAUACUAACCCCACUGUAAAAACAGUUAUGCAAAACUGAAUUUUCCUCUUCAUUAUAUUCGUACUAAAAUCAUUCACAUAUUUAUAUACGUAUAUGCCAAUCAUAUUCAAGGUCAAUAAAACUCUCUUAAAAACAUUGAAAUCAAUUUAAAACUACCACCUAGGUGUAUCCCUUUAAUUCUGUCAAUUCCUGAUAUCCGUCAAUUCCCGAUAAUCCGUCAAUUCCUGAUAAUCCGUCAAUUCCCCUGGCAGGUCUCGGUGACACAAAGUCAACCCGAGCCACAAACUGACAGGAUUCAGGGGAUCGUAGUCAGCCUGAUCCGCAUUCCUGGCUCCCGCAGUCCGGGCGUCCCAAAACUCGUGANNNNNNNNNNNNNNNNNNNNNNNNNNNNNNNNNNNNNNNNNNNNNNNNNNNNNNNNNNNNNNNNNNNNNNNNNNNNNNNNNNNNNNNNNNNNNNNNNNNNUUUCUGAAGGAUCUGAUGAAUAACUGAAUUUUUGUUAAAUCUAGAACUCUGCUGCCACUUAUCUGAUAUAUAUCUCAAGCUUUACUUUCCAUAUCUUUUUAGCAUAUUCAACUAGGCAGCAUAUAAAUAAAGAUAUUUAACUCCAACAAAUCAUGCUAGGAAAACCAUAAUCAAUAAAACUUAUUCAAGAUCAAAUAAUGAAAUUCAUUUGCAUAAAAUCAUUUAUAAAAGAAAAGUCCACUCACUCCUGGUCCGAGCUAGCUGAACCUCCUGAAGGUCCCUCCUACGGGUCUGCCUGGCCCCAGGUGCCUGAUUAAACCACCAUGAAUAAUUAAUUAAUAAAAUUACUCGGUAUAAGUAUUUAAUUAAAACCCUGACCCCCGACUCCUAGAAGUGAGUGCACUAACUUUAAAGUCAUUCUUAUGCCCACUUAAGCAUUUCGAAUGGUUAGAGCGGUCUUAAAAGACCCGAGACUCACUAAGUGAUAAACUUCCAUAUUGGUCAAUCCGGGACCUCGUGGGGUCCAUGACCUCCAAUUACCAAUUCGAGAGUUUCUAUAAGUUUCUCACAUUUAAAUAACUAUGUCCUGCAAGUCUGGUCCGAAUCGGACGGUCGGAUUGCUCAUGAUCAUACGAUCGAAUGGUUAUUGUUUAACUUAAUCUUUAAAAUAUUAAAUCGGAGUAUUCGGGACUCCGAUUCUCAAUCCGUGAAUUUCUACACAAUCCUAGAGGUGUCUAGAUUAACUAUUUGAAAAUGAAGUUGAUCCAACGGUCUGGAUUUAUCAAACUCGGAUAACGCCUAAUAUGAGAUAUCCGAUCGACGACCGAACGAUAACCAAGUUGAAAUCCGAGCAUACCGUCAUGCUCAAGACGACGUGGCGAACAUUCUAGGACAAAAACCUAACAUUGACACCCCGGUGACGUGCUGUAACACCCCGACCCCAAAUUUCUCCAAAUUCCACCCUUAUUUAAUUAUUUAAUUAUUUAAGGGUAUUUUAGUCAUAUUUUUAAUCGGAGAGAGUUUGGGACCGUGACUUAUAUUUUUGGAUAGGUCGUACUGAGACGAGUUCAUAGACACGUAGUGGGCUCGAAUCGGAGUUGUAACGAGAGAGAUAUGGUCAAAAGAAGUCCAGUGGCAUAAUCGUAAAUAUUUCGAAAUGAGAUUUUUUUAUAAAAUCAGAUUUUUCUCUCUCUCUCUCUCUCUCUCUCUCUCCCCCGCGGGUCUCUCUCUCUCCUCUCCCUCGAGCGCGACAGCCGGCCACGUUUUGGCCGGCCGUGCUCUCCUCCGGCCACCAAUGGCGACGAGACCGGUACCAAAAUGACCGGGCCGUCGUCCUCUUCCUACCCCAGCCAGGCCCCGCCUCCAGCCGUCGCGGUUUCGCCGGAAUUUGGAGAAGAAGCGGCGGAUGUCGCCGGAACUUCAACGCCGUCGAUCACCCUCCUCCGGCCACCAAAUCCGUCGACCCAGGUAUGGAUUUUGAACCUCUCGAGCUGCUCUAGCUGAUGGUUGGGUAGGAUUAGAUAGAUUCUUAGCGUAGGCAACUCAAUUUUCGAAUUGAAAAUCGGCCGAAACUUCGGCCGCCGUGAUCGGCCAUUUCCGGCCACUUUUUGGGGUAAGUCCAAGAACAAAAGUGGCUCCAAAUAGGGUGUUAUACCUAGGGUAGGAGUUUGGAGCCGAGAUGUUGAGAUUUUCCGGCGAAGCGUUAUCGCUUUGGACACCCACGCGCUGCCGGCGCGUGCGGCGGCGCGUGGGCACUGUAGAAAAAAUAGCAAUGUGUUCCAAUGAGAUCCUUAGGUCGUCACGAGUGCGUAGGAUUUCGCGGAUCUCAAUUCGGACGUCGUUUGUCUAUCGAACGGAUAAUCGCAUAUUAUGCGUUAUCCGGGUUCGAUAGGUUGGGACCGUUGGAUGGUCCCAAAUUUAAUAUAUGUUGAUCUAGGUAUUUCUAGGAUCGUGUAGGACUUCACGGAUCGUGAAUCGGAGCCCCGGAUGUUGGAUUCACUUCAUGCACCGCCAAGUGAAAGUUAGGUCCCACGUGGCGUAGGUUAUCCGGCGUUGGGACAGGCCCCAUACGUGGCGUUGGUUGUACCGGCGUACGGGGAGAUUAUAUGAUAUUGUGUUGAGGUCGCACGUGGCGUAGGUUAUCCGGCGUGUCGACAGACCCCAUACGUGGCGUUGGUUGUACCGGCGUAUGGGGAGAUUUGUGAUGUGAUAUUGAGGUCCCGCGUGGCGUAGGUUAUCCGGCGUUGGGACAGACCCCAUACGUGGCGUUGGUUGUACCGGCGUAUGGGGAGAGCUUAUGUGGGAUACAGAGAAAUGAAUUAAGAUAUCGCCCAAGUGUGGAAUUGGAUUUUAGGGAAGAACUACGUGUGGCUUGAUCCCUCAAGGAGGGUACGUAGGCAGCCUAAGGUUAUUAGGUGCAGCCGCAGACUAAAUAUUAGUCAUAAUUGGUAUCUGAAUUGUUUGGUGGUUUGUUGAGAAUUACUGGAAGGCCGAAGGCCAUUUAUGUGAAUUUGCAUGAGAUUAUAUUGUGCAUGCUGCCCGUUGGUGAUAUUAAAUGCGUUUUUAUGCAGGUAUAAAUUUUGGGAAAUGUCCAAAUUAUAGGGGAGACUCUGCCGAAAUUUCGGCAGGAAGUCUCAGUUUUUAGUGAGUGGGCCUGACAUCGGGGUGAUGUCAGGAACUCCAAAGGGUUCGUCUCGGAUUUUGAGAAAAUUCGGGGCGGGUCCUUAAAGUCAAAUUGUCACACCCCGGACCGGCUCCGCCGUAGCACGAUAUUGUCCGCUUUGGGCCCUCCUCUCACUGCCCGCACGGUUUUGUUUCUGGGAGCUCACGAAGCAACUUCCCAGGGUGGUCACCUAUCCUGGGAUUGCUCCAGCCUCCCACUCGCUUAACUUCGGAGUUCUUACAACUCCGAAGCCAGUGAGCUCCCAAAAGGCCUCGUGCUAGAUGGAUGCGGGUGUGCCAUAUAAGGCACAUCACCCCCCUCUCCGUUGGUUUGAUGUGGGAUCUUACAAUCCACCCCCCUUAAGGGUCCGACGUCCCCGUCGGCACACUCGCACCACACGGCAAAGUGGCUCUGAUACCAAAUUGUCACACCCCGGACCGGCUCCGCCGUAGCACGAUAUUGUCCGCUUUGGGCCCUCCUCUCACUGCCCGCACGGUUUUGUUUCUGGGAGCUCACGAAGCAACUUCCCAGGGUGGUCACCCAUCCUGGGAUUGCUCCAGCCUCCCACUCGCUUAACUUCGGAGUUCUUACAACUCCGAAGCCAGUGAGCUCCCAAAAGGCCUCGUGCUAGAUGGAUGCGGGUGUGCCAUAUAAGGCACAUCACCCCCCUCUCCGUUGGUUUGAUGUGGGAUCUUACACGUGCUGCCACGCACCGCCACCGUCAGCGGGGCAUUGAGCAAUUUUUCGGCGAUCGGAAAACUCCAAACCGCCGGCCAAUAAUCACACCUAUGGAUUAAGCACAUCAAGGGGAGUAACUUUAUACCUUGGCUCGAUGAUCAAUUCCAUCUCUAAAGCCCUCGAAUGAAGCUUUAUGUCUCUUGAAAACCUAGAAUUUUUAGUUUCAAAAUCAAAGAAAUUUGAAUGGAUUCUCGUUGGAUUGUCAAAGGAUAACACAAAUGGAAGGUAUGAGAGUAUUUUAGGUGCAAUUACCGAGUUGUGGCGGCCAAAAUUGAUCGGAAAAGACCACGAGCAGCCACUGUUCAAAACAACCCAGUUUUUGGGCUCGGGUUUGGCUCAAAAUUGAGCUCAAACUUGGUUGUUUUGAUCUGAAAUUGUAGGAGGCUUUAAAAAAGGAAGAAAGAGGACGAUUUUGCUGCUUGUGGUGUUGAAAAUGGCGGCCGGAUGAGCAAGCUUGCCAGCCAACAAUGGCUGGCUGUUCUGUCGCAGGGAGGAGAAGAAAAAUCGCAGGGGGGAAGAGAGAGAGGAGAAGAAUCAGAUUUAAAAAUCUGGCUUGCAAAAAUUAUGAUUUUACCCCUCAAUGUAUUUUGAUCGUAUUUCCUUCGUUAUAACCCCGAUUCGAGCUCACAACGUGUCAACGGAUUCACUUCAUCGUGCUCUAUGCAACGGUACAAGCGAAAUUUUCAAAUUCUUCUCUGGUCAAAAAAAUCAACUUUCUCCAAUAAACUAUUUUAUGGGCAAAAUUGUCUUUCCUUCUAAUAAAUUAAUAAUUGAAUAUUAUUUAACACUUUCUCCCUUCUUUCUAAUCAAACCUAACCCCUCAUCUCUUCCCUAACCACCACUCUCAGCCACACCCACCAUCACAACAUAAAAAAAACAUAUAUAUGGAAUAGCAAUGGUGGGCUUGGACCGACACUGCAACACCACCCACGCCUCCACCACCACUCACCACCCACUACCAACCACCUCCUCCCCCUCUCUAUUAUGUCUUUCAUUCUUCCCUCACCCUCCAGAGCCAUCCCCGACUCCACAAUCUCGCCACAAUCUAUCUUGCGCUCAUGUUCUCAUGUUUCUCCCUGAUGCCCACCGCCACCCCAGCCAGAUCUCAUCUACCCUCUUUCUCUCUCUUCUUUAACCGGAUACAACUUUAGGCACAAAGAGAAAAUUCAUGUACUGGAUUAAAUUCAUCUUUGUUUUCAAUUUUUUUGUUCGAUUUUUUAUUUUUGAAUUUGCAUACAUAGGAGUAGAUAAUUUGUUUUUUGAAAUAAAGGCGAGUUCAAGUUGAUGGGGGUGGCAGGAAAAAGGUGGCGAAUUUGAUUUUGUUGGUGUUGGGUUGUCGGCGAUGAAGUUGGGAGGAUGAGGAUGAGAGAGGCCAUAUCUAGCCUUUGUGGUUUGAACAUUGUUUGCAUUUGUGGGUGGGUUUAGGGUUUGUGGGUGAAAAACAGAAUGGGGGAGGAGGGGGAGGAGGGGGAGGGGUCUCUGGGGGUGGGGGUUUUGUUAUGGUGGAAUUUGGGUGGGUGGAUUAGGUGUGGCUGUAUUUUUGGGUGUCUUGAGAAUUUUUUUUGGUCAUGGGGAAUGGGGGGAAUCGGUUGGGGGAGAGGGAGAGCGCAUAGGGGAGAGAAAGAGAGAGAGAGUUGUAAUUUUUUUUUUUAAAAAAAGAAAAUGUGGGACCUAUAGUGCUAUGUAGGCAUGGUCUAAAAUAUCGAUCAUAUCAACAAAAUAUCGAGGAUAUUACCAUUUUUUCGGGUCACGGAUAUUUCGGAACGUAUUCAUACACAUAUGUAUAAAUAUCGAUAAUAUCAAAAAAUAUCAAUGUCGAUAAUUUCGCUUACACUUCAGCAAUAUUUUGUUAAAAUAUCGCUAUAAAUUGAAAAUAUCAAAAAUAUCGAUGUAAUGAAAAAAAGGAAAAGGAAAAAAAACACAAAGCACACAUGCAAAAAGGAUUCAAACCCCUACCAUUUCAUUCAUCCAACGCCUUAACCACAAUGUUGCUUAUGUUUUUGUGAUAAUAUGUUAAAAUAUGUAUAUUUAUAUUGUUUUGUUUUGAACUGUUUUUGCAAGAAUUAGAUUUUCACAUGAGAAUGUGAGUCUUUGACCUUUCCUUUUGGGAUGGAAUCGAGCGGCUCAUGUAAAGAAUAUGAGACCCAAUCUUCAAAUAAUUUUGCUUAUAGACAACGUCAACCAAUCUCGAAUCCAUAUGGGUGACAUGUCAACAAUUACAUGUAAAACUAUUUUGGGGAUUUAUCAUUUGAUGACUACUCUUCACAAUACACUUACUCUACACAUAGAGAUUAUGAAAAUAGUGAAAAAUUUGAACCUCAUAAGAACUCUAUGUGGUACUAAGUCAUUCAUGUAUCUUAUCAGGCAAUGUAUAAAGUGUAAAAUAUUGUAAUAAAUCAUAUAUAAAUGAUUAUGGUGUGUUUAAUCUUCUUUCAUUAAUUAUUACAUAUUUUCUACACUCAUAGUGUUUGUCAGCUUGCUAUAUAAUCAACUUAAAUCAGUUAAACCCAUCAUGCAAUGCAUUUUCUUUCAAUUUUUUGUGAUAAACUAAUAGAUAAUUGACUAAAUAAACAUCCUCCAAAGUUUCAAUAAAAAUUUCCAAAUUUUUCUUAUAAUUUCUGUAGUUUUUAUUCAUUUUUUUAUUGAUAUUGAUAAUAUCCCGAUAUUUCCAUAAAAAUUUUAUUAUUUUUUGACUACCGAUAUUUUCGAUACCAUCGAUAUUUUAGACCUUGCACGUAAGCAACUAACAGAGAGAUCUGACAGAAACCCUAACGACGAAAUCAUAUUGUAACAAAUUUAAAAGAUCAGGGUAUGUGAUUGUAAAAAUUGAAAAUAUAAUGACUAACAUGUCUUAAUGGUGUAACCACAUGGUAUUAAACUGUAAUUAAUCCCAUUUAAUAAUAAUAUAAGAUAGUCAUAAUGCUAACAACUGCCCAACAAAAAAAAAAACUAACAACUAGUUUGGUUACCCUCUACAAUAUCAUAUCAUAAUCAUGUUAAUUUUCUACAUUUUUAUCUAUUAUAAGUGAAUCUAAUCGUGAGAGCUCUUUUCAUAAAGUCCAUAUAGAAAGAUCACCAAAUUAAUGCUAGUUGGUAGUUGGUAUGUAGUUAUUAAGAGAAUCCUCCUUUCAAACCAUUUUUAAAUUGAAAAAGCUUGGCUCCUUAAAAACCGAGGAAGAAUUCCUCCUCAAAACAAAUUGAAUUUUGACACGUGUAAGCUUAUUAUUUUACUAUAUAAAGUUGUAACAUUUACAACCCAACAAACUUCCUUAACGAAAGUACUAAGCCUCUACUUUUGCAGAUCUUUGGUGCCAUGUAAUUUCAGUGGACUUGAACUUUGACAUGGAGGGUUUUGCUUACCUUUCUUUGCUUAUUUGGCUUGAUCGAAAUGCACGAAUGCAUGGCCAAAAGGGACGUCACCCUGAUGACUUGUAAGCUACUGCCCAUUGUCUUUCAGUUAAAUUUAUCUCCGCUAACACUGCACCUGUGCAUACUCAUUCUCCCUCCUCUACUCAUUGGUGUCCUCCCCCUCCUGGUAAGUUGAAAUUGAAUGUGGAUGGUGCUUGUAGUACUUCCGUUUGGAAGCGUGAAUUGGGGGCAGUUGUAAGAAAUGUGCAUGGAGAUCUUAUGGGUGCUAUUUCAGUCCCUAUCACUAGAUGUUUCUCUGCAAAGAUUAUUGAACUCUUAGCAAUUCGGGAAGGCCUUCAGUUUGCAUGGGAGGACGGUUACAAUUCAUUAGUAGUUGAGUUAGAUGCGAAGAAUGCCAUUAACGACAUCGUCUCUGGCACUGAGGCUUUUAGGGUUGCAGGGGGGAUUAUCAACAAUAUCCACAUGUUAUCUAGAAACUUUGAUUUUCUUUCUUUUGUAUUUGCUCCUAGAUUGUGUAAUACUGUGGUUGAGAGACUUGCUAAGUUUGCUUUAGGUAGUGUGUCUAUAGACGUUUGGCUUGAAGAAGGUCCUCCAUGGAUCAAUGUGUUCCUUCAAGCUGACGCUAAUAAUCUAGAGUUGUCAUGAUCUUUUGUUUGUAGCCAUUAUGGAGCAUGUGACACUCUUUUUUCCUUCGUCCCAGGUUUUGUCCCAAUGAGUUUUCCUAGGCAAGGUUUUAAUGAGGCCACGUUUGUUCGCUCGAGUCUAUAACCUUUCAUAAUUUUAAUGAACAUUUACUACUUCCUCUAUAAAAAAAAAAGCAUUAAGCCUUUACUCUCAUUUGACCAUUAGUAAUGACUUUUGGAGAUAAACUAUACUAACAAAAAUACAUAGCCUCAUAUUGUGGUAAGAUUGUUAACUUGUGUAAUAUGGGUCAUUAGAUUUAAUGGAUUUUCCUUCUUUCGUUUAGCUUUUCCUUCCUAAAAACCAAAGUUAUUUUUGCUAGUCUUUUUAAAAUGGCCACUUGUUAACGGGGUCUAGUCCAAUAAAAAAGGAUCUUGAUUUGCAAACUAGUGGUCUCAGGUUUGAACCCCGUGACACUUUUAGAUGUGUAUGUGAAAAAACCUCAUAUCUUCCUUCCUAACUUUAGCGAAGAAAAGAAGAAGUGGCCACUUAAGCUAACCCUUAUUUUAACUUGUCAUGAACUUAAUUUUUUAUUUUUUUUUAUUUGGGUUACAAUUAAAAUUAUAAAAAAUAUAUAGGGUUAACUGUUUUAUUAGUCCCUGAAUUUAAACAUGAUUUGCAUUUGAGUACCUCAAUUUCCAAAAUGGUUCCUAUAAUCCUUUAACUUUAGUUUUGUUAAGACAAAUGGCCAUACCGUCAAUUUUGUUAACUUUUCUGUUAAGGGCAUAUGCAAAAUAGUAUUUUUGUAUCAAAAUUGAUUAAAAUUUAAUAAAAAAUUUAAUAAAAAAUUAAAAUUAAACUCUCUCCCUCCCCCUCUAUCCCGAUUUCUACUCCCCCCAAACUUGAUUUUUCUUUUUCUUUUUUGUUGGUUUUUUAUUUGAUUUUCUUUUAUUGUUAUUUUAAAGAUAUUAUUUUUUAUUCAUUUUUUUGUUUUAAUAUAAAAAUAUCAUUUUGCCCUUGCAUUUAACAGAAAAAGUUAACAAAAUUGACGGUAGGACCAUCCAAACGAAACUAAAGUUAAAGGACCACGAGAAUCAUUUUGGAAAUUGAAGUACUCAAAUGCAAAUCGAGUCAAAUUUCAGAGACUAAUAAAACCAUUAACCCGAUAUAUAUAUAUAUAUAUAUAUAUCAGAGAGCUUCCAUUGAGGGAUCCCUCAAAUAAGCUUAUUUGAGAGACACCCCUUGUAGGCCCCACUCCGAAUUGUAUUUCACUAAUCCAAACCGUCUAUUUUGUACAUACUCAUUCAAAGAUCAUCUCAACAAAAAAUCACUUGAAUCCAAUAUUAUUUGACCACUCAAUUAAGCUAUUGAAAUUUUAGCAUUUUCUUGAAGCAUCGUAAUCAUUGAUUUUGUAAGACACAAUUGGAUGUCGAAAUGGUUUCCGAUUUGUCUAAUUUUUUGUAAGGAUGAUCUAUGAAUAAAGACCUAAAAAAUAGAUUGUUUGGAUUAUUGGGAAAAAAAUUGUAGGGUACCCUAAGGGGCGUCCCUCAAAUAAAAUUAUUUGAGGGAUCCCUCAAUAGAAGGGGACUGUAUAUAUAUAUAUAUAUAUAUAACAAGUUGGUGGUUUAAAAUGACAAAAAAGAAGCAAAUAUUGGAGAACCUCUCUCCUCUCAAAUAUUGGCAGCAGAAUUUGUAAAUUAACAAAAUAGUUGAUUGAAAAAUAAGGUAAGUGGAGAUGCGGGGUAUCGAACCCCGUACCUCUCGCAUGCAAAGCGAGCGCUCUACCAUGUGAGCUACAUCCCCUUGUGAUUUUCAAGCGACAUUUUGCAAAUUUAUUGAGACAACUUUGUUCUUUGGGCAUAUAAAACGCCCUACUGAGUGGCUGAGCCAAAGCCUAGCGAGUAGUGAAAAAUUCUCUGCUUCUCUCUUGUUUUUUUUCCCGCCAUGGAAGCCAUGGAAAUCGAUUCGGAGAAGAACCUCCAGAGAAAGCAUUCCACCUAUAACUUGCUGGUCCGUACUCUCUCUCUCUCUCUCUCUCUCUCUCUCUCUCCCCUUGAAGAUUACUUCAACUCACUUCUUCUCGCAUCGCCUUGUUUGGUUACCGAGAAACAAACGAGAAAAGAACGGAAAGUAGAAAUUUUGUGCUCAAUCCGGACAUUUAUAUAUUGUUCUAGGAUUUCUCAGCAACCAUUACUCAAUUAACAGCCACAACUGACAGUUUUAGAGCAAUUGUCCUGUUUUACUAUUUCUUUUUUCAAUUUUUUUUUUGUUUAGUUAUUUAUUUAUUUAUUAUUUCUGUUUAUUUUAGGACGAGAGGUUUGAGAUUCAGAAAGAGAUGUACAGGGGUCAGCAGUACAGCCAAAUAUACUUUGCACGUCUCCAUAUGAUGAGGACCCUCCUCUAUUCCCUUGUCCCUAAUUGGAAACCCCAUUUACCAGGUUCUCAAUUGUUGUAAUUGUUUCAGCAUUUGUUCAAUUUUAGUUUUCGGUUUUCCUGUUACAUGUUGUUCUGCACUGUUAGUAUCCGGAAAAUGAAAAAAUAAAAAUAAAAGGAAAGGAAAUGUGGGUUCUAGUUGAUGGCUUUUAGGUUUGUCUUUCAAUUGGCUACCUGUAGAAGAAAAUUGGCUUUCCAUAAUUCGUUACAAUUUCUGGUUUUACUCUGAUUAUCUUAUUGUUCUCUUUAUUUUUCAUUUUUUAUUUAUGAUAAUCUGCAAUCCAAAAUUUCUCAGUGUUAAAAUUAGGGGUGGGAUGUGCGAAAAGUUAGAACUUUUAGGGAGCUGUUAUUGACACUCCAAAACAGUCAUCCUCUACUCCACCCUAUAAAAAUGAGAUUUAAAAAGUUCAAUUUUAAGGGGGAACUGCAGACUGACUAUUUUAGAGUGCCAAUGACAGCUCCCCUUUAGUAUUUUGGUUAUUGAUUUAUAUGAGGGUCAACUUUUAGUACAUGCCUUUGGGUUAGAAUCAAGGCAGUAUCUUUUUGGCCACUUGUUAGGAUUUUGGUUUUCAUUUAUGUUUAUGUUAAUGCUCUUUGUUUCGGUGAAACAUUUGUGUUAAUGUUUGAAGUAGCAGUGAUUUGGGUUUCUGGUAAAAUGGUAAUCCGAUAUAAUAGGCGUUCUGUAUGGUGUUGUAGUUUGCACAGUUUUGGGAUUGGAAAAGGACAAGGAAUGCAUUGUUGUUGGAACCCUGUACAAGCACAUGAAACUCAAACCUUGUAUUCUUGAUGAGUACUCUAAGACGGUAGUGUACAUGUGCAGUGUUGGUCAUUAAGUUAUGGAGUGUUUUUUUUUUUUUAAUUCUUCUGACAAUAUUGCAAUUUUUACAGAGAUCUACAACACCACUUGUCAAGCCUCAUAAUUUUGUGCACCCGGAUGACCAUCUGGUUUUGGAAGAUGAAAGUGGAAGAGUAAAGCUUGCUGGGAUGCUUUCACCCUCUGUAUAUGUAACAGGUCUGUGUCAAACAAAAUGCUACAAUAAAGAAAGAAAAAUGCUCUAUAUAUAUAUAUAUAUAUAUAUUUCUUCUUUUGGUGGGAUUUUGGGGUCUUUUGGGCUUCUGUGAGGCAAUAAAGUGCUUGUGGCUUUUAGUCCCAUAUGCUAUUCAGAAACUCUGAUCCGCUUUGUCUUGAUUCAGUCUACAUGAAGCUUAAUCUGUUGGGCCUAUUUUACUUGCUUUCCUUUGAUUGCAUAAUUAUGACAUUUGAAUUGUUCAUUUUGAUACGGAAGAGUCCAAAUUUUUUAACAUUUAAUAUGAAAUCAAUAUUGAAGCAUGCUUAUUCUACAAUAACAUGGUGACAGGGAGUAUUGUUGGUUUGCAUGGAAAGGAGACUGAUGCUGGUGACUUCUUAGUCCUGGAUGUUCUUGAAGCUGGCUUGCCACCCCAGAUAGAGCUGCCACUUAAAUCAAGUAUAAUCUGAUUUACCUGGCUCUCUUUUAUUUUGCAAUUUUUCUUCUUUUCUGUAAAGUUUGUGUUUGGCCACUUGUUUCUUUAAACCUUCAUCUUAUAUUGGUGAGAGAUGAUUAGAGAGAAGCUAAACAGCAAAAGCUCGAAUUUAUGCAGAAAUAUGUUAGACAACAUUGGCUGUAUGAUAAUAUGUCUAGAGAGGAUCUAAAUUCACAGGAAAUAUAACUUGAAACCUUUGAGUAUAAAGUGGAAAGUCUUUGCUUUUAGUCCCCUUUGAACUUUCUUGAGGUUUUCUCAGUUUCUAUAAAAUUACAAUGUUGUGCUCAUAAAGAAACUAAAAGAAAAACAGAAAUUGCUAUUUGUUGUUCGAUCCUCAUUUACUUUGGUUUUUAAGUUUUAGUAAUUGUCUUGUAUUUAGUUUCUCAUUUCCUCUGGUAUUUAUGUUCUAGCAUCUUUCACUAGUACCUUUACCUCAAUUUUCUUUUUUCAUUAAUUUUAAUUUGUCUGCAUGCAGGAGAAGACAAGUAUGUUGUCUUUGUGUCUGGACUUCGUGUUGGAAGCAGCUCUUCAAACCCUCUUCAGUUUCAGCUUCUUGUUGAUCAUAUUACAGGACAUUUAGGAGAUGAGAAGGUUCAUGCCAUCAUUUCCUUCAAGAUCAAGUGCUGUUCAUUAUGUUUUAAACUGUCUUAACAUACUAACUUUGUACAACGUUGAACAGGAGCAAGGUAUUGCAGCACAAAUAGUUCAUGUUGUUAUUGCUGGAAAUUCUAUUGAAGUUCCUCGUGGACUUCUUAAUGGACAGGUAACACAUUUAUACGUCCCUGAUAAUAAGGCAGAAUAUAAUUGUUUAAUGAUUACUUAUAAAUUGUAGGUGCAGAGGCGGCAAUGUGAUUAAAUAUAGUAGCUGGAUAUUUUGUUGUAGUUUAGUUUCUUAAAUUUCCAAGCAAAAUGUAGUAGUUUUCUUUCUAAUAGUCAUUUUGUUCAUUGUUUGUAGAAUUUAGCGUCAAAGGAUCAAUCAAGGCUGUCUGAGCCAAUUAAGGAGCUGGAUAUUUUGUUGACUCAGGUUCUUUUUAUCAGUUUGAUUAGUCAAUACCGCGGCUAUGUUCCUAUCAUGAAUCAGACUGCUUAAUUUAUUCUACUCAUGCUAGAUUGCUGCAGGUUUGCCUUUGGAUAUCAUGCCAGGUCUCGAUGACCCUGCUAAUUUUGCCUUGCCGCAGCAGGUUUGAUAUAUGUCCUUGAAAGUCUAUAUGCAGCAAUUUUUCCUUGCCGCAGAAGGUUUGUUUGUAGCUAAUAUUCCUUUCCUUUCAGCCUUUGAACCGAUGCCUUUUCCCUGGGUCAUCAGCUUAUAACACGUUUAGAUCAUGUACUAAUCCCCAUUGCUUUGAUCUUGAUGAUAUCAGGUAAAAUUGUAAAUCUAAUUUGACUUUUGGCAUUGUUGAUCAACAAUUUUGUUUUGGUAUUAUUUAUUAGGUACUUAUUUUGACAUACUGGUAACGUGGUUUUCAGAUUUCUCGGAACAUCAGGUCAAAAUAUUGAUGAUCUUGAAAAGUAUUCAGAAGCAAAGGAUAAACUUGAAUUUGUUGAAAGGACAUUGAGGUGGAGGCAUCUGGCACCAACAGCACCUAAUACUCUUGGUAUGAAAUUUUACCUUCUGCUUGUGUAGUUUUGUUGGUCAUCCGAGUCAAUUUGUCUUGUUAAAGUGGUUUUUUGGUUUGGAUAUUUUCAGCUAGGCUGAGUUCCUCUCCAAUUUGAGAUUAAAAUUAAUACUCUUGUUAUCUUUCAGGGUGUUAUCCUUUCACAGACAGGGAUCCUUUCCUGAUUGAGAGUUGCCCUCAUGUUUACUUUAUUGGUAAUCAGGAUAAAUAUGAUAGCCGCUUAGUAAAGGGUAUAUCUUGUAACUCUAGUUUUUUUUUUUUUGGGUCAACUGUAACUCUAGUAAUCAUAUUAUAUAAUAAUACUUUUCAUGCCAAAAAAUUUAAUUAAUUAUUUUUUCUAUCAGUUGAGUAGUAUACAAACUUCCGAUUGCAGGAUCUGAAGGGCAGAUGGUGAGACUCAUUUGCAUUCCUAAAUUCUGUGAGACAGGAGUUGCUGUUGUGGUAAGUUGUUGUAUAUUCGCGACAUGCUGGAAGUUCUUGAGGAAUAAGUUCUGGUGUCAAUAUUGAUGUUAGACAUGUUUAUCGUGUCUUGUCUAUAAUGACACCUUGAUCCCUUAAAUUUUCUGUUUCCCAAUUUUGCAGCUAAACUUGGGAACUCUUGAAUGCCAUACGCUCAGUUUUGGGACUCACUUCAGCUCAUAACAACACGGUAUGAGGUUUAUCAAUUAGAGCUCUGAAUUCUUCGUAAUCUGCUGCCUCCAGUCAAUACAAAUUCUGAAAGAACACAUCAUUAUAAUGCUCUGUGGCAUGCUUCAUCUUUUGAAAUACACAUGUUAUUUGUGAUGUUUCAGUUGAAAAUAUCACAUAUGAUUAUCAAUGAGAAAAUAUUUAGAAGUAAUCUUAUAGGAGCAUUGAUGACUUAAAACUCGGUUCAAUGGAUUUUUAACUAGUCCUACGUGAAUAAAAAUCAGAAUCACUUACUGAGUUUCAACCAAUAACUAGUCAGUCAUUGUUACAUGUCAAAAAUUUAAGAGGGGCAAAGGGAUCUAACUUGCAUCAGCUCCCAAUGCUAUUGUUUGUUCCUUUCAUGGAAGUGCCUAUUAUUUUGCUUCAUUUGACAAGUUGACAUUGGUUUAUCUUACAUAAAUAUAUGAAAAUGCAUGUCUGGAAGCCAACAUUCUGCAGCUUCUUACUGAAAUUUUCUCAAAUAAAAUUGGAAAUUUGUAAUUUCAGGCUUCCAAAAUGUUAUAAAGGAUUUACAGUAGUUUGUGGCUAUCAAUACAUCCUCUAGCAGCAGUUGUGGAGAUCCCUUGAAGAGAAAGCCCAAUGGGAUGAAUCUGUGGAGCAAAAACCUGCCACUUAGUUUUAUUUUUAAUUUUAAACAUUUGCUUACAGAGUAUUGGCUCUUGGUGUAAUUUUGGUUGUAUUUAUUUUCAAGUAGGCAUUCUGGUGAUUGAAGAUGUUAAUGAAGUUUUAAACUUUAGUAGAUUUUAUCAACUGAUACAAUUUUUUAUGGCUUCCAAGAAUUAAUCAGAGCAUCCAACACUCAGAAAAAAAAAAAAAAAAAAAAAAAUUCUGAUUAUGCCCCUAGUGUUGGGUGUGCUAAUUAGAGGUAGAAUCGAUGGUUACCGACAAUUUUUCAUGAAACCAUAAACCAACCGACCGUAAACAAGAGCAUGACUGAUCAAGUAUUUUGGGUGCAUUUAGAAUUUAGAAGCCUGCCCUUUAACCGUUGUGGGCCUUCCGGCCCAAAUGUAUCCAAACCCAAACCCAUAUAUUACCGUUGUUUGGUCCAAAACCCGAACCAGAUCCAACUUUGACGCCAUCAUCAUCGGCAGAACUUGUCAGUGUGAACGUGGGAGGCGCGCAUGUAAAAUGGCAAAUUGGAAUUUUGGUACGCUAACUAAAUAAUGUCCACAAAAUCACAUGCCCAAUAAUACAUUGCAUUGCCUUGCGCCAGAUAGUUUUGUCUAUUAUUCUCUCCCUAACGGCUAUAUUUUCCAAGUCCUUGUUAUUCAAAUCAUUCACUAACCCCAACGGUCCAUUCCCCACACAUACAUUAAGCUCUAAAUUCACCAACCCAACAACAUACACAUAAAAUCCAUCCACAUUGCAAUUUACAUUCUCCCUCUCUCUCUCUCUGUCAUAUUCUUAAAUCACAAAUUUACAAUGGACCCUCUUCCUACUCCAACUCCAACUCCAACUCCAGCUCCUGCUGCUACCUCAGCUAGUGUUCAACAUGUAAACAAGAAGUCCUCCGAUGAGCUGCUAAGAAAGUUUGCUGAUUCAGGGGAUGAGGCUGAGGAGGCCCCAGAAAAGAAACAAGUGAUUCGGGUGUCGAAACGCCGGAAAGUGAGAAACCGGGCAAGUGGUGAAGGGGAGCAAUGUGAGAGCCCAUCAAAUGGCAAGAACAGCUUAGUGGAGAGAAGGUCUCUGCUUCCUGCUGCUGGGACUAAGAACAAGGCAUUGCUUAGGCAACUUGGGGUUCAUGGCAGGGCAUCACAACUCAGGGCCAGGGAUAUCAGGAACAAGUCUUUCUUUGGUGCCAUUCACAAGGUUGGAUUUUUAUUUUAUUACAUCCCAUGUUUUGAUAAAAUCUUCCAGUUAAUUAUCUGUUUUAGUUGCCAAUUUGCCAAUGAACUAAGGUGAAAAAUAAAAUCCAACUAAUUUAAAUGGGUGUGUUAAACUGUGUUUAAAUCAGUAAAUGUAAAUGUAAUUAUUACCCUGAUAAGAAAAAACCUCUAGGCUUGAAGUUUAGUGUAGCAAUCAAUGGGAAUUUCGUGAUUGGGGUUACAAAAGUAAGUGAUUGUUGUUCUUACUUUCCUUGAAUAACAAAAUCCCUCACAGCCAUUGUUAAUUCACCCUCUCCCAAAGCCAAUAAAAGAAAACUUACUUACACGGUACACCACAAGGAAUGUCAAUGUGGCAACAUCCCAAGCCAAAUCAACUUUCCAAGGUGACCAUGCGUAAUUGGAUUGGAAUACCAUCACAAUGGCACAUUGUUGCAUGGAAGUUCUUCUCUAAUAAUAGCUUCGCUGAGAAACUAGUUUUACCAAUUUUUUCUACACAAUCGGCUUCAGAUUCAGUUGACUCUCUUAUUAGUUAGCCUUUCCACUUAAACCACAUAAUGUUAGUUAUCAUGUCUUAACUUUGUGUGUGGCCUGCGAUAUUAUGGUGUUACAUUCCAAAGCCUUGCUACAUGAUUUGCAGAAGGGUUCCUUCCUGCUAGGUGCCUUAUUACAACAAAAGUUAACCUCUCAGGAAAUUAAGGCAAAUUGGAACCAUAUUGAUCAACAACUUUGUGGCUACCAAUGUAUUUGUACCCAUAAUUAUCUGUUUAAUUGGGUGCUCAAGCAGUUCUAGCACUUGGUAAAAAACUAACACCAACUAUAAGAAAACCGUGCAAAUAGCUUGUAGCACAAGUACAUUUACCCUUAUAUCUGAGGUUCUAAGUUUAGUUUCUUCCUUUCUUUACGAUCGCUUCUAUAUAAUAAAAAAGAAGAGAAAUAUAUAGGCUCAGCCCCCCAACCCUAUCAUCUGUUAGCCUGUUCCCAUCCAUAGGCUAGCUUAGUGUACUCACCAAACUCUGCCCCUCUCACUCUUCUAACUGCAGCAACUCUUUGUUGCAGCAUUUUUCUGCUGGUAAAGCUGUCACUAGCUUGGUCCAAUUUGCCGGCUAACCUAUGCCCAUCUCCAUUUUUAUUACCGAGGGGCAGGGAAAAAUAAUUAAGAAAGAAGAGAUACGAGAAGAAACAGAAAAAGAUGUCUUCUUCUUUGAUAAAGGACUUGUAAAUGUUUAUAUUAUAUUACAAGUGGGAAACAAAAGUCAACUUAUAUUGAUGUCACUGAUUUCGAACAUUUCAACCCCCAACCCUUUUUCUUCUGUUGUCAUCUAUUGUGCAGACAUGGAGAAGGACCAUAGAAGGGGCUUCAAAGGUUUUCAUGGAGAAGCAUUACAAUAGGCACAAGCGUUUGAUAAGUGACAUUGCCUAGCUCACAGACAGUCUCUUAAAUUCCAGAAAUUUCUAGUUGGAAGGUCUCAGUCAGCCUUGUGUAAAUCUUGCAUCCAAUUUAUAUUUCUCAUGAAUCUUUAAUAUUGUUUCUUUUUUCACAAUGAAUAAAUUAAGUACCAUUUUAGUUCUUUAACUCAAAAAAUCUCAAAAAAUAUUCAAUAUUAUCUUGACAGAUUGUUUGAUCAACAUAAGAUGCUUCAAUUGUUAGAAUAUUAGUUUGAACUAUCAAUCUGAUCGACUUUUGCAAGAAUCCAAUAAUCUCUUAACAUAAAUCUAAUAAAAGAACAUCAUUUCUCAAGAUUUUAACAGAUUGAUCGACAACAUAAGUUGCUUUAAUGGUUAAAUUAUUAAUUUAAACUAUCGAUCAAAUAAACUUUUACAAGAAUCUGAUAAUCUCUCAACAUAAAUCUAACAAAAGAACAUUAUUUCUGAAGAUUUUGGAGACUACCCUAAAUUCCCAAGGUCUUAUCCUAUCUAUGGCACAUUAGAUUUCAUAGAGAGUUUACUUUAGGGUGGAGCUCUCCAACCCACCCAUUUUGUUGGCCAAAUAAAAGAGCAGCACUUGUAAAUGUGACAUUGACCCCAAUAACACAAAACCAACUGAUGGGAUUUAUGGGGUCAAAUGUGAUCCCAUCUGUGGCAACAACAUCUUUAAUUGCAACUGUACCAUCUCAUGAAUGCCUCUGUAUGGAUUAGCUUAGCUUAGAUUUUAACACCCCAAAAAAAAAAGAUCCCACUUUCACAUGCCUCAUGUGUUUAGCCCUACCAUCUUCCCUUUAUUUAUUUUCUUUCUUGGAAAACAACAUGCCCUCUACCCUCCUCUGCCUCUGCCUCUGCCUCUGCAUUUCCUCCAUUCAUCCAAAGGACAAAAGUUGGUUUCUGAUAAGCUUACAUGGUUACACCUACCCAAUCACUCACACGUGUUUUGGGGUGUUGGGAUCUGAUCGAAUAUAUUUUUGUCAACAAAGUCUUCUCAAAUUUAAUAAAGAAAAAAGGAAAAAAAGAAAGAAAGAAAUAAUAAUAUUGUGACUAGUUUUCUAGUUGUAUAUAAUUGGAGAAGAUAAGCUGUAUAGCUUAUAUUAUGCAUCAAUUCAUAGUCAUUUGUGGUUUGCACAUGGGUGAUAUUGCAAGAAGCUAAAGCCUAUGUAUAUAUGCUAAAGAAAAGAUUCACUUUUUUAUUUAUUAUAUUUGUUUAUUUAUAAAAAGUACUUGAGGCCCAUAGGGCCACAGCUCUGCCCAUUAAUGAUAUUGUAAGACAAAAAGGAAAAAAAUUCUGAAUUUUAAUAUUAAAACCAAAGAAUAUGAAUGUGCACCGCCGUGGUGUUAGUAGAAUUAUAUUAAAUUUUUGGUGUGCUCUCAAGUGGUUCUGAGUUUAAACUCUCAUAAUAUUUGUAUGUGUGAGUUUUCCUCAUUCUUUUUUUAACUUUGGCAACCAAAAAAAAAAAAAUUAUUAUUUUCUUUAUAUUUUUUAAAUUUUUUUUUUUUUUUUAGGGUACAAAGAAGGUUAACGAAGAAGGGGAGAUUUGAAUUUUUGAAACCCUUAAAAAUAAAAUUUCAUUUUGACUAUUCAUGUGAAGGAUGACUUCAAUUGUACCCUCCUCAUUGAUGAAUAAACUAUUCAAUUUUAAAAUGGAUAUUUACAAAAAUUACAAAAAUGAGGCCAUCAUGGCUAGUAGCCUUCAGUCAUAUUUGUUUUUUUUUAUAAAUAUUUUUUAAAAUUAAAAUAAAAUGAGAAAUUUAGAAAAAGACAAUAGAUGAUAGUGAGAUGAAUAAUGUGAAGGUGAGACCCCACAAAAGAAAAUAAUUUGAAUUCUAACAAAAAAGGAAAGAAAAUAAUUUGAAAACAGAGUUGUGCCAAAUCCGCGGCCGGUUAUCAUCUCGAUUCAGUGGCAUACCUGUAAUUUAGUCAUCGUACUAAUGGCAUUUUCGUCAAUCGAAAACACCAUUUCGAAAAAACAAAAGAAAAACAAAACUUUAAAAAUAAAAAGAGUGCCUCUCACACGCUUUCGUCAACUUUCCCCUUCCAUUCCACCCAGUAGUUGUUGCUCUGCAAAACCUCUCUCUUCUCCCUCUCUCUCUCAAUACACAAACAAUUGAGACAGAGAAGAGACACAAACCCACCAAGCCUUUCAAGUCCUUGUUCCCAAAAUCACAACCCCUUUUGGCUUUUUCAAUCCCAAGCUCCAAUCUUUCCCAAAUUUUGCAACUUUAUUAAACCAAGUGAACCAAAUCCAUCCUCCUUUACUUUUUUUUCCAGACAAAACACUACAUAUUGGCAAAAGGGUAGUUGUAUUACAGAGUUAAAGCAGUGUUGGGUUUGGGAAAUGAGGGAUGUUUUCGUGGCUGGCAAGGAUAGCGUGGACGUGUUGGAAGCCAGUGAGGAGAUAUGCCCGUAUGAGCAAGGAUGAUCUUGAUGACUCAUCUCUUGAAGAUCCCUUGUUAUGGUGCAGAAGCCUUGACAAGCACUCCUAUGGUGAAUUCUCCUUCGCUGUGGUCCAGGCCAAUGAAGUUCUUGAGGAUCAGAGCCAAGUUGAGACUGGCCGUGAUGCCACCUUUGUUGGUGUUUAUGAUGGGCAUGGUGGACCUGACGCGUCUCGCUUCAUUUCUGACCAUCUCUUUCUUCAUCUUAUGAGUGAGCCCCUCUCUUCUUGGUUUCUGGUUUUUGGAUUUUUUCUUUUCUUUUUCUUUUUGGCUUUUCUUGGGAUUGUUGGAGUUGUUUGUAAUUUUGUGAAUUUGUGUGUGUGUUUUUUUUUAAAAAAAAGGGGUUGUUUUGUUUUCUUCUGUUCUUGUUGUUGUUCCUGUGUCUUGUCAUUUUAAAUGUGAAUUGUGUUUGAAGCAGAGUCUGGCUUUCUCUACUGGUUAAAUUUUAUGUUUUUACUUUUUUGGGUUUUUUUUCCUUCUCUGCAUCCCCGACUCGUCCUUUGCCAGUUGGGGUUGUCUUGGUGCUGUUAUUUGAAGAAAUUUAACUUAUUUAUCUUGAAAAAGAAAAGUUUGAUGAGAAAAUUGGUUCCAUUAAUGGACUCGAUGGAGGUUGAGUUAUGUUGUUUAUCUAUUUUGUUCUGCGUACUUGGAGUAGAUUUGGAUGUUCAAUUAUGGAAAAUGAUAAGAUUUUUGUUUAUUGAGUGCAGUUUAUUUUCUUUCUUUUCUGGUGUAUGUAUAGAGAUCUUUGUGUUUCUUUAUUGCAUUGUCUUUCUCUUCCACUCCAGAGUCAGACCCUUUGUUUUGAGAUCCCAAUAGAGAGGCUUUUAGCUAUAUGUGAUUGUGGAAGUGGAUGAGGAAGAUAGUUUAAGAAUACAGGCGUUUCUUUUGUACAUGUUAACAUCCCUUGAGGAAUUUACUCGCCAGACACUUCAACAACAUUGAAGGUCUCUCUUGAAACAUAGACAUGUUUGAUACUCUUUGUUGCACCACUGCUUAUUAUCUGCAUUCUAGGCUUCACCGUCCAAUUGCUAUUGUGCCAUACAUGAAGUACUUUUGGAUUUUACAAAUCGUAACUUAUUUAAGUGUGUUUACAGGACAUGCUCGAGAAAAAGGAGCCCUAUCUGAAGAUAUCCUUAGAAGUGCCUUUUCUGCCACUGAGGAUGGGUUCCUUACUCUUGUGCGUAGGACUUGUGGAAUAAAACCAUUAAUGGCAGCAAUUGGGUCUUGUUGUCUGGUUGGUGUUAUCUGGAGAGGGACGUUGUAUGUUGCUAAUCUAGGAGAUUCAAGAGCAGUAAUUGGUUCUUUAGGUAGAUCGAAUAAGAUUGUUGGUGAGCAGCUAAAUAAGGAGCACAAUGCAAGUUUGGAGGAGGUUAGACAAGAACUCAGGUCCUUGCAUCCAAAUGAUUCACAUAUUGUAGUUAUGAAGCAUGGAGUUUGGCGUAUCAAAGGCAUCAUACAGGUUUACUCACUUUUUGUCUCUUUUUAACUGCCAUGGUUGUUUAUUUCUAGUUUUUAAAGAUAUUUGAUGUACCAUUUUAACGUCCUUGAAAGGAUGCCCACUUUCUAAAAUGAGUCCAUUUGUGAUUUAUGGCUUACGAAUUUUGUAAAUGUUUGCAAUUACCUUACCAUAAUUGUGUUGGAUUCUUAAGGAUUGCAGUAAUAUAUGUACAUGCCUUCUCAA